AAGUCUUACUCCUGCGGUAUGGAUGAUCAGGUGGUAGAAAUCGUCUGUGACAGUCAAACCAACACGUUUUCCUUCCGUUCUUUAGUUGGAAAGCAUCUGUGUCAUCUUGACAAUAUGGACAUGAUAGCUUCCCAUGUGUUGUCCAUCCAGAUAACAUACCAUAUGCUGGAAAGUCACUUAUUGUCCACAUAAGUACUGCCCGCAUCUGAAAGUUUUCUUUGCGCGAAACAUCGUAUGUCUCAAAACCAUGCGCCCAUAGUUGUUGCAACUCAUAUAUUAGUGGUUGAAGAAACACAUCUAGUGAUCUUUUAGGAUGAUCUGGCCCGGGGACUAGAAUUGAGAGAAACAAAAACUCUCGUCGCAUGCACAAGCUCGGCCGUAAGUUGUACGGUGUCACAAUAACUGGCCAUAGAGAAUACUGCCUUCCAUGCUUUCCAAAUGGGCUGAAACCAUCAGUAGAUAAUCCAAGAUAAACAUUUCUUCUCUCUUCCGCAAAUUCUGGAUAUGUUGACUGGAAAUGUUUCCAAGCCUUUGCAUCUGAAGGAUGUCUAAUCUCACCAUUUGUGGAAUGCUCUGCAUGCCAUCUCAUUGCUUUUGCUGUGCGCUCACACUGAUACAACCUCUUCAAUCUUUCCGUCAAAGGCAAAUACCACAUUCUUUUGAAUGGGAUCGGAACUCUUCCCCUCGUCUCCUGAUAACGAGGUUUCCCACAAAAUUUGCAUACAUUCCGUGUCUCAUCCGCUCUCCAGUAGAUCAUGCAGUUGUCAAUACAUACAUCUAUCACUUCAUACGGUAGUUGAAGACCUGCAACACGUUUCUGAACCUCGUAGUAUGAACCCGGUGCAAGGUUAUCCUCAGGUAGAAUACCUUUGACAAAAUCAGUAAUCGCAUCCAUACAUUCUUCAGCCAAAUUAUAGUCUGUCUUAAUACCCAUUAAUCUAGUUGCAGAUGAUAAGACUGAAUAACCAUCUCUACAAUUUUGAUACAAAGGUUGUUUUCCUGCAUCCAACAUGUCAAAAAAUCUCCUAGACUCGGGGUUUGGUUCUUCCCCUCUAUAAUGAUCAUGUACCAUCUGCUCAGUACCUACACCAUAAUCUAUAUCCGUUCUAGAUUCUUCUAACCUAAUAUCAGGCUGAGGUUCACUAACAGGCUGAGGUUCGCUAGUACUACCAUAUUCAUAACCAGUUUCCCCAUGAAGGUACCAAACUUUAUAAUUACGUGAAAACCCUUUCAUAUACAAAUGAGUCCAAACAUCAAAUUCUUUUAUAACCUUAUUAUUAUUGCAAGAAGAGCAGGGACAUCUUAACAUACCACUUUUUGCAUCCGGUUGCUGUUGAACAAGCCUCAUGAAUUCUCCAAUCCCUUGAACGUAUUCUUCCGUAAGCAAAUUGGUGUUCGGAUCCAAAUGAGGUUUAUCCAUCCACGAACGAUAAUAAACUUCUGAAGACAUGAUUUUCACGGAAUUGUUAUGACUAAAGAGAAUGAAGAGAGAAUGAAGUGUGAAUGAGUUGAAUGAGGAGGGGUUGUAUUUAUAGGAAAUUGCUUACGGACCUCCGACGACUUUCCGAAGAAAUUCCGACGGAUAUAAAGAAGUCCGUCGGAAUUCCGUCGGAAUUGUCCAAUCCCAAACGGCUAUACAACGGUCAUAUGUAUUUGUCGGCAACGGUCACAUGGUUCGUCGGAAUGCCGUCGGAAAAUACCGAUGGAAUUCCGACGACUUUGCUGUUAAUCGGAAUGUCGUCGGAAUUCCGUCGGAAUAUACCGACGAACUUCCGACGACUACAACGGUUACAUUUUUUAUCGGAAUGUCGUCGAAAAGUCGUCGGAAAAUUCCGACGAACCGUAUGUCGUCGGAAUUCCGUCGGAAAUGGCCGACGGAAUUCCGACGACUUCAUUUUUUUGGAUUUGGUCGGAAAUUUGUCAGUAUUCCGUCGCAAAUGUCCGACGACCUUGGUGUCCGUCGGAAGCUCCGUCGGAAUUCGGAGUGUUUUCUUGUGGUGCUCAGUGAGCAACAAAGUUUACAAUCAAAGUAGAAGAUCCCAGAGACAUGCUCGACGUUAAGACGAAAAUAGAAAGCAUUACAAAACAUAGAAAGAUAGAGCUUUUAUGGGGCGAGUCAAGCUCAGCAGUAUGAAAAAAACCAUGGAGAGACUUCAUCUUAUUCCCUAAAGGAUUGUUCCAAAGAACAAUUGAUAGUCGAAAACGACGUUGAUACACCUGUGAGAAACGGCUGGAAUGAUGACCGACAAGAGCUUUUGGUGAGAAGCUCCAUGACCGUGAAGUCCUAUUUGACUUGAUUUGGCAUGGACUAGAAUAAAUGGACUAUGUGAAUCCAGUAAUGAGUAGAUGACUAAAAUCACGACAUUGAAAUUGUAUCGAGGCUUGCCGAGAACUUCUAAAGCAAGGACGAGUAAUGCGUAAAGACAAGAGCUUCUUACUUGCACUUUAUAAGUUCAAUAUCACCUCCAAUAAUAAGAUCUCUCUUUGCCCGUGGACUUAGCGCUAGGGGUGAACCACGUUAAAUAUAUGUGCCAUAGUUACAUCGCUUUUAUUCAUCUGUUUCCGCAUCUAUUCCUUCUCACGUCCUGUACAACACAUCAGAUAAAGAUGAAAAGGCUGAGAAGAAGCGUAAGACCUGAUCAUCGAACUCUGAUGACUAACAAAAAUAUGGUGACCUUUUAUUGAACAUAGUAGAAGACUCGGCCGUGUAGUUCCAAGCGACUUGAUGAAACGUGGAUCGGCGGUGAUUGAUAACCAAAGCUUCGACAAGCAAUAAAACCUCCCAACAGAUUUUGCAGGCAACCGAAAGAGAAUCUCUGAGGUUAGGUCGAUGGGUAACGAAGAAAUUUUUUGUUCCAUCUUAUGUGAAGACUCAAAACCCUAAUUUAUUGAGGUUGGUUGCUGUCGACCUUUUCUUUGCUGUCGACCUUUUUCUUAGCGUUUUAAUUUGAUUUAUUACUAGAUUGUUUUGCUCGGUUUACAUAUAUAUGAAUAUUAAUAAUUUUUUUUGUUAUCAACAAUUUAAUUUUAUAAUAAUUUAUUUUCAGUUUUAUUAAAUUACUAGAUGAUAAUCCGCGCGCUUGCGCGAAGUGAGUUUUUAUAAUAAUGUUUGUUUAUUAAAUGGUUUUAACAUUUUGUAACACUACAAUCUUUAUCGAUUAUAAAAUGACCAAUACAAAUGAUUCAAACUCUUCUUGACCUGCCGAUUCGUUUUCUUCUUUAUUUAGAUUAAAAAACCGAAGGAAUUUUUUUCAUUUGAUGGUAUAAAACCGUCAAAACAAAAAUUCAGGUUAAUCGAAUCAUUUAUUUUCGUUUGGUUGCUGUGGUAGACGUCUCCUUUUAAGAUUUAUUGAUUGUAAUCUUUUUUGGUCUCUUCAAUAUAGCAUCAUUGUUGAAUAGUUAUUACAUCUCAUUUUAAUUAUUUUUAAGACUUCAUACGCACAAAAGGAAAUUAAGUUUUACGGCUGACACAAAUCACUGAAACCAAAUAGGCAACCUCGAUUGUAUAAUGACGAAAGAGGAUUAGGUUUUCUUCUCCCAAUUUGUUUACUAUUGACUCUCCGUAAGUGAUUUCAUUUUCUAACUCUAUAAAAUUGUGCUUUCGUUCUGAUCUUUGUUUCAUAGAUAUGAGUUAAGUUUUUUUUUUAACUUAUUCUAUUAAUUCGGUGAAUUACAUAAGUGUCAAUUUAAAAAAUGGACAUAUGUAAACAUUAGUUUCAUUCCAGAUACAUAUCUAAGAAUCAAAAUUUUGAAAACAAAAUCGCCGGCAAACUGUGUUCAAAUCUAAUAUAUCAAGCUGUUAUAGAAUAUACGUGCAGACUCGAAAGAUAAACGUCUGUCUAGUAUAUAUUCACCAGCUCGAUCUAAAAAUCAUCUAAUUCUAGAACAACAAAAUAAAUUACUUAUUUCACCCGUUCGGGUAAUAUCCGAAUCCGAAUGAAUAUCCGAAGAUAACUAAAUAUAAGUAUAAUUAACCCUAUAUUUCUAGUUUACUUCUCUCAUUUUACUCAAAAUUUUUAUAUUAAUAAUGUUUAUUGCUCAAAAUUAGAUAAUAUACAUAUAAUUAUGGACAAAAUCAUUUACUACUCACUUAAAAUACAUAUCAAGCUCUUGUUUCUUGCAUUAACAAAAGUUGCAUCUAAAAUUUCAAAACAACAAUUAAAUUAAUGUCAUUCUAUUUUUAACGUUUUAUAUCCAAACCUUUUAAUAGUUUAAUCUUUUAAAAUUAGAAAAUCGGUUAAGUUAAAUAUAUUUUAAAUACAAAAACUUAAAAAAUGAAUAAUUUUUUUUUCUUCAAAAUUUAAAUAUCCUAACCCGACCCAAAAUAUCUGAACCCUGACAUAAAACACCCGAACCCGACUCGAAGUGUAGAAAUACCUGAACGUGUUCUAUAUCUUUAUACUGAAAUAUCUGAUACGAACCCGAACGUGUAUCUGAACGCCCACCCCUACGAUAUAUGAUCAUUUGUAUCUUGCUUGAACAAAAAAAAAGUUAAACCAUUGAUCACAAAAUUUCCAAUGUGAGACUUUUACCAUUUUUAGUAAUUUAUAGUCAUUUUUAAAAAUUCAAAAUAUAACAUAUAAGAAAAAAUCUAUUUUUUUUAUUAUAUAUUUAAUGUGAUUGUUUAAUUUCUUUUAAUAGUAUAAAACUAAAUAAAAAAGAGAGAGGUUAGAAAAAUUGUUACCGAAUAUGUAUUAUUCAUAAUCAUUAAUUGUUAUAUAUAUUAACCAUGUUAGGUAAUUCUGUAGCUUUUAUUUAAGAAAAAAAAAUAUUCUUUUGUACACUACUAAUUAAUUUGAUAGUUAGUUUAAUAAAAAACAUAGUAUAUGUUUAUAUGAAUCAACUUAUUUUUCUAACAAUUCUAAGAAUCAUUCUUGUAAUAACACGUGGCUACGAAAAUAUGUGGUAAUGCUCCAUGAUUAAUAUAUAAUCAUAACUCACCCUUUCUGUAAACCGAGCGAGUUGGAAACCGUGUUCUUUACACAAACUCCAGUUACAAAUCCUGCGACAAACAUGAUUAAAAUAGUCUGGUUAUGGAAAAGCUUUGAGCACAUGUGUACAUAUCAAUUCAUCAACAAAAUAAACUCAUUAAAUACGAACAGCAAAAACUUCAUUGCACAAAUGUGUAAAGGGAAAAAAGGAGAGUGUACUCACCUCAUGAACCAAACAAUCUCCACAUAAUUGUCUUUGGUCCUUGUCACACUCGACAGCUUUGAGCACAUGUUCCCAACCAUUAUUUAACCAUUCAUUUCAUAAAAAUUGUCCAUGUAUGUAUCUUGUUCCACAACCACCCCUGAAUCACGCAACCACCUAGUUUGGCUGUAGCUUCACCAGAAGCAUCUGGAGGCACAAAGCUUGGUUUGGGAUGACACCACCCGCACAAUCAUCAACUUCAUUGGCACAAUCCAUGACACGUUCUUAAUUCGGCUUGCUUGGCAGCUGGUUAUCUAUGGAAACCUGGCGAGUACGGAAUCACAGUCUUCAUCUCGGUUCCUUUAAAGCUCCUGAUUAUCUCCUCUCCCUCUAUCUCUAAUAAGUAGGACAAUCACAAACAUAAUUUCAUCUUUCAGACCGGGGAAUCCUGAAGGCUCGAGCAAAGAAAUGCACCGAUCCAUCCGUCUUCUGAGUUACUAUCAUUACAUGAGCCUCAUCAUUACUUGGGCCUUCGUGUUCGUUUCUAACUUCAUAAUGGGCUUUCUGGUCCAUUUUGUCGAUCACUAGUGUGUUUGCCUUUUUCGUAACAUCUUGCCACUCGGGCUAAACUCUUAGUUGAAGCUGAGUUGACUAAACAAAAUAAAUAUCCAUCGAAUUAUACACGUGGCAAACACAUCUUCUCUAUCGAACCGGUAAAAUGCGAUCUCUGAGAUCAAUCUGAUCUGUUAAACCGAACCAAACAAAUAAAAUCGAAUCACCGACGACGAGAAAAGGAAAGAGACGCGACGACUGAGUGAGUGAGCGGCGUCCCGAUGAGAACUCCGGCGCUCCUCCUUCUCCUAGCCUUCGUAUCCAUCAUUCCUCCGUCAAGCGGUCAUGGCGAAUGGGGUAUCCUCACGGAGCAAAACUUCUCAUCUCAGAUCCGCCUCCACCCUCACAUCCUCCUCUUCGUCACCGCUCCAUGUACCUUUCCCUCCCUCUCUCUAUUUCUCCCGUACCUUUGCUUAGUUUCCGUAGAAAUGUACUUCCGAUGACUCUGCUCGAACAAAUAUCUCGAAGCUUCUUGCUCAAAUCAUUGAUUCCCACUGAUUGAAAACUAUGAAGCGUGACGCAUACGAAGAUGUGGUUAUCAUUUGGCUCUAAACUGAUUAGCUUCUUGCUCAAAUCAUUGAUUCCCACUGAUUGAAAACUAUGAAGCGUGACGCAUACGAAGAUGUGGUUAUCAUUUGGCUCUAAACUGAUUUAAAAAUAUAUUUGUUGAUCAUUUAGCUUCAAUCCUUAAUUGGAAGCCCCAUUAAUCUCCGGACCUCCACGUGGAAUUGCUUUCAUUGUCUCGUUUGUUUUCUGAUUGGUUUCAUUGCUGAUCUUGUAGGGUGUGGCGAGUCAAGGUCCCUUAAGAAUGAAAUAACUCAGCUGGUUCAGAGUGAUUCAGAGUAUGACUCGUUGAAGUUGAUGGUUGUGUACAGAAACUCAGAGAAGGUAUUAGCACAAGCCAUUGGUGCUGCCAACGAGAUUACGAUUCUGUACUAUCACCAUGCUGUGCCUUACCACUAUCGUGGGAAACUCCGAGCCUCAAAUAUACUGUCGUCUCUUCAUCCUUAUCUGACUUCUCCUCCCCAAGAACUCCCUCUCAGACAUUUGAAGUCUCCAGAGAGUUUGAAGGCUUUUCUUGAAUCAUCUGACAAGACUUUGAUUCUGUUCGAAUUUUGCGGAUGGACUAGUACACUUCUCUCUGAGUUGAAGAGGAAUGUCACUGAAGAUAACCUUUGGCAUGGUGAGUUAGUUGACUCUGGAUUUUUUAUGUUGACUAUAUGAUUUGAUUUCCAAAGAGUUUUUCCUGAACUCCUGAUACAUUUAGUUUAGUACUUUGUUAAGGUGAGUGAACUCUGGCGAGUAUUAGUUCGUUAGAGUGAAGAGUAGAAAAUUUUCCAUCUAACAUCUCUAAGCAAAAUGUCAUUUGUUUUUUUAGGCUAUUAAUCUUACCGUGAGAUUAGUCUAUUCUGGUAUAAUCCAUCAAAUGAUUUUACUUUGCUGUCACUAGAUUACUUUCUCCCAGUAGUGCAUCGGUCCUCUCCUGAUAUUUAUUUGGUUACCCUCUUUAAUCUUCAAAAAUCAGGAUACUAUAUGAUAGCAGUAAUGGCAUAUGAUCUUUAGUAAUUUUUAUCAAAAGCUGGGAUGUUUGGCUGAUUCCAACUUUGCAGGAAACUUCUCCAAAACAGUUGAAACUGACCGAGUGCUGAAGUUAAGAGGAAAAAAUAACCAGAAGGUGGCUGGUAGAUUCUCACUUUUAUGUCUAGACCUUGUUGAUGUUGAUACGUUUACUGUUUGUGUAUUGCCUCCAUAAUGUGCCAUUUUCUUCGUGCCCUAGUAGCAGACCAUGCAAAAUGGAAAUUGAUGUGUAGACUCCAAAGCGGAUUUGGUAGAGUUCCUUGGCUUGAGGAUUUUAGCUAUGUCAAUGAUACUGCUGCUUUGCAGGAGAAUGACAGAGCAAACGGGGGUUCUGGACAGACAUGUAACCAUGAACAGUUCAAGCAAUUCAGUUCAUUCCUCUCGAAAUUGAUUGCCGCCGCAAAAGAGUUUUCCCUGCCUCCUGAAAGGCAAAAAUUUGGUCUGAUCACAGAAAAAUCGCUGGCUUCACCAUUUACUGUUGGAGCAUCUGAUUCGUGGGCAGCAGUCCUUCAGCUGGCAGGAUGUCCACAUUGUUCAAAGAUUCUCAAGGCCGGAGAUGACAUUCAGAGACUCUUAAAGAUGGAAAAUCCCAUAGUCUCAGAGGUAUGAUUCUUGUUUAUGUCCAUAUGUUUUAGUUAAUUUUGCAUAUUCAGAUAUCUUUAUUCUACUUGUUGGGGAGAACUACCUGGAGCAAAAUGAGUGUGUAACUUGCUAAGUGGGAUCGUGUGCUUUGCUUGCUGUAUUUAUUGAUAGAAACCACCCGUAACUUAAACUACUUGAAAUCUAACAAUAUAAAGGACAAAGUUGGGUUUUUCAUUUCAGAAGAGAUGUUGCAAGAAAAAUAGAAAAUCAUGAAGUGACAUAUAUAAUUCGAGAUUUCUCUUCCAUAUAUAAAUCUAAAUCUGGUUUUGGGUUUUACUUUGUAUAAAGUUUCUGUUUGUUAUUUUUUCUGUCAUGGUGUUGUGUGAUUAGAACUGGGUUUUAUAUGGAUCUCCCUACUGUCAGUAUAUCUAUAACAGAAGAGAAGAGGGGAGUUUUUCAUGAAUGCAAGAUCUCUAUUUUGUUUGAGUCGAUACAAUUUGAAAUUGUAGUUGCAUUUCUGCUCGUUUCAUUGAUUUAUUAAUUACUAUAUUUCCAGUCCAUUUAUUACUAAGAUUAAUAAUUCUGACCAUUUAAUACUGUCCAUUGUGCAUUACUUACAUCAAUCUUGUUUUCUCAUGUAGCUGGAGGAUAACAGGCAGGACCACGAGUCAUCUUUGCCUGCAAAUAAACCGUCGGUUAUUCUUUUUGUGGAUAGAUCAAGUGGCUCCUUCGAAACUAGAAGGACGAGUAUGAAAGCACUUUGUACUUUCAGGGAGGUGGCUGCACAACAUAAAGCGUCUGACAUAAUAAACUGGGGGAAUGAUAUUGAGUCUGAGAACUCCGUUAGCCAGGCUGAUGAAGAAUCGGGAUCCGUGUCUCUUCAGAAAACUGCCCGAAGUUUUAAGACGAUCAAGUUAGAGAAUAAGGUCUCUUUUGUGAUUAUGGAUGGGGAUAAACAUGUGGCCCUUGAUACUAUAGCUUCAGGAAUGGAAGGCAGUUCCCUGCAGGAGCUACUGACAAACCUUGUUCACAGAAGAAAAGAAAAAAAGUUAAGCUCGAUUGCUAAGGAUGUUGGUUUCCGUCUAUUAUCUGAUGAUGUGCACAUAAAAAUACUGGAUGCUUUACCAUCACAAGCAGAAGUUAGACCUGGUAAAGACACGUCUUCAGCAGAAGGUUCCAGUGAAAGUUCUCUUGAGCCUAGAGAAGGAGAUGUGCAGAACAAGGUCGGUAUGAGUUCGAAAGAAAAGGACAAAAUGAAACCUCCUGAAAGUGAAUCAUCCUCCCAAGAUGAUAAAGAGCAGGUUUCUACAAACCGAAGUGAACAAUUAGUAAUGGCGGAGACCGAUAAGGCUGGGGUUUAUAAAACAAAAAAUGUUGAAGAAGAGAUCAAGGUAUUGUUGAACUCGGAAUCGAAGGAAGAUCUAGUUGAUAGUUUCACGGGUUCAUUUUUUUUCUCUGACGCAAACUAUGCGCUGCUUAGAGGUCUAACUGGUGAUGUAAAGAUUCCAUCAGCAGUAAUAAUUGAUCCUGCUUUACAACAGCACUACGUCCUUCAAGAUGAGUUAGCAUUCAGCUAUUCGUCGCUGGUCGACUUUCUUCAUGGAUAUCUCAAUGGAAGUCUAUCACCUUAUACACGGUCUGAAACCACUAUUCACAAGCCUAAGGAAGCUACAGUUCCACCUUUUGUCAAUCUGGAUUUUCACGAGGCGGAUUCUAUUCCGCGUAUCACAGUCAAUACGUUCUCCCAUAUGGUUCAGGCAUGGAAUCAAUCCAGUGGAGAGAAGACUCCCUGCCCUUUGUGCAAGGACGUUUUGGUCCUUUUUAGCAAUAGCUGGUGUGGCUUUUGUCAGAGGAUGGAGCUAGCUGUGCGUGAAGUAUACCGAUCACUAAAGGAUUGUAAAGCGAUUUUACUGAGAGAAUCCAAGAACAAACAUAAAUCAGGUAAUUGAGUCUUUAUAAUUAUGUGACUUAGAAUGACUAAUAAUUACGGAAAGUGAAAUGGACAUGUAUUCCAAUUUUCUUCAUGGUCUUCUUCUGUUCUGAAGCAGAGACACCAACUAAUGGUGAGAAUCUAAAGUCUCCAUUGAUCUACUUAAUGGACUGCACGUUGAAUGAUUGUAGCUUGAUCCUAAACUCAAUAAAUCAGGUACUUUUCAUGAUAGCUUGUCUGAUUCUAGUCUGGUUUGUUCUAUUGAUUAUAGUAUUUGCAUAUCACAAUGCAAAAAUUUAUUCCUCUCAAAACACCUCUAAAUAUUGAGAGUUUAUUUAUGCACCUUCACCUAGUCUCAUUUCAGUAUUCACUCGCUCUAUGAAUAUGUAACGUUGCAGAGAGAAGUGUAUCCUUCUGUGGUGUUCUUUCCAGCCGAGAGAAACAAAGUCAUUUUAUAUGAAGGGGAGACGUCUGUAACUGACAUAACAGAGUUUCUGGCUCGACAUGCAAAUAACUCUCGUGAGUUUUUCAGUAAGUCAACAUCAUCAUCCUUGUUUAUUCACUUUUUACACGUGUGCCAAAAUAUUACAAUAUCUGAAGGCACAACAUGACGUCACUCACUGAAUUUGCAGAGAAAAAUAAUAAUAUAAAAGGAACAUAGUUCUGCAGGAUCUUAAUAUGCAUUACAACUAGUGACCCUGUUUUUUCGUAGAAGCAUGUUUUCUUUCAGAAAAAUAUACUGCAUUUGGUUAAUACUGUUGUCAAAAGCUAGAGCCUAAACAAAGUAAGUUAUGAAUCUCUGGCAGGAAUCAUUCCUACUCUGUCUGGAAAAGGAAGAAAAAACUCAAACAAGCUCGACCAAUCUUCAUCAGCUGUAAACAAUGAAGUGAAAGAGAAAGACGUGGAUAAACUUGUUGAGGUCGUUGUAAGUAACAGAGAUCCUCCUGAAAGAGAGGUAACGCAGGAUCAGGUCAGUCCCCAAUCGCCUCCAAUGCACUCGGUCAUACCUGCUGUUCCUAAAGUGAAAAUUGGCACAAUCCUGGUUGCUACAGAAAGGCUAGGUGAGAGUCCACCGUUUGCAAACUCAAAGAUUCUGAUCCUAAAAGCAGGCCGAGAAUCCGGUUUCAUGGGUGUUAUCUUCAACAAACGGUUACGAUGGUCAUCGUUCCCUGACCUGGACGGCGGCCAAACAGCUGAGCUCUUGAAAGACACGAUUCUGUCUCUCGGAGGUCCAGUGAUGGAUCCAGAAAAGCCGCUUUUGGCUCUGAGUCGAGAGGGAGACCCCUCCACGGAUCUUGAACUCUCACCAGGCGUGUAUUUCCUUGAUCACGAGUCGGUGGCCCGUCGAAUCCAAGAGUUGAAGUCUAGAGAUGUGAAACCAAGUGGUUAUUGGUUUUUCGUGGGGUACUCAAGCUGGAGCUAUGAACAGUUGUUUGAUGAGAUUGGUCUUGGAGUAUGGGAUGUUGAUAACAGCCAGCUUGACUUCGCUUGGCCUUGAAGCAAGCUGUUAGCAUCUAUGUUUCUUGUAUCUGACCUCACGCGAUAUAGUAAUGUUUUCUUUUAGAAGGAAGAAUCUUAAAAAUCGUAGAUGGUGAAGAACCCGUGAUGUGGGUAGAAAGAUAUGUUGGUCAACUAUAACACUUUUUUUUGGGUUAACUGUAACACUUUAAAAUGUUUUCUUUACAACAGAUGAAAUACAUAGCUUCCUCUUGCGUUUGUUACAUAGCUUCCUCUUGCGUUGUUAUUGAAUUAAGAGACAGCAACAGUCCAAUGAUAGCAUAUUCCAAAACGGUCGUUGACUCGAAUAUAAUUAAUUUACAAUGCAAAUAUCCAUCAUUAGUUGUACAAAGCAACUGAAGACUUGUAUUCAGAGACUUGCAGCAAUAACAAACAGUGAAAAAUAGUAGCUGCUUCUACCUUUCAUUAGGUUCGGAAACAGCCCAAGGUUCAUCUCUAGCUUUUAGUUGAUACCAAGAGUAGUAUAUUGUCAAGUCAAAGACAUAUUGUUAUAAGCUUACCACACAAGUAUUGACCACUUACUUUCGAACAAUUGAGUUUCGGACUAUAACAAGGGUUAAACCAAUGCACGUUACACUAGUGAGUUGUAUGUUCCUUGGAGUGAACACUUCUGUAACAUGCUCUUAUCUAAGAUAAUCAAAUCUCUUUCCAAACAGUUCAUUGUAGGUUAAUAUUCAUAUGACAAACUUUUCUAGCUUUCAGCUCCUCUAUAAUCAAAAGAAACAACUCAAAGUUAAAUAUCAUAUGGAUAAAAAUGAUUUUGAAAUAUAUCAGAGAGGAAAUACAUGUGUACAUAACUGAUAAGCAUAUUUGAAAGAAAAUAUACAUACAGUAUUUUUUUUGAGAGAAGAAAUUAUACAUAUUCUAAAACUAAAGUAGGUUAUAUAUAUUAUAUAUGCUUAUUAGUUAUAGUAAUAUUCCACUAAAUGAUAAUCCACGCAUGCGCAGAGUGAGUUUUUAAUACUAAUGUUUGUUCAUUAAAUGAUUUUAACAUUUUAAACACUAUAAUCUUUAUCGAUUGUAAAAUGACAAAUACAAAUGUUGGUCUCUUGAAUGCAUCAUCGUUGUUGAAGAGUUAAUGUAUUACAGCUCAUUUUAAGACUUCAUAUGCACAAAAAAAAAUUAUUUUUUUGCGGCUGACAUAAAUCACAAAAACCAUAUAGGCAACAUCGAUUGUAAAAUGACGAAAGGAGAUUAGGUUUUAUGCUCUCGAUUUGUUUACGAUUGACUCUCCAUAAGUGAUUUCAUUUUCUACUUCUAUAAAAUUGUGUUUUCGUUCUCGUUUAUGUUUUACUGAUAUGCGUUUUGUUUCUUUUUUAACUUCUUCUAUGAAUUCUGCGAAUUGCAUAAGUGUCAAUUUAAAACAUACAUAUCUAAGAAUCAAAAUUUUGAAGAAAACCACCGGAAAACUCUAUUCACAGGUUAGUGUUCAAAUCUAAUAUAUCAAGUUGUUCAAAAAUAUAAGUGCAUACUCGAAAUAUAAAUGUAUGUCUAGUAUAUAUUCACCAGUUUGGUCUAAAAAUCAUCUAAUUCUAAAACAACAAAACAAAUUACUUAUUUUAUUAAUCUACGCUUUUGAGGUUACUUAAGAGUGUACCGAUAAAAGUAUAUAUAAUACUUUACCAUUCUAGUAUAUGUAAACUAUGUUUGAUUUACUAAAUGAUAAACCAGACAACUUAUAAUAAAUAGUUAAAAUAUCUCAUCCUUACAAUUAUAAUAGCUAGAUAGUGUAUUAGUGAGAAACAAAUAUUAGACGAAUGAUCGAAUCUCUCAUUCUUCGAACAAACUCAAAAUGAGGUGAUUAAAAUCUUGUCAUGAUAUUUCAUUAAAAGCUUUUUAGGAAUACAAAUCAAGAUUAAAAUAUUUAAUCUGAAUGAAAUAAUAUAUAUAGUGCUUCCAAAAAUCACUUUGAUUUGAAGAAGUGUAUUUCUGGGAUUAUCAUAAUCAAAUAUCAUAUUAGAAACCACCUAUUUAUAAAAUAAUUUGUAUACAUAAAAAUAUAUACAUUAGAGUAAGCACAUAAAUCAAAACCAAUAAUUUUUAUUUAUUUACAAUCAUGGUUUUGGUAAAUAAAUCAAAACAAUAAUUGUAUUUAUUUUAUUUGGUAUAUAAUUAAACUUUAGUGAUAUUGGCAUAUAUAUAGUAUAUUUUAAUAUAAAGAUUUACUAUUGACACUUCCUACUCAUAUGAUUUUAUUAAAUAUUUUAUAUUUACUGUAAUAAAAACUUAAGUCAUUAAUCACAAAACUUUUAAAGUGAGAUUUAUUAAUAAAAAUUUCAAAAUAUUAAGAUCUCAAUAAUUGAUCAAUGCAAAUUUUGAAAUUAACAUAUUUAUAUAUUUUAUAUAGUAUAUAAUUGAUUUUUAAUAAUAUAUAUAAUAUGAAUAUCUAUUAAUGAGAUUUCAUAUUCAUAUGAUUUAUGUUCAUUUGUAUCUUUGCUUGAACAAACAAAAGUUAAAUCAUUGAUCAUAAAAUUUUCAAUGUGGGGUUUUUACAUUUUUAGUAAUUUAUAGUCGUUUUAUAAAAUUCAAAAUAUAACAUAUAAGAAAAAAUAUAAUAUUUAUUAUAUGUUUAAUGUGAUUGUUUAAUUUAUUUUAAUAAUAUAAAAUUAAACAAAAAAAGAGAGGAUACAAAAGUUAUUAUCAAAUAUGCAUUAUUCAUAGUCAUUAGUUAUCAUAUAUAUGUUAGUCAUAUUAGAUAAUCCUGUAACUUUUAUUCAAGGAAAGAAUUGAGAUUAUUAUUCUGUAUACUACUAAUCAGUUUGAUAGUUAGUUUAAUAAAAAAUAUAAUAUAUAUUUGUAUGGACAACUUUAUUUUUCUAAGAAUUCUAAAAAUCAUAUUAUUGAUGACACGUGGCUACGAAAACAUGUUGUAAUGCUCUAUGAUUAAUAUAUAUGAGAUGUACAGUAAAACCUCUAUAAAUUAAUACUCGAUAAAUUAAUAAUAUCUAUAAAUUAAUAAAUUUUGUCAGUCCCAACUUGGGUCGGUUCAAACUUUAACACAAAUCAAUAAAAUAAUAAGAUAAUAUUUUUUUUAGAAAAUUCUAUGUAAAUAUAUGCCUCAUUAAAAUUAUAAAUUAAUAUAAAAUAUAUGGUCUCAUUAAAAUUAUAAAUUAAUAAUUUAUAUGUGUACAUAUUUUAUAUAAGUAAGAAACUAUUAUUAUAUCAUUUUUUAUAUCCACAUUGGAAUUAUCUUUAUAUUUUCUUAAUACUUAAUAUAUUUUUUGAUGAGAUUUAGUAAUAUUAUAUCUAAAACCACAUUUAAGUUCUAGGCAAUAUAUAUUAUAUACACCAAAUAAUAUAAUAAAAUUAAUAGAAAUGUCAAAUCUCAAAAAGUAACAAUUAAUGUCUAUGCACUAAAAUCAAAUUUUUUCUUAUCUUAGAAUAAAUAUAUCUUAAAAUAAAAAAUUUAAAUAAGGAAAAUUUCGUAAAUUAAUAUCUCUAUAAAUUAAUAAAAUUUUAAAGUACCAGCAUUAUUAAUUUACUAGGUGUUUUGCCCGCAUAUGCGGGCAUAAUCAUCUUACGAAUACUUAUUAUUUUUGUCUUAUUAAUCCAAAAAUCGGCAUUAUAAAACUCUAAUUGAUGAACAUGUUGAAGAAAAAAAAAUUAUGGUAAAUUCUUUGUUCCUCAAAAUUUAUACUAGUUAUGUUGAAAUUUUAGUCAAAUUAUUGAAAGGUAGAUCCCACUUUUUUCUUCUAAAUUCCCAUGGAGGAAUGAAUUUAUAAGAAAAAAAUUUCCUAUGCAAUUUUGAUAAGGAACAAAUUCAACAAAAAUUCAUAUUUUUUUAUUUUUUUCAGUUUCUCAAAUAAAAUUUUAUCUUUUAUUUUGUUCAUUUUUUUCAUUCUUCCAGUGGUCACCAACUCAAGCUAUAGUGUUUCACGGAUUAAACUUAAAUUGGUUUAAAGUAAAAGCAAGAAAAUUUGUUUUAAACUCAGUCACAACUUAAGUUAUUAUUUAUGAUUUUAAAUAGUUAAAUCAGACAUCAAAUUAUUUAUAUAUGUCAAAAAAACGUUCAUCAAACUAUGUACUUAUUAUUGUGUUAAAAAAUUUAAAACACUCAUAUAUUAGAAAUAGUUUAGAAAAUAUCUUUAUAUAAAUAUUUUUGUUUGACUAAUAUUUAAUUAUAAACUGUUUUAUAUCUUAGUUUUUUAACUUUAUAAUAAAAAAUAUUGUUUUUAGAUGGCAACACAAUAUAUAUAAGAAUUCUCUUAAUUUUUAAAUAUAUUUUCACAAUUUUAUUAUAUUAGUUUAUAAUUAAUUAUUUAAUAUAAGAUAUAAAUUAAAUAUUAUUAAAAUAAAAUGCGUGUUUUAUUAUAUAUAAAAUUUAUCACGGGUUUUGUUAAAAUUAAUAAAUACUCAGUUAAAAACUAAUAAUAAAUCAAUGACCUAUAUAAAAGCUUUAAACCUAAUAAAAUAUGACAAAUAAGAAAAUAAGAAUUUUAAUAUAACAUAUUGAUUUAAAUAUUAUUGAAUCAAAAUUCAUUUUUAAUUAUAUAUAAAAUUCAUUACAGAUAUUUGUUUUUAAAUUAAUAAAUUAGUGAUUCAGCUAAAAAUUAUUAAUAAAUCAAUGAAAAAGCUAAAACCUAAUAAAAACAUGACAAAUAAGAAAAAUUGACUAAAAUCAUGGAAAACAUGACAAAUAAGCAAAAUCAAAAUAAUUAUAUAUCUAAUUACAUAUUUUAUAGUUAUAUUAUUUAAAUUAAUAAAUUAUGGAUUCAACUAAAAACUAUUAAUAAAUUAAUGACUCAGCUUAAACCUAAUUAAAACAUGAUAAAUAAGCAAAAUUACCUAAAAUCAUAGAAAUCGUGACAAAUAAGCUAAAUCACUUCAUCAUAAAUAAUAGUAUAGAUAGAGGUUCUAGUUGUACUAUUAUUUUUGCUUGGUGUUUGGUGUUUCUAACCACGAUGAUGAUGAAGUUGGGUUCAAUUUUCUGUUCGUUUCUCUUCUUUUUCUUUGUUUACUUUUAUUUUCUAAGAAACACAGAGUUCAAAAAACCUAAGAAUAAAAAGCGAAACAUAGGGUAUAUUCCGGAUGAUUUGGUAGUGAACAUACUCUCAAAGGUUCCAUUGGCAUCUCUAGCAAGAUUUCGAUCGGUAUCCAAAGGAUGGAAUGCUCUGAUCAAAGGUGUGAUCAGAUUCGAGAAAUCGUCUCAGAUCAUGUUGAUUGAUUCUAGGGUUUAUUUAGUAAGCAUUGAUUUCCUUGGGGCUCAAGACAACAUUGUAAACAUAAAAAGUCAGUUUAGCCUCAAAGAACCCCUUUCUAACUCUUCCAAAGAAGUCGAUAUACGUGAGGUUUUUCACUGCGAAGGCUUGUUGUUAUGUACCACUGAAGACGAUAGACUAGUGGUUUGGAAUCCAUGCUUAGGUGAAACCCGUUGGAUCAAACCAAGAAGUUCCAAUAAUUUGACACGGUCGACACGUGAUAUCUACGCUCUCGGUAAAUCCUCAUGCAACAAGUACAAAAUCUUGAGGAUUGCUCUAUAUGCACAUGGACGUGCACAUAUGACGCCACACCUAUACGAAAUCUAUGACUUCACUUCUAACUCGUGGAGGGUUGUUGACCAGACUAGAGACUGGUUCAUGCCAAGGUUAGGGCGUAGCGGCACGUAUGUGGAUGGAAAUACGUACUGGCUUGCUUUUAGUUAUACUAAUGAACAGCCUUGGACGGAUAUCUUACUGAGAUUCGAUUUUUCAAAAGAGAGAUUCACAAGUAUGUAUAUUCCUUCUUCUGGCAGAAAUUUUGCUUUGUCUGUGACUAGAGAAGCGCAAAAGCUUUGUAUGUUAGCUUCUCGUGCCGACCAUAUAGAUGUAUGGAUAGCAACCAAGAUUGAUAGUACCGGCUCCAUGUCAUGGAGCAAGUUCCUAACAUUGAAACGAGUCUAUAACGAAGUUUAUGACUGGGAUGAAUUUCCUGGCAGACGAGGAGAAUAAAGUUAUAGUGUGCCCCGGUGAAUCUAUGGUAUCUGACAGGUUCUUACACAUUGUGGGAGAGGAUAAAUACAUACAGGUGGACCAUCAUGAGGCAGGUUCUAGAUGCUCACUUCUCCCUAGCUAUGUUCUCCUUCAAAUGCAACAAGGUUCUUUGGGGUAGGUGCAAGGAAAGCACCAAUCACAUGUCUUGUAAUUGUAAAACUAGGUUUACUUAUGCAUUAUCUAUCCAACUUCAUGAUAUUUUAUAAAAAAUGAAAGUACUUUUUGCUACUUUUAUAUGUUGGAAUUUUUUUUAUUUGAGUUAAUUAGUAUAUCUUCCUUACAUAAAGAAUACAGUAAGUCAGGAUAAUGAGAGUAGGUAAAAUCAUACAAAAGUAAAUAACAAGAUCAUUCAUCUCUCUUCUUCCCAGUCUUGUACUCCAAAUGUUGAUCCUUCCUAUAAUCAAAAGAAAUAAUUCAAAGGGUUAAAAGCCAUGAAUAUCUGGACCUGCUUCGUAACUUAUCUCUAUUAGCUAAGCAUGUUACAGUUAUAUAUGUCACUUGCUAUAAUGUAAUAUGCCAAGUUCAGAACAUGUUGAGAAAAAAAGUAUAUCAAGUCUGUUCAUCACUCCAUAAUAAAAGGGACAAUGUUAACAGGAUAAACACGAAUCAUCAUCUAAUAAGCAUGUAUGAAACCAUACAAAGCGCAUAAGAGAGCGCAAAUAAAAUCAAUUUCAAAUGCAAUAUAAAGAUCAAUCAUUAGUACAUACAAUUCUUUAGAGACUUGCAGCAACAGUAGCAUAAGAUGAAAACAGUAGAUGCUUCUGCCUUUUAGUUGAUACUAGCAAGAGUAGUAUAUUAAAUGAAGUGAAAGGCACACAGUAUUGUUAUAAGCUCACCACACAAGCAUUGAACAGUCUCUGUGGGAUCGCAUUGGAUAAAGUAAGUGGCUUUCAUGCGCUUCACACGGAGCAAACAAGAUCAAACGCAGACUAAUCAGUCUUGCAACCAAGGCCAAACCUCUCACAUUUCCCAGUUAAAUAACACAUAACGACCGAACAAAGAUGACUGCGCUAAAGUUGGCUUUUUCUUCUCACACUCUAGCUGAACAUUGAACUAAAGGCAAGAACCAAAGACUUGUUCGGCUUCAGGUUUAGGACUAUCGUCGGUUAAGCUUUAUUUAAACCGGCUGAAAGAGAGAGAGUGUUUUCAUUUGUCUUGUAUUACUCUUUUAAAAGUCCCACAUCGCUAACAAUACAAGAGUGGAAGGCAUGAGGAGUAGUAUAAAAGAAGAGGCCAUGAAACUGAGCAAUUCAUACCUUUCUCGGCCUUUUGGCUAAGAUCAAGUGUAGUAUCUGUUCUUAUCAGUUUAAUAUCUGAUAUGUGGUCUAUCGGGUCACACGAUAUUAACUCUAUUUUUUAAGGGAAGAUGCCCAUCAAGAUAGCUUGCUAUCUGGGUCUCUAUGAGUCGUCCAUGCGUUGCACUAUUGCAUGGGCUUGGCUUAUCCCGCCAAAUAUUCACUUAAGUAUUUUUUCCCCCAAACUAAUUGGGCCUAUUAACUCAAAAUUCACCCCAAAACUAUUAAGUAACGAUUUUAAAGGCCUGACAAUCAAAAAACUAAUCAUCCUACCAAUUACAACCCGAUUACCCUAAAACAAAAAAAAAACAAAGAACGAACUCUAACAUCGAAAUCAACGAAAUCGUUGAAACUGAAAAGAGAUUUUUGAGGGUUUUGGCUUGAUCACAUCCGAUAAUCAAUGUCUGUUGCGUUGUUUCAUGGAGUUCCUUCUCUUGUGGACGAAUCCGGCGAUGAAGAAGCUAUGGAGCCAAACGCGUUUCGAAUCUGAUCAGAAGAGUAUCUUCCGGAGGAUUUGCUAGUGAACAUACUCUCAAAGGUUCCACUGGCAUCACUAGCAAGAUUCCGAUCAGUAUCCAAAAGAUGGAAAGCUCUGAUCAAUUAUUUGAGAUUCAAGAAGUCGUCGAUUGAUUCUAGGGUUUAUCUAGUGAGCAUUAAUUUACUUGGAGCUCAAGACAACGUUGUAAACAUAACAAGUCAGUUUAGCCUCAAAGAUCCUCUUUCUAGUUCUUCCAAAGAAGUCAGUAUUCGUGAGGUUUUUCACUGCCAAGGCUUGUUGUUAUGCACCACCGAAGACAAUAGACUAGUGCUUUGGAACCCAUGCUUAGAUGAAACCACUUGGAUCAAACCAAGAAGUUGCUCUGCAUGGACCUAGACCUGCUUUUGAAUUUAUGAAGCCGCGCUUAUAUGAAAUUUAUGACUUUACCUCUAACUCAUGGAGGGUUGUACAUGAUGAAACUAAAGACUGGUCCAUUCUAGGGUUAGCGCGUCGCGGCACGUGCGUGGAUGGAAAUGCUUACUGGCUUUCUUUUAGCUCAAGUCAACAGCUGUGGAUGGAUAUCUUACUAAGUUUCGACUUUUCAACGGAGAGAUUCACAAGUAUGCAUGCAUAUUCCUUCUUCUGGCAGAAUGUUUGCUUUGUCUAUGACAAGAGAAGAGCAAAAACUUUGUAUGUUAGCUUCUGUUGCCGCCGACGAUGUAGAUGUAUGGAUGGCGAACAAGAUUGAUAGUACUGGAGCCAUGUCAUGGAGCAAGUUCAUAACAGUGAAACGAGUCUAUAACAACAACCAAUGGAUGUUCUUAACUGGGAUGAAUUACUUGGUGGACGAGGAGAAUAAAGUAAUAGUGUGUCCCGGUAAAUCUUUGGACUCUGGCAGAUUCUUACACAUUGUGGGAGAGGAUAAGUGCAUACAAGUGGACAAGCAUGAUGCAGGAUCUAGAUGCUCACUUCUCCUCAGCUAUGCUCCAAACUCUGGUCUCUGCUUCAGAUAUUUUAUAAAAUCAAUGUUGGUUUUGCUACUUUUAUUAUAUGUUUAAUUUUUCUUAUUAGUUUAGCAUCUCUUCCUUUAACAUAACCAAAAGAAACAGAUAGUGUUUUUUGGUUUAGGUAAGCCUAAAAAGAAUACAGUGAAAUCGUGAUAAAAAGAGUAGGUAAGUUCAGAAAAAAGUAAAGGUGACCACAUCCUUACACCAGAGAGAUUUUUGAGGACCUUCAUUGUGUGAACACACUGGUCAUCGGAUCUGAUGACUGACUGAAAAACUGCUCUCCUUGGCUUGAUCCUUCCGCUUGCACAAUCACUAGUCAUGAUUCAUGAAUAUCGGGACCUGCUUCGUCACUCAUGUCAAUUAGCUAAAGCAUAUUUCUGUUAUAUAUGUCACUUGCUAAUAAUGUAGUGUGCCAAGUUCAGAACAUGUUGAGAAAAAAAAAGUAUAUCAAUUAUGUUCAUCACUCCAUGAAAAUAAAGAGGGCAUUGUGAACAAAAUAAAAACGAAUCAUCAUCUCGUAAGAAUGUAUGAAACAACACAUAGCGCAAGGAAAAUGGAUUACAGUGAAACAUAAAAAUCAAUCAUGAGUGUAUACAAUGCUUUUAAGACUUAUCUUCAGAGACUUGCAGCAACAGUAGCAUAAGAUGAAAACAGUAGAUCAUGCUUCCGCAUUUUUAUUCCCCAAAGCUCAUUUAUAAUAACUUUAUAGUUGACACCAGCAAGAGUAGUAAAUUAAAUGAAGUGAAAGGCACGCGGUCACUACACAAGUAUUCUUAGACUGAAGAAACGUUAACAUACAUACAUAAGUAAAUCCUUGUGGACCUUUCAUUUAGAGUUUUGAAGAUCUGUGAAUUGAGCUUGAAGAGAGUACAAGUCGAGGGAGAGAAAAAAAAAGUAAGAGGAUAAGGUCAUUCAAAAACAUAUAAUGCAGAUGUCGAAGUCUAGAUUGAAAAUGUUAUAUAACAAACCAAUUGAGUUUCAAGAGAGUACAUGAAGCCAUGAUCAUUAUAGAAGAGAAGAUGGGAUACAGCUUGUAAUUUAAUCUUGUUUGAAAAGAACAUUAAAUAGACUAAUCACUAAUCUGUUAACUUAGAUUUGCACAGAGCUUGGAACAUAACAGUCCACAAGAUUGUCAAGCCGUGAGUAUGGAGCUUCUAUGCUCUCCACUUCUCUGAAAUCACCACUUUCCCCAUCAAUGAUGUAUGUCUUGAAAGAUCCUUCACAAUUAUCAAAAACUACAAAGUUCUUCUUCUCCUCGUCGAUCAAGAAAAUCUCAAACAGAAAACGACAAUUGAGUUUCAACGUUUCAACUUUGAAUAACUUGCUCCAGGACACAGCACCGGGCUCAAGCUUAUCCGUAACCCAAACAUCAAAAAUCUCAAAUAUUAUACCCCGUUGUUUUAACAACAACGCAAGCCUCUCUUCUUUAACCGAAGAUAGAGACGCAUAGCCUCCGUAAGCAAAACUAAAUGGUAGAGGCAGACGCGGUCCAAACUUCUCUCUAGUAAAAUCAAAACAGAGUAAGUAAACAUCUUCUGAGUCAUCUUUAGCAAUCCAGUAAGUGUUUCCCUUCGAAGACAAGCCAGGUUUAAUAUACUUUAUUACAUUGCUGUGAAAAGCUUCAUAAGGAGUCUUCCAUGAAUCACAACUCAAGUCGUAGAUGUCUACGUGGAUGACAAUAUUAUCAUCACUGCUUAGCCUAAGGAUUUUGUGUGUACGACAUGAUUUAUCGUAUCCAAAAGCAAACAUCUUAUAAUAACGUUCUGUUGGGCUUUCAAUCCAUCUUGUUUUACCCCAGUACGGGUUACAAACCAAAAGCCUACGUUUGUCGUUGCCUUUCCAUAGACAUAGCAGUAAACCGUUGCAAUAAAAGACAUGACGUACAGAGACUACUUGAUCUGACUUUUCUCGUGUAAUAAGUAUACCGUUACGGUUCAUGGAUGGAUCAAAGUUUUUCUUGUGAAAGUCAUAGAAUUUGACGCUAAUCAAAUGAUCUUUGGUAUUCACCGUGAUCACAAGAACCUCCUUAUCUCGUUGUGAUGCUGCUGUUUUUUCAAUGUGCUUAUUGGCAAAUCUCUCAUCUUUAGAUAAAACGUUCCAGUUUUUACAAGUAGAUCGCACUGCUCCUAUAGAUUUCAACAGAACCCUAGAGAGAAUCUCCUCUAGCAAGUCCACAGGAAGAUUGGAUAUCAUCGUCUUCAUAUUGUUUCAAGCUUCAAAAUAAGAUGGAUGAACACAAAUAAGUUUAGAUCAAUCUUCGAAGACUCUUUUUCUUUUCCCUUUGUAGGAGUUUUUCUUUUCUUACUGAGAAGCUGUGAAGCCCUAGUUCCCCAAUGAAUGUUAACGUAACUCAACUCCAAGGAAGAUCAUUGUUAUUGGACCUUUUCUUAUUCAGGUCCAAUGAUUAGGGAUGGACAAAAAAUCUGAACCAAACUAAAACGGACUGAUCCAGCCGAACCCAAACGAUUCAAGUUAAACCAAAGUAUAUGUUCCAACCAUUUAAUAAUAUUUAACCAUCUAACAUUUAAAAGAAAACUAAAGAUAUUUUUAUACAUUUUACUUCUAAAUAAAUAGAUAAAAUUAUAAAUUCUAUAUACUAUCAUUAAAACUGAAAAUUACUAUCAUAUUUAUAUUAGACUCGAAAAUAAUAAUAUAAAAUUAUUGAGUUAUAUCUUCUACAUUUUCAUAUGAUGUACUUUACAUAUAAAUAUGAAAAAUAAUAAUUUAAUUGAUGAUUUUUAUAUUUUAAUAAAAAAAAAAUUUUAACUGAACUACAAACAUAAAAAUUAACUCGAUUGAAUUAAACAAACACAAACAAAACUGAAUUAACUCAAACUGAAUAUAACCAAACUGAAGAUCAAACCAAACCAAACUAAUUUAUAUCAGAUACACUCAUCUUAUUGUAGAGCAUGUGAUCUUCGGGCGUUUUACCAAAAACCCAAAAAAUUAAACCAAGAAAACCAAAAUCAAACUGGUAUUCACAAAUACAUGAAGGGUUUCUAGUUCCUAAUUUUCUAACUUUUCUUUAUGGCAAACUUUUAAAAUUUUAUUAUUAUCAAAAUGGGGUAUGUUCUUGUUCUGUCCAGCAAUUUGGUUUCUUUAUUGUUGUUUUUUUGCUCUUGCUAGUCUAGCAUGUCUUAAAAAAUCAUCAAAUCUUUUCCCAUUAUGUUUACUGACAGAAGCAGGCGGUCCUCUCAGUUUUGUCAAAGAAAUUGUAGAGAUAAUGUAAUGAUUUAGGCAUGUUUGUUUGUCUGUUUAUGUUUUCUGAGACAUUGGUUAUGUAUGUGUUGACUAUGUUAUGGUGUACAAUGUUGUUGAGAAGCUGAAGCUAGCAGGAGAAGAAAAACAGUGCUUGGCCAUUUACGUACUCAAGCGUUGUUGGCGGAAUAACAACCGAUCCAACAGCUAUGUUCUUCCGUGAUGUAGUAGUGUGUCAACUUGAGAACAUUGUUGAGAAAAAAGUAUAUAAAGUCUGUUCAUCACUCCAUAAUUAAAAGAAGACAAUGCUAACAAAAUGAACAUAAACCAUCAUCUAAUAAGCAUGUACAAAAAAAGUAACAACACAGAGCAUAAGAGAGCGCAACAGUGAGUCCAGUGAGACAAAUAUUCCAAACGCCCGGUGAAUUAUGAACAGUAUUUUGCUUAUCUAAGCAAACAUAAUCAGCCAAUAAGUAAACAUAAUCAGCCAAUAAGUAUGGAGAUCAAAGGGAAUGAGAUCAAUGCUUGCUUACAAACUCAACAAAGACCAAUCUAGCACUAGAAUUCUGGAAAUCUGCAAUUAAUUUAAUUGUUUUUGUGCUGUAUAACAUUCACACGCUGAGUGAUGAGCUUGAUGUAAGAUUUAGCCCACUUCAUAUUCUCUUUUGAAACUUUUGGUACAAAUGAGUUUGAGGUUUUAUAACAGUAAACCCAGAAAAAAGAAGAUACAAAUCCAAAAAAAAGUAGUUGUUGGGUGUUGCUGUUGCAUUUGCUUUCUCAGUUUCCCAAGAGGUCCAUAAGAAAUCUACCUGUUGUCAUGGGAUCUGAUGUCUGACUGAAUAUCUGCUCUAAAAUUUGCUUAGUGCGGGUUUGAGAUGCGAUACUUGAAGAGAUGCUCCCGGCAAUAACAUGAUGAGUAACAAGCAUUAUCUAAGCUCAUCUAACAAGAGUAUUCUAUUAUGAAGUGAAAGCCACACAAGCAUUGACCAGUCACUUUUGGACACAAUUGAGAGAGUUAGGCGGUGAAUACUACAUAGGUACGAGUGCAUUGUGUGUUCCUUACAGAGGCUAACAUGAACAGUAUCUUGUUUUUCUAAGCUAACAUAAUCAGCCAAAAUCAGAGGCACGAGUGCAUCAUCCCCAACCCGAUCAAAAUUAUACUAGUAACAAGUGACAAUGAGGGUAAACAGUUUUUGCUUAACAUCCAAGAAAAAACAGUCUCUGUGCGAUCGCAUUAGAUAAAGUAAGCGGCUUUCAUGCGUUUCACACGGAUAUACAAACAAAGAUCAUGCAGACCUAAUCAGUUCAGGCUAAAGCUCUCAACUUUCCCAGUUAAAUGAGAACAUAACGAUCAAAUAAAGAUGACUGUGCUAAUAGAAACCAAACCCAUCAAGCUAAACCUAGUAGUACCAUGGCAAUACAAUGACCAAGGAUACCGACCACGAGAAUGGAAAAUUCUGAGAGACUUGGUUUCUUCUCCUCUCAGACUCCGCUGAACAAGGCAGAACGAAAGACCCGCUGAAACGAAAAGAGUGUUUCUUUUGUCUUGUAUCAGAGUCCCACAUCGCUAACAAUACAAGAGUGGAAUGCAUGAGGAGAAGUAUAAAAGAAAAGGCCAUGAGACUGAACAAUUCAUACCUUUCUCUGCCUUUUGGCUAAGAUCAAGUGUAGUAUCUGUUCUUAUCAUACUCCCUCCGUUUCGUAAUAUAAGUUUUGGCUAAAAGCGCGAAGAUUAAGAAAAUUAUUAUGUUUUUAAAAAGUAUUUUAUAAUAAAUAGGUUAGAUAUAAUUUAACCAAUAAAAAAUAAGUCUAUUUAAUUUGAUUGGUCACACUGUAUUCAAUAAAUGUAAAAAUUACCUAAAAAUACGAAAACUACUUAUAUUUUGAAACAAAAACAUUUCUCUAAAACUACUUACAAUAUGAAACGGAGGGAGUAUCUGAUAUGUGACCCAUCGGAUCACACGAUAUUAACUCUAUUUUUUAAGGGAUGAGGUCCAUCAAGAUAGCUUGCUAUCUGAGUCUCUACGAGUCGCACAUGCGUUGCACUAUUGCACGAGCCGACUCAUCCCACCAAAUUUCCAGUUUAAAUUUUCCGAGUUGUUAUGCAACGAUAGGCUCUUUGGUCUCAUUCUUUUUCUGAGAAGAAGGUUCAGAGACAGCAAGGAGAUUGUUCAAAGAAACAAUAGUCUGCUGGGAAUGUGUGUCUAUUAUGCAGAGAGUAAUUAUUCCAAAAAAAAAAAUGAUUAAUUCUCCAACAAAACCAGCCGGCUCCGGACCGAAAAGACCUAACAGAGUAGGUGUAGGUGAGCCCGGUGGUAUAAAUGUUUAUGUUGGACCCAAGACUAAAUGGAUCUAUUUGCUCAAAAUAAGGCCCACAACUAUUAAAUUGUGAUUUAAAAGUCUGAUAAUCAUUAUAAAUAGUUCGUAUCUACCCAAAGCCUUGUUUGGAAUUGAUAAAUUAUGAUAAUCUAGUUAAGGUUUUGAGAAAUUUGAAUCCUUGUUGGGUAAUGGAGGAUGCAUUGAUAUGAGAAUUUUGGCAGAUGCAAAAGUGGAAGGUUGUAUGCAUCAUAGAAGAAAAAAUCACAGAAUCUCAAUUCUAAAUAAAGUAGAAGUGGAUAUUGAGAAGUUCAAAAUCUUGAGGCAACAAGGAGAAGAAGAUAUCCCUCUUUGGAAAUGUGGGGAAUAUAAAGGGAAGUUCUUAACGAGUGAAACAUGGCAGAUUAUGAGAGAAAGGCAUCAGACUUUUGAGUGGUACAAGGCGAUAUGGUUCAAGCAUUCCACUCCAGAGUUCUCUUUCUUGGUUUGGGUUGCUAUGAAGAAUAGGCUUGCAACAGAGGACUGUAUGAGGCAAUGGAACGUAAAUGUGGAUGUGUCUUGUAUACUCUGUCAAGAGCCUAUAGAAACAAUUGCUCAUCUCUUCUUUGGGUGUCCUUAUUCAAAACAUAUAUGGGGGGAUCUUGCGAGAGGAGUUCUCAAGGAACAUUACACAGAGAGUUGGAUGGAGAUAGUGAGGUUUAUUACUGAUUCAAGUCGAAAUAAUCUUCAGCUAUUUGCAACCAGAUAUAUGUUUCAAGCGGCUGUUCAUAGCAUUCGGAGAGAGAGGAAUAGAAGAAGACAUGGAGAAAAAGAGUCUCAUCAGCUCUGUUGGCAAGUAUGAUAGAUAAGACUGUGAGAAACAAGUUUUCUAUCAUCCAAAAGAAUAAAGUUAAAGAACUAGAGGGAAGGUUGAGCUAUUGGUUUGGAGCAAACCAAAGCUAAAAAGGAAAUUGAAGCUUAAAGAUAUAGAAGAAAGUGGUCUAAUUCUAUAAGAAAAAUUUUGUAUAGAGAGUAUGAAAGGAAGCACACUGAUGUAAAAAGGUUUUUUCUUGAAUUCAAAAAAAAAAAGAAGAAAUUUGAAUCCUUGUUUGCCACAUGUUCAAAGUCUCACCCGUGGAAUGUUCCUAUUCUGUCCAACAACGAGGUAGUUUUGGUCUCUUUAUUGUUUUUUCUCUUUCCUCUUUACAUGUCUGAUAAUUCGUCUAUCAUAUCUUAAAAACAUCAAAGAUGUUCCCAUUUUGUUCAUUGACAUAAGCAGGCGUCUUCUCAAUUUUGUCGAUAAAAUUAUAGAUGUAGAGAUGCUGUAAUGAUUGAGCCAUGUUUGUUAGUCUGUUUAUGUCUCUAAGACACUGGUUAUGUAUCUAUGGACUAUGUUUUGGUGUACAAUGUGGUAUUUUUUAUAUGCUCACCACACAAGUAUUGAGCAGUCGAUUCAUGAUAAAGUCAAAAUGAAUCAUUUAUAAUAAUAGACUUGUUACUUUAAAAUUUUAAAUGGUAAAAUAACAUAUUUAUCUCAAUACACAAAUUUAUCUUAAACAUAAAUAAUAUAUAAUACAUCUAAAUGUUCAUCAUGCGCAAAGCACGAAUUUGGUUGGUCCAUCUAAAUGUCAAUAUAAAUGCUCUCUAAUAUAUAAUACAUAUAAAUAGGUUGUUCCAUCUAAAUGUCAAUCUAAAUGCUCUCUAGUACUAGGUUAAGAUUUGUGCUUUGCGCAUGAUGAACAUUAUAUAUAAAUGCUCUCUAGAGCUACCGAAUUUUGAUUAAUAUAUUUAUGUAUUUUAUAUGGUAUAUAGUUAAUUUAAAUGAUAUUAAUAUAUACAUAUAUAUAUAUAUAUAUAUAUAUUAAUCUUAAUAUAUAUUAAAUUAGUCUUCAUACUUAUAUGAUUUUGUAAUCAUUUGUAUCUUGUCAUAACAAAAAUUUUAAACCAUGGUUCACGAAAAUUAUAAUGUGAGACUUUUAACAUUUUUAGUAAUUUAUAGUCGUUUUUUAAAAUUCAAAAUAUAACAUAUAAUGAAAAAAUCUAAAUUUAUAUUAUAUGGUUAAUGUGGUUGUUUAAUUUAUUUUAAUAAACUAAAAUUGAAAAAUAAUAGAUGAUACACUAAUUUUUAUCAAAUCUUUAUUAUUCAAAGCCAUUAAUUAUCAUAUAUACUUUAGUCACAUUAGGAAAUUCCAUAAUUUUUAUUUAUGGAAAUAAUAAAAAACAUUAAUAAUUAAUUUAUGGUUAGUUUAAUAAAAAAAUAUUAUAUAUUUAGAUAAACCAACCUAAUUCUCUAGGAAUUUCAAAGAAUCAUUGUGGUGAUAAUACAUGGCUACUUCAAACGUUGUAAUGUUUCUCUUUUAAUAUAUAAAAGAUUCUACAAAUUAGAACUUGCUUUUUUAUAUAUAUAUGUUUGUCUGUUAUAGAAGUUUUCCAUUUUUGGCGAUAUUAUUUUCUAAUUAUUUAGCUCGGUGUAUUCCUCUUUUUAAAGUCUUAUAUGUAUACUGGAAGUUGUUGAUAGAAAUUUCUAAACAUGAUGAAGUAUAAGUGUUUUUUUUUUUGUAACAGCGAUGAUGAUGAAGUUGGUUCAAUUUUCGGUACUUUUUCUUUGUUUACUUUUAUUUUAGAAGAAAUACACAGUCCAAAAAAUUAGCGUGAUGAUCUAUUUCUCCUCAAAACUAUUAUAUAGCACUGUAUUCAUACGAAGUUUAGCCGCUAUUCUAAAUCUAAAAUUCGAAACCUUAUUACACCUAGAAUUAAAGUUUUAAAAUCUUAUUACAUCUUUUUCCAAAAAAUAAAAUAAUAUAUAUAUAUAUAUUUUUUUUUUUUAUUAGUACUGAGUCCAUGCUGCGCAUGGAAAUAUAUUUUUUAAUUUGCUCAUUAAACCAAAUGUCCUUCGUUAUAAAACCUUAUUUUUGAUUACUCAUGAAGCAUAUGAUUUAUGAUUUUUUCAAAUUUCAAAUUUUUUAAACAUACUUUAAAGUUAUAUUUAUAUUUAUAUUUCGAGGAAGAUUUUAAAAAACCACCUUGGUAAAUAUAUAAAAUCGUUAAUGAAUGUGAUUGUCUCAGUGCCUAUAUUAUUCCUGGCCCUAAAGAGGUUGUAAAAAAUUUGAAAAAUAAUUUAUUUGUGUAUUUAGAUGGCAAACAUCUGAAAAAUGUGUAUUGUAAAUACUUCAACAAUACGAACUUGUACCUUCUAAUAUGUAUAACUGUAUUUUUAUAAUUUAAUCAACGUUGCUAGAAUUUAUAACGGGAAAAGGUUAAUAUUACUAACUUUUUGUGAAUUUUCUGUAAUCUUUUAUACUAUAAAAUAGAAGUCAUUUGACAAUUUUAAGAGUGAAAUGUGUCUUUUAACAUUAUUGUUUUUAAAAAAUAUUUUGUAAUUUUUUGGAAAUUUGUGUACGUUAAAAGAAAAAUUUAUACUAACUAACAAACUGAUAAGUGGUUACACUGCCAAGAACCAAGCCACGAUCUUUAUAUAUUACUUUCUUGGUUCUUUUAAGAAAUCACCAUCAAAAACCACUCUAUCAAUCUCAAAACGCUAACUGUAGAAAAAAAGACAGAGGAAUUGAAAUAGAAGAAUCUUUUGAAAGACAAGAGUGAAUUAUUUUUUUAUUUAGUAAAUGAAGAGUGAGUUAUUUUGUAUUUCUAUUCCAUUUUGAAACUUUUAAUGUUUUUGGAAUUGCCAAAAGAGAAGAAAAAGUUUUCAGAUGGAUUUUUUUCUUAUGUAUGGUUGGCUCUAUAUCACUCGACGAAAGGGAGAAGGGGGAUUGAUGAUCGAUUUCAGGUAUUUUCUUAACUUUGUCUCUGUUUAUAAUUCAAAUUCACUUUGUAGAGCCUACUAAUCAAAUCUUACGUGCAUCCAUUAUGAAAUUUAAUGCAAACAAACUGUUAAGUCAAGACCAAACCAACAGAAAAACCAACUAGAAAUUGAAGAAAAGUAUCACGAAUGAUGAAUUAAAAGAAGACGAAAAUAGCAACUAGACAUUGGGAUUCAUUAGCGCUAAUGACGUCAUUUUCACAACUAUGUGAAAGGUUUGUUUUCUAAUCCAUAGCUAUUCAUUAUUACAUUCUGGUUUAUUUUGUGGUUCUUUACCGCAACUACAAACAUUUGUUUUUUAUUUUGGUUAAAUCUCUUUUCAACAUUUAUAUUGUCAGAGAUUUCAUGUGAUAUAGGGAAAAAUCAAAUCAAGUAAAGCAGUGAUAAUCAAAUUUAUGAAAAACUGUUAGUAUAUGGGUGUUCUCUUGUUUAUUUAUUUUCUUAGGUAUUGCCUGCUGAUUUUAUUAAGUUUUGCUUGGUUAAUGUGUUAAACUGCAAAAAGAAAUGUAUAUGCUUUUAUUUGUAAAAUAUUAACCUUUAAUCAUACUUAACAACAUUUCAUACUUUUAUAAAUAUUCUAUAUUUAAGCAAUCAUAAUUCGCAAUACAUAUAUUUAUAUUAUAAAAAUAUGCAUAUUUACAUCAUUUCAUACUUAGAAACAAUUAUUUUUUCUUCUUCCUAUUCAUAUUUUAUAUUGACAAAUAAAAUGUGCCACUGCUAUGCAGAGGCCAUAAUACUAGUAUAACUAACAACACACAUUCUAGCAAAUUGAGAAUUGAUUUAGUCUAUUUUAAACAUGUUAUUGACCUAUUUUGUUUGAGUUUACCUUUUUCAGCAUGUAGCUUUUCCAAUAUCUGAAGAAGAAAAACAUAAAAGAGUUUAAGUAGGUUAGAAAAUGAAAUUUUCGUGGAAAAAAUUCAGCAUGAUGUAAAUCAUAAUUUGACUAACCUAAUUUUAACCAUCAUUUGCCGAUAGCCUACUCUGCGAUACGCCCCAGCCCCUCCCAAAUUGUAUUUAUCCUUUUCUCAGUUCACUGUAGGAUUCAAAUAACUUAACAAACAAAAUAUUCUGUUAUCUUUGUAUAUAUUGUUAUCUCUUUUAGUGCUAAAGCUUUGUAAUAAAUUUUAUAUGGAUUCUUUGUUUGGCAUCAGUCAAAAAUCUCAAUCCAAAAAACGAAGAAUACGAAAAAUGGGGAAGAAAAAUGAUAAAACGCACGAGAGAAGGAGAUCAAAUAGAAAGUAAAAACUAGAUCGAAAUUAUAUAGAAGAUAAAACAGUUUUAAAAUGAUGAGCAUUAUCUAUCAAGUCUUUUUAACCAUGGUGUUGAUGAUUAGAGAAAAUUUAGGAUUUUGUUAUUAGGAUUUUUAAAAUUGAAAUCGUAAAUACAAUUUUUGUAUUAACAAUAACUUCGUAAAAAAUAUUUCAUGUGUCAUGAGUUGAUUGGUAGAGUGACUUGAACUUUAUUAUAUUAAAGAUAUUAUUACACCUCAAACUAAAAGUGUUUUUUUGGGUCAAAUACCUUGCUCUAAGUGAAAAGGGAAAACUUAACUUUUUUUGUACCUAACUUCUUAAUUAGAAACUUAGAAUAUAAAACAUAAUUAAAAAAAUAAAAAAAAAUUAUUUAUUGGUUCAACCGGUGGUUAAACUGGUAUCGGGUUCCAGGUUUUAUUGGAUUUUUGCGGGUUUCUAAAUAUUGUAUUUUUCGCAAAAUCUAAACCGAAUUUUUUAUGGAUCACUGGAUUUACCGGUUCAACGGGUUUACCGGUUCAACCACAGGUCCGGGUCGGGUUUCAAAACACCGGCUCCAACUAAAAGUUUGAAAACUUUGUUUACAUCUGAAGUUGUGGCUAACUCUUGAUUUGCUGUAUUAAAACUAGGUGAUUUUUCCGUGCUCAUGCACAUGUAUAUAUAUUUGUAAAGUAAAUAUACUAUAAUAAUUAAUUUCCAUUUACUUUUAAUUUUAAAUUAAUUUAUAAUUUGUAUGCAUCAAUUAUAUUAAUAAUAUUAUAUUCCUUUGAUUAUACAUAUGAUUUUAUAUAUGUUAUAUCUAAUCGUUUUUUUUUUUGUUUUUACAGUCGAUUUAUUUAUCAUUUGGGUAAAUUGAUUGUAUCUCUGAAUUCAACAGUAAUAUUUUUAUUCUAUAUAUUAAUAUUUUGAUUAAUUUCUUAUUUGCAUUUAGGUGGUUUUUUGUCUUAGAUAUGUAAAUAUAUUUUAUGAAGAUUUUAUAUAACUUAAGAUAUAUUGUUCUUAGAAUGAAAUAAAAAAUAAAGUAAAGUGUCUGAUUCCAAAUUACAUAAAUUAAUAUAACGAUAAUAUUCUAAAGUGUCGUGCAUAUAUAUAAAUUUUACUAAAGAACUAAAUUGUAACAGUUGGUUAAUAUUUUAUUUUUAUUUUAAUAUGUUUUGAGUUGUCCUAUGAUUUAUAUUUAUAAAAUAAAUUACUAUUCUUAUGAAAUUAUAUAUUUUUAUCAUAGUUAAAUUUAUGAUUUUAGAUAUAAGUUGGAUUAGUCGAGUCCCUCAUGUUGUGAGUAUAUUGAGUUACAUAUAUUCUUUCAAAUUCGAAAUGAAUUAUAAUUAUUUGUUAUUAUAAUUAACUCAAAUCAAUUCAAUUUUAUUUAUCGUUUAAAUGUGCAUGUAUUUUCAUAAUAUUUAUUAAAUUAUAUGUUGAUGUAUUUUUAAAAAAGAUUAGAAAAUAAAGUGAUGAUCAAUAGGAAGUUACAUGCAUAAGUAGCUGAUACAUUUUGAGAAACUCACGAACACAUAUCAAUAUUUGCAAUAGUUAAAAUAUUUUAUAAAUUCUAAAUAGCUUUAUGCAUUUGAUUUGUUGAAUGGAAACUGAAAUUUAUUUUAAAUAAUUUUAAAAAUGAGAAUUCAGAUUUUUUUUGGUAUUUUGAUUAUCGUUCUAUUAAUUUCCACAAACACAAAACCAUAAAAUUUUAAAGAAAAUUUAAUAUUAAGAAAGCAAAUAACUUUAAUAAUGAUAAAAUACAAUAUAACUACCUCAUUAAACUAUUUUGUAUCUAUUUGAUCAAACAAUGUUUAUUUUUAAUUUUUUUAAUAUCUCUUAAAAAUAAGCAGUAAAAAAAUUGUGAAUGUAUUUGAAAAUAAUAUUAUAUAAGUAAAAUAUAAUUUAUCGAUAUUUUUUUGCUGUAAAAUAUAUGAAAAAUAAAUAAUCUAUUUCAAUAAUACUAAUUAUAAACUAUUUUUAGUCAAUUAAACCAAUAUCAGUUUAGGUUGCUUAAUUAUUUUAUGUAUUCAUCUAAAAAAUAGAUAGAUAUAUAUAUAUAUAUAUAAAUAUAUUUCUAUUACUUUGAAUUUUUUGUAUUGUUUAACAUCUGUUUAAAUUGUUUUUAAUAAAAUCACAUUAUAUACAAUUAUAUUUUUCAUCUAAGAAAAUAUAGAUAUAAAGAAAGUAUAUUAUAAAUUCAAAAGUAUAUUUUAUGUUAUUUAAAAAUAUUUUUUUUAAUAUAAUAUUACUAUUUUGUGAAAAAUAUAUAUACUAAGUAUUUGUAAAUUUAACAAAAAAAUUAACUAAAAGAAAAUAAAAUAUAAUAUAAAGAAUACACGAUUUUUAACUUUCAAGAAUACAAAAUAAAAUAUACUUCAAAAUAAAAUUUCAAAAGUGUAUCUUUAAAAUAAAUUAGAAAUCAAUAUCAGAUGUGUUUUUUCUAAUAAUAUUCAAAUCAAAGAAUCGCAUAAUCCUCAUAAACAAAGAGCACAUCAAGAAAUAUAUGGUUUGAUGGAAAGUAAAUCAUACAAGCCGAAGACAAAAUCCGAUAGACAAAAAAUGUAUCACACCAGAAAAUACCGGAUAUACUAGUGAAUAAUUCUAUGAUGGAAAGUAAAUCAUACAAGCCGAAGACAAAAUCCGAUAGACAAAAAAUGUAUCACACCAGAAAAUACGGGAUAUACUAGUGAAUAAUUCUAAUAUAAAAACAAGAUUGGAAAUUUACUCUCUCUCAAAGAUGUUAAGUAAAGGGACAAAGUGAGAUUCCCAAGCCACAAUUUAUUUAUACGUUUAAAAUUAUUUUUUAAUCAAUCAAAAGAAAAUAACAAAAUUUUCACUUUUAAGUUUUUUUUUAAUAUUAAUCAACGUUAUUAUCUUAUGUUUUGAAAAAUAUUUUUUUGUCAGUUAUAGUCAAAAUAUUCUUAGAAACUAACUAAAUAAGCUAUACCGAAAUAAAUCUAACAUGGUGUGAUUUAUAAGAUUUUUAAAAAUUAUUGUUCUUGAAGCAAACUACAUGAUGAAUUUUUAUAAUCAUUAGUUUGAUUUACCUCAUACAACAUAUAAAAUUUAAGAUGCUCUCUGUUGAGUUAUGUGGAAGAAAAUAUUUAGAAAACAAUCUUUAUAAGAUAGAUGAAAAAUAAAAAGCCUAAGAAAGCAUGUUAAAUAAGUUAGUCAAUAUUUUAAAUAAAAAUAAAAGAUUUUACCGCGCAACGCACGGUUUGUUUGUCUAUAAACAUUAAACCUUAGAUUUUAAAAAAAAAGUUUGUUUUUUAAUAUUAUAUCAUUUAUUUGUUUCGAUAUAUUUUUUUGUUUGAAAUAUCAUUAAUUUAUGUUAACAUAUUAAAUGUCUCUAUUAAUCUUUUCGUAACCAUGUUUAAAUCUUUCUUAAAAUUUAAAAUACUCUACAUUUAAUAAAAUAAAAUAAAAAUCUAUCAUCUUAUGUAUAUUAUAUAUUUUCUUAUAUAUCGUCUGAUUGAUUUUGAAUUAUUUUUUGAAGUAUACGUAAAUAACCUUUACUUCAUAUAAAUAUAUAAUUUUAUAAAUGUGUAAUAAUUUUGAAUACUUAAAUCUGUAAUUUUGAUAACCAAUAAAAUGAUUCAGCAAUUCUUUAAGUUUUGAAGCCAUAAUUUAUUUUCAGUAUUAAACUUUUGGUCUUUAUUAUUUUGUAAAUAAUUAUUUGUUAUAAAAAUGUGAAAUGUGUAGUAGAUUUCAAUAUGAACAAUUAUGUAUUUAGCUACUACAUAAAAGGAUAUUGAGAAUCAUUAACAUAUUCAGAGAUGGUCAAUUAUUUAACUAAUCUUAAAAAUUAUCUCUUAACAUUAAAAAUUCUUAGGUGUUGAGUUUCAUGAUAUAAUCUUAUUAACUUAUUCUCUCUCUCUGUUAGAAAAAAUCAGAGAAGUGUAUGAAAACAAAAGCAUAAUAUUGAAAUAUGGACACGUACCUCUUCAUCAAUCAUCAGCAUCUCAAGGCCGAGAAGGAUGCCUCCUUUGGAAUUAUUGUGAGCUUUCCAAAAAUAGAUUAGCUUAAAAAGCAACUGGGAAUCUCCAUGUCCUGAUGAAACCUUACCGAAGAAAAGCGGAGAAUGAACUUGGGUGGUGGUGACUGCCGUUUGAUUUGCCAUAAAGGUAGGAAUGGAUUUGAAGAUCUGAGCAAUAGAUUUUUGGGUUAAGGAGGCAUCAUUAUGAUUGAGUAAGAGGAGGGAUGUGGAGACUUAGACGUCUAUUUGUCUGGAAGAGUAAUUAAGUUAAUUCGUUAUUAUAGCCGUCGCAAGCGUUAUACGGAGGAGAUAAGAAGACAGUGAGUUCUAGAAAGUCUUCUGUAGAUGUCGUAAUAAAAUUAGGUUGGAGUAAAAAGAUGGCAAAACAAAUGGGUCAUUAAACCUAAAUGGCCUAUUAGGCAUCAUAGAUUCCUGGUCCAACAACUUAACAUCCAUGAUAACAUGGACAAAUGAUUGGUUGCGAAUUUUUCGCUGACGUGGAUAGCUUAAAAGGGCUUCAUAUUCUCCUUUUAAUUAGGGCUGGACUUCGGAUAUUCGGUUCGGGUUCGGAUAGGAUCCGAUCGGGUCCGGGUUUUUCGGAUAAAUGAAUUCUAUACCCAAUGGGUACUUAGUAGAUUUCGGUUCGGGUUUCAGAUCAUGUACUACCGGUUUCGGGUCGGUUCUGGGUACCCGUUUCUUAGUGAAUUAUAUAAAUAUUUGCAAAAUUAAAUAAUUAUAUACCAGUUUUUUAUUUAUUUAUUUUAUUUUUAAAGGAAAAGUAAAUAGAAAUCAUAUAUAUAUUUGUAAUAUGUAUUAAAUAAACGAAGUUGAACUAGUCCAGUAGUAUUACAGUUGUCGCUUUGCCUAUCCAACCUGGGUUUGACCAUCGCAAGAUACAAAUCGCUGUUUUUUAAGCAUAGAAUUCAGAUUAAACGGGUACCCGUUCGGUUACUUUUAAUAGUGUAAGAUUUAUAACGAAAACCAACAAUAAAUAAAUAACAUAAAAAGUAAUAAAAGGAACAAUCAAUGAAUUUAUCAAUAUAAAUAUACUAUCUAAGUAUUAUAAUCAACAAACUAAAAACAUACAAAUUUUAAACAUUUAAAAAAAAAUCUCAUGAUUACAAUGAAUACGCUAUCUAAUACUUGGAGAAUUGUCAAAAAUAUCACAUUCAUAGUACUACUUUUCAUGUUUACACUAACCACUUUUAAUCCUCACUUUUAAUGAAGGGUAUAAGACAUUUAUAAUACUUCGGUUAAUUAAUCUAGAUUUAGGGUUUAUAGUGUAGGGUGGGAUAGGGUUUUUGGAAUAUGAAAUUUAGAAUUCUAAUAAAUUUAUAAAUAAAUACUUAAAAAUAUAUUUAAAAAACUUAAAAAUAGUUUCAAAUAUAAUUUCUGAUUUUCAAAAAGAAAUUUUGAAAAAAAAAAUCAAAAAAAAUUAAAAAAAAAAGUUUAUAAAAAAGUUCAAAUUUAAAAAAGUAAAAUUCGAAAACAUAAAAAAAUAUUUUUUUUCUAUUUAUUUAAAUAAUUAUUUAUUAUAUAUAAAAAGAACAAAGAUAUAAAAGUCUUUUGUCACUUAGUAAAGAACAUAUUUUUGAAAAUGUCCUACGAAAGUGAUAAACAUAAAAUUUUCUCAAAAAAAUAAUAACCUUAUUACACUUUUAACUGAAAGUUUAUUUACAUCUGAAGCCGGGGCUAACGCUUGAUAUUCUUUUUCAGACGAAAAAGGUUUAUGAAGAGCUCUUGAAAAGGGUUUUUGAAGAGUUCUUGAAUGGUAAAGAGACUUGAACUAUACACCCAUUAAAAAAAAAAAAAAAAAACUAAUCAUCCUAUAACCAAACGCACACAAGAUUGAACCAAAAUAACUCACUAAACCAGCAAUUACAACCCGAUCACCUAAUUUACAUGCCUAAAUCCUCUGGGGUUCUUCAUCUCCCAAAAAAAAAACAGAGAACGAACCCUAAAAUCGAAAUCCAUGAAAUCUGAUGUAUCGUUUCACGGAGUUUCUUCUCUUGUUGACGAAUCCGACGAUGAAGAUCGGAGAAGAGUAUCUUCCGGAUGAUUUUCUAGUGGACAUACUCUCAAAGAGGUUCUAUUGGCAUCUCUAGCAAGAUUUCGAUCGGUAUCCAAAGGAUGGAAUGCUCUGAUCAAAGAUGUGAUCAGAUUCAAGAAAUCGUCUCAGAUCAUGUUGAUUGAUUCUAGGGUUUAUUUAGUGAGCAUUGAUUUCCUUGGAGCUCACGACAACAUUGUAAACAUAAAAAAUCAGUUUAGCCUCAAAGAACCCCUUUCUAACUCUUCCAAAGAAGUCGAUAUACGUGAGGUUUUUCACUGCGAAAUGCACCACUGAAGACAAUAGAUUGGUGGUUUGGAAUCCAUGCUUAGGUGAAACCCGUUGAUGGAUCAAACCAAGAAGUUCCUAUCUGACACGAACGACAAGUACAAAAUCUUGAGGAUUUCUCUAUAUGAUGCCACGCCUAUACGAAAUCUAUGACGUUACUUCUAAUAACUCAUGGAGGGGUUUUGACCCAGACUAGGGACUGGUUCAAAUACGUACUGGCUUGCUUCUAGUUAUACUAAUGAACAGCCAUGGACGGAUAUUUACUAAGAUUCGAUUUUUUCAAAAGAGAGAUUCACAAGUAUGUAUAUUCCUUCUUCUGGCAGAAAUUUUGCUUUGUCUCGUGCCGACCAUAUAGAUGUAUGGAUGGCAACCCAGAUUGAUAGUACCGGCUCCAUGUCAUGGAGCAAGUUCCUAACAUUGAAACGAGUCUAUAACGAAGUUUAUGACUGGGAUGAAUUUCCUGGCAGACGAGGAGAAUAAAGUUAUAGUGUGCCCCGGUGAAUCUAUGGUAUCUGACAGGUUCUUCUUACACAUUGUUGGAGAGGAUAAAUACAUACAGGUGGACCAGCAUGAGGCAGGAUCUAGAUUCUCACUUCUCUCCUUAGCUAUGUUCCAACUCUGGUCUCUCCUUCAUAUCCAACAAGGUUCUUUUGGGUAUGUGCAAGGAAAAGACCAAUCACAUGUCUUGUGAUUGUCACACUAGGUUUAGUUAUGCAAUUUCAUGAUAUUUUGUAGAAAAUGAAAGUACUUUUUGCUACGUUUAUAUGUUGGAAUUUUUUCCAUUUGAGCUAAUUAGUAUAUCUUCCUUGCAUAAAGAAUACAGUAAGUCAGGAUAAUGAGAGUAGGUAAAAUCAUACAAAAGCAAAACAACAGGAUCAUGCAUCUCUCUUCCUCCCAAUCUUUGUACUCCAAGUGUUGAUCCUUCCUAUAAUCAAACGAAAUAAUUCAAAGGGUUAAAAGCCAUGAAUAUCUGGACCUGCUUCGUAACUUAUCUCUAUUAGCGUAUCAUCAUCGAUAAGCAUGUAUGAAACCAUACAAAGCGCAAAUAAUCAAUUUCAAAUGCAAUAUAAAGAUCAAUCAUUAGUUAAUACAAUGCUUUUAGAGACAUGCAGCAACAGUAGCAUAAGAUGAAAACAGUAGAUGCUUCUGCCUUUUAGUUGAUACUAGCAAGAGUAGUAUAUUAAAUCAAGUGAAAGGCACAGAGCAUUGUUAUAAGCUCUCCACACACGCACUGAACAGUCAAUUUUGACACAGUUCGAGUCUUCUCAGAGAGUUAAGCGGUGAAUAACUACAUAUGUACUACUAGUGCAUUGUGUGUUCCUUAGAGUGAGGCUAACAUGAUGAGUAACAAGCAUAUCUAAGCUAACAUGAUCAGCCAAAAAGUACAAAGAUGAAAGGGAAUGAGAUCCUUUAUCCUUCUCUUCACUGCUACAAUCACACUUCUACUUAUUCAGAUUAGCACCGCACUUCAAGCACAUUCCUUUACACGCAGGAUCACAUACCGCAGUCAUGGUGAUCUCUAAAUGCACCAAGUCCAUGUGCUGUGCAAUGUCGACAUUAAGAUGAGACGCUGAUUGCUAACUGGUUGGGUAAACCGUUUUUGCUUUAACAUCCAAAACAGUCUCUGUGGGAUCGCAUUGGAUAAAGUAAGUGCCUUUCAUGCGCUUCACACGGAGCAAACAAGAUCAAUGAUCGAAUAAAGAUGACUGUGCUAAUAGAAACCAAACCCAUCAUCAAGCUAAACCUAGUGGUACCAUGGCAAGACAACGACUGAACAAUCCCCUCUUCUUCCUUGGCCGAUUCAAGUCACUUUCCAGGCAAAAAAAAAUGCUUCACGGACGCCAAGAAGAUUCAGACUUUCGAAUAAGAUAACGACGAAAUCGAACGAGAUAAAACUGACCACGAGAAUGGAAAAUCAGAGAAAGUUGGCUUCUUCUUCUCACACUCUAGCUGAACAUCGAACUACCUAAAGGCAAGAACCAAAGACUUGCUCGACUUCAGGUUUAGGACUAUUGUCGGUUAAGCUUUAUUCAAAACCCGCUGAAUACGAGAGAGUGUUUUCUUUUCUGCUUGUACAUCUAUUCUAUUAAAACUCCUGUAUGACCAAUUGAUAUUUGUUUGAUCCAAUUAUUUAUAACCCACUUUCUUAAAAAUUUAACUGCCAUGACAUGUAUAUAUAUAUUAUAACCUCCUCUUCCCUUGGUAUUAUAUAACCUCCCGAUGAAAAAAAAAUGAAAAAAAAUAACUUUUUCUUCCCUUUACUUCCUAUCAUUUCGGGAUGCAUUACUUUGAGUGGAAAAAGUAUUCGACUACAAUCAUUGACAGCAACCAAUUCAUCUAUUAGAUGCUUUGAUUUUCGCAUGCUUGAUACCAUUCUGUAUAUACAUUAUCAAUAACAAUUAAUAGCAUUUAUAUUCAUAGUAUCAAUUACUAUGUUUACAAAUAAAUAAAUAAUUAUACCAGCUUUAAAUAUCGAACGGUUUGAAUAAAAAUAUCAAAUAAUUUAGAUAAUUUUAAAUUUAUGGAUAAAAAUAUUCAGGUAAUUUUGUUAAUAAAUAGUAUUUUUAGUAUAUUUAACUAUUUAAAAAUUAAGUAUAAUUAAUAUUUGUGGGUAUAUAAUUCCAUUUUAAAAUUUUGGAUACCUAUUUGGUUAGCGGUUUGGUUCCGUUCAAUUCAAUUUUUUGGUUCCAGAGAUAUAUGAUUCACUUGAUUAUUUAUGAAUUAGGUUUACAUUUGGUUUUAGUUUUUUGGUUCUGGAUAAAUGUGUCUAAACUUAUACAAUAUCUUAUACAUAAAUUAGGGGUGGUCGUUCGAUUACUCAUUCCGAUUUGGUUAGGAUCUAAUUCGGAUUUUGGGUUUUCGGAGUUUAAUAUUUUAGCCUCAUUCAGAUAUUUUUAAAUUUUAGUUCUGGUUCGAAUAACCCAUUGAAAUUAUUUUAAAAAUCUUAAAGUUCAUAUACUAAAUAAUAUUGAUAACUAAAUUGUAUAUUGAUAUAUUUGUUGCUUCCUACGAGCAAAACACAUACCUAUUUCAUUUAACUACUUUUUACAUUUAACUGAUUUUAUGAAUGUGGAACGGGUGAUAUUCUUUUUUUUUGUUCAACCAGGAACGGGGUGAUAUUCAUUUUAAGCUAUAUAUAAAAAAUAUACCGAAAAAACAAAACAAACAAUAUACCCGCGCUUUGUAGCGCGGGUCAAGAUCUAAUAUUCUAUUAAAACAGUAGUAUCUAUUAUAAAUAUUAAAAGAGAAGUCAUGAUUUAAUUCAUGUGUGAUUUUUUAAUUUGAAUCACUCCUUAGAAAGUUGUUAAAAUUAAUUUUUGUAUAAAUAUUUAAAUUAUUUGAAUUAUUCUAAGACAAACAAAUCAAAUAGAUAUUCCUAUAUUUACUCUAAAAUUAUAUCUGAAUAAAAUAUUUUUAUAUCUUUUUAUUUACAAUAUAAAUAUAAAUAUAUAUAACAUUUUUUAUUAAAAUAAACCUUUUAAAUAUUUAAGUAAUUUCGUGUUUGUUUAACAUAAAUGUAUAUUCGAUUUUCAUUUAAACAAAACUUUUAAAUAUUUAGUUAAUGUCGUGUUUAUUUUAAAAUUAAAUUUAUAUUUAUUUUAACUAAAACGAAAUUUUAAAAUAUCUAACUAAUUUUCUAAUUAUAACUAAACACAUGUACAUUUUUGUAUUAAUCUGCGAUAUUAAUUUAAUAUAAUAUUUUCAAUAUUUUUUUUGAUCUUUCACCAGUAAAAUUUUUCAAUUUAGAAUUUUGUAUCACAUGAUUUAAAAUAUGAAAAAUUAAAAAAAAAAAAAUUAAAUUAUUGCAUGUGAACUAUAAAAUUGUUGUGUAUUAAAAUGUUAUAUUAAACAAUUAGUAAUAUGGUAAAUAUUACAAUUAAUCAUGUAAAACAACUAAUUAUGUGUGUAAAAAUAAAAUAAUCACUGGUACGGUUGUGCGGAUCAACUAUUAUUUCAACAAUACAUAAAAAAAAUUUUAUAUGAUAACCACCACAUAUAAAAAAGGUAUGACGGUUAUGUACUUUUCCAGAUGAGUUGAUCAUUUUCCCUGUAACCGGCGGGACCUACUCCCUUCUACUACUUUUCCUUUAUUGUAGUAACUAAAUUAUUUAACCCACAAAUUAUUUUCUCAUGACCAGAAAUACAAAUAUAUUAUUUUAUAUGUUAGCUAAAAAUACGGGCCAUGGUCCAUACCUAAUUGAUAUUGUUACUAUUUAUUUCAAAUCUAUACAUGUCUACGUAAGCAGGGCCGGCCCUGGGCUAAGCCCAAUGAAACAUUAGCCUUGGGCCCCCAAAAAUUUUGAAUUUUUUUUAUAUGUAAAUAGGCUCCUAAUUUGUAAAAAAAAUUUUUUUAGGCCCCCAAAUUUUUGAAACCUUUACUGAAUGGUCUUGGGCCUCCAAACUCUCAGGGCCGGCCCUGUACGUAAGUAUAACAUUUCAAAUCUAUAAAUUUGUUGUAGCGUUCAAAUCCGCCUAAGGCAUACUACAUUACUCAAAUUACCAACUUUAUAAUAUUUUCAUAUAGAUGACCAUUAGAUUUAUCUAGCUUUUUUUGGAUCAACCAUUACCAGAUCACGGGUGAGUGAAUUUUUUUUUUGUUUUAACCGGAUUUUAUGGAGUUUUUAAAGAUAAAUUUUAAAAUUUAAUCCAAAAUUUGAACUAAAUUAUACGCAUAUCACUCAAUUUACCAUUUUUAACGUGGAUUAUGAUCAAAUAUGAAAAUAUCAUGAAAAUAUAUUAAAACUAUAUUGUAAAUUAAAUUUAGAAAAAUUUAGAUCAAUACAAUAAAUCAAUAUUUUUGGGUAUAUAGGUCAUAUUUAAUCGGAUCCGGGUCUAGAUUUACGGGUAGAUGCCACAUAGGUUUUCAAGUAUGAAUAUCAUUAAUAAUUCAAAAUGCUAAAAAUGCAAAAAUGUCAUGAUUUUAUUAAAACUUGAUUACAUAUUUCAUCAUCAAUAUAUAUUCUAUUAAAAAAGUUAAACAUAUUAUAAUCUGCACAAUUAUAAUUCUUUUUGUAACAUUUAAAUGUAAAUAAUAAUCAAAAAUACAAAUUUAUAUCAAAUAAAUUUGAUUUAUAUCAAAAUCUAGAAUAGACAAAUAUGAUUACAAAGAAACGGGCAUACGAGCAUAUAUGAUUACAAAGAUCUGAGCGUAUAUCGGAUCAACUUUUAAAUUUCUAUUAUUUUAUAAAAUAGAUUUUGAUUAAGAUUUAUAAAAAUAUGAUUUUAAAGAAAAACAAAAAAAAAUAUGAUUACAAAAAAAAACACAAAUAUGUAAAUUAAAUUUCUAAAAAUAAAAGGGCGGAUCAGAAUCUAGUUACUCUCUUUAAAGUCCCACAUCGCUAACAAUACGAGAGUGUACGGCACGAGGAGUAGCAUAAAAGAAGAGGCCAUGAAUCUGAACAAUUCAUACCUUUCUCGGCCUUUUGGCUAAGAUCAAGUGUAGUAUCUGAUAUGUGGCUCAUCGGGUCACACGGUGUUAACUCUAUUUUUAAGGGAUGAUGUCCGUUAAGAUAGCUUGCUAUCUGGGCUUUCAAGAGUCGCUCAUGCGUUGCACUGUAGCAUGGGCCCGGCUCAUCCCACCAAAAUUACAGUUAUAAUAUUUUACUCAUUUACCCAAAAUCGAAUGGGCUUAUGAAUUCAUAAUUCGGUCCACAGCUAUUUAAAUAAAGAUUUUACAUACAAUAAAAGAAAACUAAGAAAAUCGUCCUAUAACCGGUAACUUACACAAUUAAACCGAAAUAAAUCACUAAACCAUCAAUCACAACCCUAUUACCUUAAAAAAAAAACAAAGAACGACCUCUAAAAUCGAAAUCAUCGAUCGUUGAAACCGAGAGGAGAUUUUUGUGGGUUUUGGCUUGAUCACAUCCGAUAAUCAAUGUUUGUUGCGUUGUUUCAUGGAGUUCCUACUCUUGUUGACGAAUCCGACGAUGAAGAAGCUGUGGAGUGAAACGCGUUUCGAAUCGGAUCAGAAGAGUAUCUUCCGGAGGAUUUGCUAGUGGACAUACUCUCAAAGGUUCCACUGGCAUCACUAGCAAGAUUCCGAUCAGUAUCCAAAAGAUGGAAAGCUCUGAUCAAUUAUUUGAGAUUCAAGAAGUCGUCGAUUGAUUCUAGGGUUUAUCUAGUGAGCAUUAAUUUACUUGGAGCUCAAGACAACGUUGUAAACAUAACAAGUCAGUUUAGCCUCAAAUAUCCUCUUUCAAAUUCUUCCAAAGAAGUCAGUAUUCGUGAGGUUAUCACUGCGAUGGCUUGUUGUUAUGCAUCACCGAAGACGAUAGACUAGUGGUUUGGAACCCAUGCUUAGAUGAAACCACUUGGAUCAAACCAAGAAGUUACUACGAGAGAUCUGAUAUCUUUGCUCUCGGUAAAUCCUCAUGCAACAAGUUCAAAAUCUUGAGGAUUGCUCUUCUACAUGGUCCGGGACCUGCCUUUGAGUUUACGAAGCCACGCCUAUAUGAGAUCUAUGACUUUACCUCUAACUCAUGGAGGGUUGUUAAUGAGGCUAGAGACUGGUCCAUUCUAGGGUUAGGGCGUCGCGGCACGUGUGUGGAUGGAUAUCAUACUAAAAUUCGAUUUUUCAACAGAGAGAUUUACAAGUAUGUCUCCUCCCGUUGAUGUUCUUUCUUGCAAUGUUUUUGCUUUGUCUGUGACUAGAGAAGAGCACAAACUUUGUAUGCUAGCUUCGGUUGCCGACGAUGUAGAUAUAUGGAUGGCAACCAAGAUUGAUGGUGCUGGAGCCAUGUCAUGGAGCAAGUUCCUAACAGUGAAACGAGUCUAUAACAACCAAUGGAUGUUCUAACUGGGAUGAAUUUUUUGGUCGACGAGGAGAAUAAAGUAAUAGUGUGUCCCGGCAAAUCUUUGGACUCUGGCAGAUUCUUACACAUUGUGGGAGAGGAUAAAUGCAUACAGGUGGACAAGCAUGAUGCAGGAUCUAGAUGCUCACUUCUCCUCAGCUAUGUUCCGACUCUGGUCCCCGCUUCAGAUCCAACUGGUUCUUUGGGGUAGUAGGCUCAAGGAAAGCACCAGUCUCACUAGGUUUAAUCUAUCCAAGUCUUCAUGAUAUUUUAUAUAAAUAUAAAUGUUCGUUUUGCUACUCUAUUAUAUGUUGAAUUUUUCAUAUGAGUUUAGUAUCUCUUCCUUUUACAUAAACCAAAUGAAUCAAAUAGUGUUUUCACAAUCAUCAAGCAUUUAAGACAACAUAAAAUUUGAAACGUUUUCUCCUUGGCUUGAUCCUUCCGAGUCACUUGCAUAAUCACUAACCUCCUCCUCCUCCUCCUCCUCAGAAACAUCCAUAUUGGGAAUGUAGCUUUUGUUCUUGUUAUAUAUAUCUGGCUUCAGGCCAACUUCUAUAAUCAAAAUGAAAUCAUUCAAAGAGUUAUAAAGUCAUGGACUUGCUGCUGCUUUGUUACUCAUCUCUAAUAGCUAAGGGCACCAGCAUUGGAAGUUUAUUAGGGGGGUUCACACGUUUCCCGAAAUUUUUUUUUAUUAUAUUAUGCUACAGUCACGACUCUGUCUCGCCGCGCUUCUUCUGNNNNNNNNNNNNNNNNNNNNNNNNNNNNNNNNNNNNNNNNNNNNNNNNNNNNNNNNNNNNNNNNNNNNNNNNNNNNNNNNNNNNNNNNNNNNNNNNNNNNNNNNNNNNNNNNNNNNNNNNUUUUUUUUUUUUUUUAAAUUUGAAAAUGUCAAUUUUUUUUUUUUUUUUUUUUUUUUAAAAAAUCAAACGAAAAAUGAAAAAAAAAAUAAUAAAAAAUUCAAAUUAUGAACCCCAACCGGGGGUUCAUUAAUGCGGCUGCUCUAAGCAUGUUUCUAAUAUAUAUAUGUCACUUGCUAUAAUGUAGUGGUGCCAACUUGAGAACAUUAUCGAGAGUAAGUAUAUCAAGUCUGUUCAUCACUCCAUGAUAAAAGAGAAGAUUGUUAACAAGUAAAACACAAACCAUCAUCUAAUAAGCAUGUAACUAUGAAACAACACACAGCGCAAGGAAAAUGGAUUACAUAAAAAAAUCAAUCAUGAGUGUAUAUACAACGCUUUAAAGACUUGAAGCAAUACUAGCAUAAGAUGAAAACAGUAGAUGCUUCUGCCUUGUCAUUCCACUAAGCUCAUGUAACUUUCUUUUAGUUGAUACCAACAAGAGUAUAAGCUCACCGCACAGUAUAAUAAUAAGCAUAUUAAGUAAAAGGCAGGCGUAUUGUAAGUUCAACACACAAGGCAUUGAGCAGUCACAGCUGAGUCUUGUCAGAGAGUUAAGAGAUGUAAACUACAAGUGUACUAGUGCAUUGUGUGUCAUCCUUGGAGAGGGUAACAUGAUGAGUAACAAGCAUAUCUAAGCCAACAUAAUCAGUCCUUGUGUGUUCUCCCAGUGUUGUGAGGGUAUUUUGGUCAAUUUAAUAAAUCAAAAGGAUUUGUAAUGAUAGAAAACUAUUUUUCCAAUUGAUUCGUUUUAUUAUACGAACCGCAAGUUUUGUUUCUCCGAGCAUCAAACAAAAAUGGCGGCGUCUUCGACCACCACCAACAUCCUUUCCCUUGGCUCUUCUUCAGUUCAUAGGUUCCCUCCAAUCCACCACCACCCUCGCAAUCAUCCUCCUCUCCGUCCCUCCUUUCCCUAUAAACCCUCCUUCAACCUCUCCCUCAAAAACCCUAAAACCAUCGCCGCCGCCGCCUCCGCCUCCGCCUCUGCAUCUCCAACGCUCUCCUCCGCUAAGCCCUCUCCUCCGUUUCCCUUCUCCGAGUCAACCAAAUCAAUCACGACCCUCGCGGUUCUCGCCGGAAUCGUAACCAAAUCCCUUAUCCAGAAAUUCUCCGCCGCCGUCGUAACCCUAUCCCCUCAUAUUCAAGCUUCUAUCCGAGUCUCCGGUCCGCUCUUCUUCGCGGCGGCCCGCGACCGCCCUGCGGGUUAUCUCAACACUCCCCUGACGGUUGUGGCGGCUGGUUUGUCCAAGUGGCUGGAUAUCUACAGUGGUGUGCUGAUGGUUAGAGUUUUGCUGAGUUGGUUCCCCAACAUCCCUUGGGAUCGUCAGCCUCUCUCUGCCAUCAGGGAUCUUUGUGAUCCUUAUCUCAAUCUAUUCAGGAACAUCAUCCCUCCCGUCUUUGAUACCCUUGACGUCAGCCCUCUGCUUGCUUUUGCUGUUUUGGGUACUUUGGGUUCCAUUCUCAACAAUAGCAGAUGAUUGUUAUUACUACUCGGGAGGAUCUUUUGUGUUUUAUUUAUUGUCUCUACUUAUAAGAAGCUAAUGAUUAUGUAUUGGAUCUUAUGGUCUCUGUUUCUGUGGCAAUGAAUGAGUUUGGUUUCAAUACAAGUUGUAUUUGGAUCUAAGAGUUUUUGUUAAUUUCUGAGUUGCUUUUGCAGAUGUUGUUCAGCUUCUGUUCCUAAAACUUGUUACAUCUUUGAAUCUCGUUUUACCAAUUUUUGUUUCUCCAAAGUCUCUUAAAAGAUUUUGAUGCUAUUCAUGUUCAAAUACAAUAACAGAAAGACAUUAAAACGUGGGACGAGUAAAUGUAAUGCGCAAAUUAGUAACUGAAAUUGUGAAUUCCAGAUUCGUUGAAAGCUUUACCACUGGCUUUGGGGUAUGCUAAUGAAUUGAAACAGUUAGAGCUUUUACAAGUAUCCAGCAGUCACUUUUGACACAGUUUGAGUCUUCUCAGAGAGUUAAGCGAUGAAUACUACAAACUGCACUAGUGCCUCGUGUGUUCCUUAGAGAGGCUGACAUGACCAGUAAGUUGCUUAUCUAAGCAAAAACAUAAUCAGCCAAAAAGGGAAUGAGAUCAAUGCUUACAAACUCAACAAAGACCAAUCUAGCACUAUAGUUCUGGAAAUCUGCAAUUAAUUUCAUUUGUUCUUGGUGUUGUAUAAUAUUCAUACGCUGAAUGAUGAGCUUGAGCUAAAGCUUUAGCCACUUCAGAUUCUCUAAUGAAAUUUUCGGUACAUUUGGGUUUGAGGUUUUAUAACAGUAAACCGAGAAAGAAAAGAUACAAAUCCAAAAAAAAGUAGUUGUUGGGUGUUUAGUUUCUAAGACCCUCUUUCUGUUGCAUUUGCUUUCUCAGGUUCCCAAGAGGUCCAUAUCCUUUAUCCUUCUCUUCACUGCCACAAUCACACUUCCUCUUAUUCAGAUUCGCACCACACUUCAAGCACAUUCCUUUACACGCAGGAUCACAUAUAGCGUUCAUGGUGAUCUCUAAAUGCACCAAGUCUCUUAUAUGCUUUGAGAUAUCUACUUCUUUCACCUCAGGUGGAAAAUGGAGCUUAUCCUCCCAAUCUAUCUCAUCAUCCUCAUCCUCAUCUUCUUCUCCGUCGUCCAAAGAAAAGGAAUUGGCUUUGUCAUUACCGAAUGUGAAUCCUAGAUCAAUGACAUCCGGUUCUUCAACUGGCUCUUCGGUUAGUAACAACGAGAAGUUGGAGAAGAUGCUCUCACCUGCUUCCUCACCGCAUCUUCAACACACAUAAGGAAAAAACAAGUAAACAACAAAGUUGAUGCAGUGACAAGACUAGUAAAGACUCAUAAGAAAGCUACCUGUUGCAGCCAAGUGUGAUAACGGUCCUGACAAUCCCAUCGAGUCUCAGCUUCUUCUUCUUCCUUAUGACAUCAACCGAAACUUGAACGGGUGUCCCGUCCGGAAAAUCCUUGACAUCUUUUGUCACUCUAAGUCCCAUCGAAGAAGCCCUCUUCUUCGAGACCUCAGUGGACAGCUUCCCCAACCCAAGCCUCUCUAAGGUGGUGCAGUAUUCAACGUGUGUGACUGAAGCAUUUCUCCGGUACAUAACCGAACCUUCCCAUGGUGAACCGGUAUCCUCCACGUCCUCUUGAUCUUCCCAAUCCAUAUCUAUCGUGCUGUUCUCUGUAAAAGACUCCGGACUAACUAGUAUCUGACUCUUUGUUAGCCUACCAAAAUUAUGUGAUUCUGCGAACAUGUAACUGAUGUGCUUCCUGACAUUAGUGUAGCUGAUGGAAGAGCAUAGAGUUAAGGUACGUGUUUUGAGUUUCAGAAAACGUGGACUUGACUGUUUGGUCUGUGGCAAGGGGGGAGCUACACGAGAUGAAGAGCAAAGCAGAGACAUUUUUACCGCACAGGAGGCACUUGUAUGUAGGUUUGUCAAGUUAUCAUACUAAGACAGGAUGGAGGACACAAGUAGAGAAGAAUCAAGUACCAGCCUUUCACAACACCUGCAAGAAACAUAUGAUGUUGCAGUGUUAAGACAGGAAGAUUCACAAGAAGUAUUAGAAGGAAACUAUUGUAAAGGAAGUAAAGCAAUUCGAGCUAGUCAUUUUGUCGAACACCUGCUAUGCAUCUUUUCAUAUAGAUAAAGGUCACACCUCUCGACUUCCAAUUUACAGCCGAUAAACAAAACCAUGAUCGAAAUUUUCCAAAUCGUCUAGUGUACAAGAAAAGAAAAAAGAAGGGUUUAAGGUAUGAGAUUGCUUACGGACAAAACUCGCUUCAGGACUGGACUGUGUUCCUUUCCUUUAACACUUUAGAGAGGAAUCCUUGAUUUUAUGCUUGGAAGGAAGAGAACAGCUUCCCUCGUUUAUCUUAAACCUCCACCCAAUCCACUCCUUACUCGGUCCAAUUCGGUUCAAAUUCUCGGUUUACUCUAACCAAACAAAAUUGAAGUGAUAAAUUCAUUCCCUAAUAGCCAUGAGGGUUCGGUUCAUCCAGUUAAUUUGGUUGGGGUAGUGUGGUUUCUGAUAACUGAGUUUAAAAGAGUAUUUGUUUUUGGUAAUAUUUUGUUUAAAUUAAUUUGGUUAGUUCUAAAUAAAUUCAAUUAUUUUUUAUUUGAAAUUUUGGUUAGUUCGGAAUUUGGUUAAAACCAAAUAAAUUUGAAAACCGAACUAAUCGAAUAUCAUACCAAACAUGAAUUUUAAUAAAUGUGCCAAACUGUACCAAAUUCAUCAUCAAACAUGGAUUUAAACCAAAAACUAGAUUUUGACUCGCACAUCCACGCAACUAUUUCUUUUCAAUUUUAUAAUAUAUAACAUUCAUAACUGAUCGGCAUUUUUUAUUGUUUGUAUAUAUGUUUGUUAUAUGUAUCGUGGUUGGAUGUUAAAUAAAUAAAGUGAUAUAUUACAUAAAUUAUUUGUCAUAUAGUUAUGUUUUACUAUAUGAACUAUUGUUCUAUUGUUUUUUUUAAUAAAUCUAACCAUUACUAUGUUUCUAUAUACUAGUACAUUUAUUUUCAAAAAUAUAUAUUUAUAGCCAAUUAUAAGUUAUUCUUAGAUACUAACUAAUUAAAAUAAUAAUAUUAAUUGUAAAAAAAAAUUGACAUUACAAAAUUCUAAACCCUAAACCUUAUAACUCAAAUUUUAAACACUAAAACUUAAACUUUAGUAUUAACAUUAGACUUAGAGCAUCCACAAUGUGAGCUCUUAAGGGAAUCCUUAGAGGAUGUGGAGCCCACUUUCUUAGAGUUUGUGCAAAAAAGAAUCCUUAAAAUCCUUUGAUAAGGAUUGAUCCUUACACUGUUCACGGGUUCCAUUGACUACGUGGCAGCCCGUGAAUGGUCAUCUUUUUUUUUCUUUUUUUUUAGAAAAAUCCAAAAAAUCCAAGAUUAAUCUGAAAUGCCCUUGUGCUAAGGACUCCAAUGAGUCUCACCAUUGCGGAUGGUCUUAUAGCUCAAUCUCUAAACACUAAAUCCAAGAGUUAAUCUUAAACUCUAGGGUUAAUCCUAAACUCUAAGAUUAACCAUAAACCCUAGGGUUUAGAGUUUAAGGUUUAGGGUUUUUAGGGUUUAAGAUUUUUCUGACACCGUUUAGGGUCUAAGGAUAAUCCUAAGUUUUAUGGUUAACCCUAGGACUUAAGAUUUAGAGUUUAGUGUUUAGAACUUGAGCUAUAAGGUUUAGUGUCAAUCCUAGAGUUUAAGGUUUAAUGUUUAGAAUUUGAGUUAAAAUGUUUAGGGUUUACCAAGUUUACAAUGUCAAUAGUAUUUUUAUUUUUUUUCAUAUUUUUUUCAUUAAGAAAGUAACACAUGACAGUUUUUUAUUAGUUAGUAUCUAGGAAGUUUUUUAUUGGUUAGUAUCUAGGGGAUGAACCUAUAGAUUCAUCAUAGAGGGUCAACCUAAGAAUAACUCUAUAAUAUAUAUAACAUACUCUAGUUUUACAUGUAUAUUUUCUUCUUUGUCAGAAAAAUGUAUAAUUUCUUUCAAAUAUGCUUAUCUUUUCCUUUUUUUUUCCUUCAAAUAUGUUUCAGUUAUGUACACAUGUAUUCCCUCUUUGAUAUAUUUCAAAAUCAUUUUUUAUUGAUAUAAUUUUUAAUUGGGAAAAUUUGCCAAUUAACCAAUUUGUCCAAUUAUGCUCUUACCAUUUACCGGUGACAGAGAGCAAAUGAUGAUGUCGACGAAAACACAUAUGGCCAGAAGAAUUAAGGUUUAAGAUGGACAAUCAAAAAAUAACUACGAUGCUCAAUUAAUUAUCGUAAACACUUAUCGUCGAUAAAAUUCAUUUUUUUUUAUUUUUUUUGUUUUCUUUGCUACGACCAUCAUAGUAGAUGUUCCAAAAGAUAAAAUACAAACAUAGUUAACAAAGAAAGAUGACAAACGACGGCGCGGUGCCGGCGACAUUGUUUUCUAUGUACAAUCUGAACACCCAUAAAUAGUACAGAAUAAAAAGUAUCUUCUAUUUACAAAUGAAUUAAAACAUAGUAUAUAGUAUAGCACAAUUUAGUGAAAUUAUCAAAAAAAUAUGUAAAGUAUCUAAUUUGCUUUAAAUCAUAAACAUGACCCUCAACCUCGCCGCUUUACAAAUACUAAACCCUAAAUCACAAUCACUAAACCUUAAACCCAUAUAAACCCUAAAUUCAAACAUCAAAACAUGAUAAAAUAAUGUAGAGUUAGAAGAUAUACAACACAUUUUAGAAACCAUCAAAUAGAAUAGAACAUGAUAAAAUAAAUAUAGUAGUAGAAGAUGAAAUGGAAUAUCAAAUGAAUCGGUUAUUACACCAGUUAUUUAAAGAGUAAUUUAGUAAAUAUGUUAAAAAAUAUGUUGAAUGUUGUGGUCAAUUUUUUUUACCUAGUUGGUGAAUUAUAAUUUGUUUGGUUGAAUAUUGUGGUCAAAUAAAAGCGGACAGUCUUGCGCGAAAUGCCAGGAAUCAAACGUGUUUCGUUGUUGAUAUGGAUGCAGAGUUACCAGUUUGGUUUGCAGAGUCUAGCUAGAACUUGUUUAAGUUGAUGAUAGAAAAAAAAUUGUUUGGUUGUCAUACAAUCCAAUUUUCCUUUUGAAUUUUGAAUUGUUUCAUUUGAUUAUUGAGAAGCUGGCCUGAAGCCACAAAAGGUCAAAAGUUAGUCAUAUGACUUUUAACAAUGAAUUGUUUGGAAAGUGAUUUGAUUAUCUUAGAUAAGAGCAUGUUAUAGAAGUGUUUACUCCAAGGAAUACACAACGCACUAGUGUAGCGUGCAUUGGUUUAACUAUUGUUACAGUCCGAAACUCAAUUGUUCAAAAGUGAGUGGUCAAUCCUCGUAAGGUGAGCUUAUAACAAUAAUGCGUGUUUUUGACUUAACAAUAUUAGUACUCUUGGUAUCAACUAAAAGUUAGAGAUGAGCCUUGGGCUAUUUUGGAGCCUGAAUUUAAGGUAAAGCAUCUACUGUUUUCGUGUUAUGUUAUUGCUGCAAGUCUCUGAAUACAAGUCUUCAGUUGCAUUGUACAACUAAUGAUGAAUAUUGCAUCGUAAAUUAAUUAUAUUUUGGAAUAUGGUCUCACUGGACUGUUGGGGUCUCUUAUGCCAAGUGUUGUUCCAUACAUGCUUACUUGGAGUACAAGACUGGGAAGAACAGAGAUGAAUGACUUUUGAUUUGUAAACUGGUUUAAUGUCGAUUUUUUAGCAAAUGCAAGAGGAAUCUGUGUAAAUAUCUCAUCUGUUGUAAAGAAGACAUUUUAAAGUGUUACAGUUAACCAACAUAUCUUUCAACCCACAUAAUGGGUUCUUUACCAUAUAUGCCUUUUAAGAUUCUUCCUACUAAAAAGAAAACAUUACUAUAUCGCGUGACAUGAGAUGCAAGAAACAUAGAUGCUAACAGCUGCUUCAAGGCCAAGCGAAGUCAAGCUGGUUGUUAUCAACAUCCCAUACCCCAAGACCGAUCUCAUCAAACAACUGCUCAUGGCUCCAGCUUGAGUACCCCACGAAAAACCAAUAAUCACUUGGAUUCAAAUCUCUAGACUUAACUCUUGGAUACGACGGGCCACCGACUCAUGAUCAAGGAAAUACACGCCUGGUGAGAGUUCAAGAUCCGUGGAGGGGUCUCCCUCUCGGCUCAGAGCCAUAAGCGGCUUUUCUCUAUCCAUCACUGGACCUCCGAGAGAUAGAAUCGUGUCUUUCAAGAGCUCAGCUGUUUGGCCUCCGUCCAGGUCAGGGUACGAUGACCAUCGUAACCGUUUGUUGAAGAUAACACCCAUGAAACCGGAUUCUUAGCCUGCUUUUAGUAUCAGAAUCUUUGAUUUUGCAAACGGUAGACUGUCUCCUAGCCUUUCUGUAGCAAAAGGGAUUGUGCCAACUUUCACUUUGGGAGCAGCCAGUUUGUUGAUCAAAGCUUGUUUGUGUUCCUUCUUCCUUUUCCAGACAGAGUAGGAAUGAUUCCUGCAAGAGUUAAGAUUCAUAACUUGCUUUGUUUAGGCUCCAGCUUUAAAAACCCAAAAGCCCUUCCUCGGCGAAACAAAUGCUGUUUUCACAACCAGCUAAGCCAGAAGAAAACAAGUUACUGCGAAAAAACAAGGUAACUAGUUGUGAGGCAUAUUAAGAUCCUGCAGAACUAUGUUCCUUCGAUAUUAUUUUUAUCUGGAAAUUCAGUUACUGUGGCCAUGGUGUGCCUUCAAAGAUAAUAUUUAGCAUAUGUGUAAAGAAGUGAAUAAACAAAGGGUGGAGAUGUCGACUUACUGAAAAACUCAAGAGAGUUAUUUGUUAUGUCAGUUACAGACAUCUCCCCUUCAUAUAAAAUGACUUUGUUUCUCUCUGCUGGAAAGAACACCACGGAAGGAUACACUUCUCUCUGCAACGUUACACGUUCAUAGAGCGAGUGAAUUCUAGAUUCGGAAAAGACACUGGUGUAUACUUAACUCUCAAUAUAUAAAUGCAAUGGCACUACUAUGAAUAUGCAAAUACUAGAAUUUAAUAAAACAAACCAGACUAGAAUCAGACAAGCUAUCAUGAAAAGUACCUGAUUUAUUGAGUUUAGGAUACUUGCUACUAGUUGGUGUCUCUACUUCAGAACAGAAAAAACAGCAGAAGAAGACGAAGAAGAAAAUUUGAAUACAUGUCCAUCGCGAAAUCUCGAAUUAUAUAUGUCAUUUCAUGAUUUUCUAUUUUUCUUGCAACAUCUCUUCUGAAAUGAAAACCCCAACUUUGUCCUUUAUAUUGUCAGAUUUGAAGUAGUUUAAGUUACAGAGAGUGGAUUCUACCAAUAAAUACAGAAAAGAAGCACACGAUCCCACUUAGCAAGUUACACUCAUUUAGAUACUACAUGUGUUUGUAGUACCCAACAAGUGGAAUAAAGAUACCUGAAUAUGCAAAAUUAACUAAAACGUAUGGACAUAAAAAGAAUCUUACCUCUGAGACUAUGGGAUUUUCGUUCUUUAAGAGUCUCUGAAUGUCAUCUCCAGCCUUGAGAAUCUUUGAACAAUGUGGACAUCCUGCCAGCUGAAGGACCGCUGUCCACGAAUCAGAUUCUCCAACAGUAAAUGGUGAAGCCAGUGAUUUUUCUGUGAUCAGACCAAAUUUUUGCCUUUCAGAAGGCAGGGAAAACUCUUUUGCGGCGGCAAUCAAUUUCGAGAGGAAUGAACUGAAUUGCUUGUACUGUUCAUGGUUACAUGUCUGUCCAGAACCCCCGUUUGCUCUGUCAUUCUCCUGCAAAGCAGCAGUAUCAUUGACAUAGCUAAAAUCCUCAAGCCAAGGAACUCUACCAAAUCCGCUUUGGAGUCUACACAUCGGUUUCCAUUUUGCAUGGUCCGUUACUAGGGCACGAAGAAAAUGGCACAUUAUGGAGACAAUACACAAACAGUAAACAUAUCAACAAGGCCUAGACAUAAAAGUGAGAAUCUACCAGCCACCUUCUGGUUAUUUUUUCCUCUUAGCUUUAGCACUCGGUCGGUUUCAACUUUUUUGGAGAAGUUACCUGCAAAGUUGGAUUCAGAAUGACACUCUAGCUUUUGAUAAACAGUAACAAAGAUCAUAUGGCACUAUUGCCACCACAUAGUUUAUUGAUGAUUGAAGAAGGACCAAUGCAUUACUGGUAGAAAGCAAUCUAGUGAAAGCAAAACAAAAACAUAUAAGAAGAGACUAAUCUCACGGUAAGAUUAAUAGACUAGAAAAUAAAUGGCAUAUUUGCUUGAGAUUUUAGAUAUCAGAUGUCAAAAUUUAUACUCUAAACUCUAAAGAACUAAUACUCAGACAGAGUUCACUCACCUUAACAAAGUAAUAAACUAAAUGUACCAGGAGUUCAAGAAAAACUCUUUAGAAAUCAAAUCAUAUAGUAAACAUAAAAGAUCCAGAGUCAACUCAACCUCCGGAUUUGCAUAUUUUACUUGGAUUUAUAAAUAGUAUAUGGAUUCUAUCAAAAUAUAUAAACCAAUAAAUCUCCUUAGUGUUUUGAGUCUUCGCGUAAGAUGGAGCAACUAUCGACAUUAGGUUCUUUUUUACCCAGGGAUCUAACCUCAGAGAUUCUUUUACGAUUGCCUGCCAAAUCUGUUGGGAGAUUUCGUUGUGUGUCGAAGCUUUGGUUAUCAAUCACCACCGAUCCAUGUUUCAUCAAGUCGUUUGGAACUACACGACCAAGUCUUCUACUCUGUUCAAUACAAGGUCACAAUAUGUUUGUUACUCCUUCUACUAUCAGGUCAUACUCUUCUUCUCAGCCUAUUUAUCCUUAUCCUAUGAAAGUUCUAGGAGAACAUUGUUACUUCUCCCAUAUGGAUUCCGUGCAAGGUUUGAUCUGCAUUGUAGAUGUAGACUCCCUGAAGCCCCUAGUUUGGAACCCGACCAUGGGACAAUUAUUAGUUUUACCAAAACCCAAAUUGAGCUCCAGACAUAUGAACGUGUUUUUAGGAUAUGAUCCAGUCCAAGGUAAACACAAAGUAGCAUGUUUUCCUUGGGGAAAACAUGCUACGUCUGCCGAGUUUUUACCUUGGGAUCAGGGCAAGAAUCAUGGAGGACCGUCAAAACUAACAUUGAGCAUAGUGUUGCCUUUGCUUCUGGUCGAUGCAUCAUGGGGGUGAUAUAUUAUCUAGCUUUUAAAAGUGAAGGGUAUGAUGCGGUUGUUAUGAGCUUUGAUGUGAGAUCCGAAAUAUUCCAUAUGAUAGAACUACCCUCAAGUAUUCAUUGGGAUUCGCUGAUAACUUACAAGGGGAGAUUAGCUUGUAUUGAUGCAAAUAAUGAUAAAAGAUUGUGGAGUUUGGAGGAUGCAACAGAUAAACACAAGUGGUCGUUUCGAGACUUUCUCUCACCUUUAUACAAGAUGUUUGAACUACAAGGUUCCACUCAUGCUGGUGAGUUUAUUUAUGUACCGUUCAACAAAUCACCUUAUAUUGAAUUGUACGAUCCGGUGGGAAACAGUUGGAGAAGACUCGAAUUUGAAGGACUCGAAUUUGAAGGAAUCUCAGACGACGAAUUUGAACACACUAAGGCUUUCACGAAUCACACUGAAAGUCUUAUGCCUUUGUAACCUUUAAAAUAGUCUUACGUCUUUGGAACAAUUUGUUUUUUGCUCUAUUUUUUCUUGGAUUUCAUUGCAAGACUUUUUAUAAAGCAUGAAUUGCUCAAGCUAGGAACAUUACAAACUAUGUUUUGACUUUCAAAUGAUCUGUAGAUCACAUGAUUCUCAUGGAUAGAUGAUAUGUUUGCAUAUAGAAACAAAGCGGCUUACUAUCACACUAUGACAAUAUGAUAUGAAAUUUGUUCACUUACAUAUUUUUUUCGCUUAUUAAUGGUUGGUAAAAUAUAAGGUCGAUAAUGGUUGUUUGUUUCCCAGCCGGGUUUUUUUUCUUGAACAUGGUGAACUUUAUAAAAUGAGUAUUCUAAAGCCUUUUUGGAAAGUUAUUGUAACUAAGCAACUAAGGUCGAUAAGCGUUAUACGUAGUACGUUUCUAUGAGUUAUUGUAUUGUAACUAAGCUUGUAAUAUAAGUCACGAACUAAUAAGUGAGAAAUGGCGCAAUAAUAAUCUGAGUUUCUCUGCAACUGAUACGAUUGGUUUCUCUGCAAUAGGUUACAAGUAUCUCAACAUAGGUAAAACAAAUAAAACCCUUUUGGUGUUUCUUACUUUGUUUUACUUCUCUCUCUGUUUUCUAAUAAUUGUGUACUGUUUUCUCUGUGUUUAUAGAUGAUUGUUGGGUGUACAUAAGACAGAUUCUCAGGUUAUAGAGACACCAAAACAAGAAAUAUUUUGUUUGUUUUUACUAAGAUGUUUUCACAAUUUAAGAACCAAACUAAGAUGUGUUUUUGAUAUAUAAUUGACAGGGAAAUCUGCUGCGAUGAUCAAAGCUUUAUCAGAUUAUGUUCACAGCAGAGGGCUUAUAUACACAAUUUUCACCAAUUAUUAUGGCAAGGCAAGUUAAAAAACAGGUUGAGCUUUUUAAUCUAUCUACUAACAAUUUUAAGACUAUCUCUCAUUUAGUUUCGUAAGAGACCUCUGGUGGAUGGAUAUAGAUUGGUGCUAAUUUCAUCUUUUGCUUCAGCGUUGCUCCUUGAUUAUUUUUUGAAUGAAUUGGCUGAUCAUAUGGGAACAUACAAGCUGAAGGAGGAAACAGACGACUUGGUAGCAACCAGGGAGAUCUCAUAACAUGAUAAGUCCCAUUCAGAUAUGCAAACAGCAGCUCCUUUUCGACAAGUCAAUGUGAAUAUCGAGAAAACAACAAAUGAAGUGACUAAGAGAAUUGCGCACCUCCUAUAUGGUAACUCCCACACACAAAUUAGUCGUCUAUGUUGUCCUUGAUUUCAUGUUGUAGCCAUUAACGAUUAUGUAUCUAUUCUGAACACAUGCAACAGCCUAAAGAGUGAGAUUUCCUAUUUCAGAACGACAUCAAGCUUUAAAUGUGUUCUAACAAACUUACAUCCAACUGUGUGCUCUGUAGAGGCCCACAAGGCGGCUGCAGCAUUCAGGGAAGAAAAUUGAAAUCACACCUAGCGGCCCCUACCGUGCUCUUACUCACCACUGUCAAGCCCAAAAUCAUUGGAGGUGAACGCACUUUCUUAUACUCACCAGGUUAAUUUCCCCAAACACUUGGGCAACUAGCACAUGUUAAUAUGGAAAGUGGUUCGGUUCACACGUUGGCUUAGCUUAGUUAGUAUGUUUUGUUGAUGCACUGUGUAGUACAAUCUUCUGUAUUCAGAUAACUACACUUUUGACUGUCUUCUCCAUGCUCAUGACGUCAGGGAGAGUGGCGCUUAGCUCCAUACCAUCAUCACAGUUCUUUUCUUAUGACGAAAUCUCUCUCACCAAAGAACAUCUAACAUGGUAGGAUGUGCUAGCCUCGGACACUUUAGCUAAUUGUCAGAGAAGUCUAAGCUUUCCUAACCAAAUAGCCAGCUCAAGCUAUUAAACAAAUAAAAAAAUUUGUUUUGAUGAUUUACGCAUGGCAUAUAAGUUUAUCGUGUCUUAAUAAUUGUGAAAAGUUACAAUAAAAAGUAUGAAUUCAGUUUUUUUUUUUUUGAUAUAGCAUAAUCCAAUCACAACAAUCUGAAAAGUUUGGACGAGCAUUGCAAUGCACAACCCGACAAAGAAUACAUAAGAACAUACAUUAUAGUAAAUGACAAAGAAAAUAAACAAAAUAAAGCAGAUAUUCUGCCUAAACAAAAAUAAAUCUCAUUCAAAGGAUCACAACUAUAGUACAGUCAACAGUAAUGAUUUUGACGCACAAAAAUAUAUAACCAAGAAGCUAAAAAUAUAUAAAUUCAAACACUUAAAAAAAUCAAAAUCUCCGCUCAAACCAACCUAGUAUUGAAUAAAAUUAUACAAGAUUAGUUUUGCAAAACAUAAAUUACUACUUUUAGAUUAUUUUUCUUCGUUUUCCAAAGUUUUUAAAUCUAGCUGAAAAUUUUAUAUAAAAAAUAAAAAAUAAGCUUGCAAAGAUUUUUUUCGGAUGGCCCCAUUCUUCAAGAAGAGAAACAUUUUCUAUGUUUCCUACAAAUUGAUUCAUUGGGUUCUCUCAUCUCCUGCAGGUCCGUGUACUUGAAUUGACACACUCUCUUUUGGACCUUGCUUCAUCAAAUCAAUUUUGUUGUGGCAUCUCCUUCAUGUUUGUUCUUCUGCCAAAACUGCGGUAUACUCUUCUUGUUUUACAUCUAAGAUCUUAUCAACAACAGCUUCUCCUUCACCCUGUAGAGCUCGCACCAGAUCAUCAACGCUCCUGUCAGUUUCCCUUACAUCUUAAGAUGAUGUUGUAUGCUCAUCCUCAGGUUCCUUAGCCGUAUCAAAACCGGACAAAGCUUGCAAGGGUGGAGUUGAUGAAGAAGCUAAAGAUGUUGUUGCAUCACCCAAUCCUUUGGAAAGGCACACAUAUUUGAACACGAGCUGUUUAUAACUAUUUAACAAGCUUUCAACAUCUCCUAUCCUCAAAUCACCAGUGUUUGCAAAUAAGUAAGGAUAUUCUUGGGAGAUUUUGUUUGCCUUGGCAGCACCCUUAUCUUCCAAAUCUGAUACGGAUUCAACUUUCUUCAUUGGUAUUUCACUGUUGGCGUUGACUAUGUCACUGGUUCCAGAGACACUAUCAGACGAUCGAUCUUGACUGGAAAAGAGUUGUUUCUCUCUUGGGGUUCAGCAUUUGGGUUUUAUGAACAGUGGACUCGUCACGAAGGGGUGGUGGUGCAGUAGGCUGGUUGCUUAAGCCAGAGAUUCGUGCCCGUGCAGAUUCCAUGUUCUUCUCAAACUCAGCUUCAUCCAUUGAGAGUGACUUUGCAUCAAUGUUUGAGAUGAAAGACUCUGCAGAGAGUAUGUUUGUGAAGAAGUAAGCAGCUUCACCAAUAAGUUUAGAUUCACGCCUAUAUCUUUGUACAUACAACAGGUUUGAGUGAAGCUGUGGAGGAUUAGCCUGCGAAAAGAGAGUACAAAAUGAGCACUAGCACACAAACAAACACAAACAUGCAUUAAAAAAAAAAAAAAAAACUGAAAUGUGGAGGAUUAGCCUGCGAAAAGAGAGUACAAAAUGAGCACUAGCACACAAACAAACACAAACAUGCAUUAAAAAAAAAAAAAAAAAACCUUUAUUGUACACUACAAGAAAACAUAUUUUUUACUAGGGCAGUAUUCGUUGUAAAUUCGUCGUAAACGGGGUGUUACGACGAAUUAACGUCGAAAGACGUUUCGUUGUUAAACGUCCGUCGUAACGGAGGUUUCGUCGUAAACGACACGUUACGUUUACGACGAAAUAUAUUCCUCGUAAAGCGCAGGGAAAGGAUUCGUCGUAAACGCCACGUAAGACUUCGUCGUAAAGCCCACGUAAUUAUUUCGAUGUAAAGCACACGUAAAUACUUUCAUUGUAAAUCACUCGUAAACAUUUCGAUGUAAAAUCCUCGUAAAUAUUUCGAUGUUAAUCACUCGUAAACAUUCGAUGUAAACUCCAUGUAAUGUUUACGAGGAGUUUACAUCGUUUCUUAUUAUAUUAUUAUUAAUUAGUAUAUAAUAGAUUUUAAUUUAUAUUUAAUAUUCAGAAUUUUAAAUAAUUUAAAUUUUAAAACAAAAUAUGAAAUUGGAAAACAUAUUUUAAAAAGUCAUACAAUAAUAUUUAAAUUCAUAAUACAAACAGAAAAAAAAAAAAAAAACUACAUAUUGUCGAAGUAGUUGGUGGGGUUGCUCGGCUGUUGACGGGUUGGAUCGGACUCUUGGGGAUCUCGUGGUGGCAUUCCAAGAGCGGCUCGUCUCUCACUCAACAUUCUCUGCAUAACCGGGUUUCCCACGGCCACCACGUCUAGCAAAUCCUCAAGAGAGUCUAAACGAACCUGCUGGCUAUCCAUUUGAGCCUUCUGGCUAUCCAUUUGAGCCUUCAUCUGAGCAGUCUCUUCAUCCCGUCUCGAAGUGUAUGACGAAGUUGCCCUUGCAACUUCGUUAACAGAGCCUAUACCGACUAUCCGUCCCUUCUUUUUAGGAGCCACCUAUAAAAUCAAAACAUAUAUUAAUAUAGUUAAUUAUGUUAAAAUAUUUAAAAUAAUGUAAACUAAAAUUUUAAGUUACCUCUUCGAAGAUUCUGUCGACCUCUUGGGUGGACAAUGUGACUGGUAAUCCAUAGGAAGAUUCCUGGGUUAGUUGCGUCUCCCGUUCUUCAAUCCGACCAUCCACUGUUCGGAAGAGUUUCUCAGAUGCAGGAUCCACAAAAACUCCGUCGGAUGUGGCGUGAGUCAUCUUGAAUAGGUUAGACAGAGAAGGUAAGACUCCCGUCUUCUCGAACUACAAAAAAAAUUAAAUUAAAUAUUAUAAAUUAUAUUAAUUGAAUAUUUUAAAAUAUAUAUUUAAAACAAAACUUACAGCUUCUAGACGGACUCCUGCAUGAGGUUUUUGUCCGGUUCUGUGAAGCAUGGACAAAUGACCAUCUUUAUCCUUCGUCCUUCGAGAAGCCGAGCACGAAUUGGCCUUUCUGAUCGAAGAGGGGUGCUCCCAAUAGGCGAUGAGGCCAUCCCACACAUCCGUCGUGAGCUCAGUGGGCUUUCCCUCAUACCCGUAGAUCUCCCACUUGUCCUUCCAAUCAGAGACUGUGUUGCAGAGGCGUAUCUUUGCCUUUGCAACGAAUUCCACCUUCACCCUCUCGGUGAUUCCCAAAGACCAAUGCCACUUUUGCUGAAACAUAAAAUUUUGAAAAAAUUACAAUUAAUAAUAAAUAUUAAAAAUAUAUAUAUAUAUUUAAAAGUGAAAAUUUAAUUAAAUUUAAAAAUCUUACCGCAAAACAUUUAAACCACGUGAUCUUAACGUGAUUUGGUGUCUUGCUCCAGUUCGGGUAUGCCCCGUCGUAGUAACCCUUAAUCGUCGCCGAAAUGCUCCGGCUAACACGGUUGUUAGCCCCAAACCUGAAAAAAAACAAUUUAACCGUUACAAAAUAAAAAUUAAAUAAAUUUUAAAGUAAUAAAAAUUAAUAACUUACCAAUAAGUUUCUCGGGGUCUAUCGGGGUCUAGAACAUCCAAACCCUCCCGUCCAGGCUGGGCAAGCAAAUCCUCCACCGUAUAUCUCGCGAAGGGAACAUAUGAAGGCACACGCAAAUCCGGAUGAACUGCACCUUCUGGGACAGGCUCAGGUGCAGCCGCUGGAGGAGGAGGUGGAGGCAUCUGCGGUGGAAGAGGAGGACUCGAAAAAACUCUCUGAGAAGUCUGAGAGUCUGGAACUGCAUCGGAAGACGAUGGACUGGAAGAAGAUGUACUGGAACCAUCGCCAAACAACUGGGCAUAAGUAGGUGCUGCUGGUUUCCUUCUAGGAGCCAUCUUAAAAAAAUUUAAAUAAAUUUAAUCAAUUAUGACGACAUAAUUAAAAAAUUAUUCCGUUACCUAACUAAUCACCUAAACUAUAGGAUUCCGUCAUCUAACUAAUCACCUAAACUAAUUAUCUAAAUAAUCACCUAAACUAAUUACCUAACUAAUUAAUAACCUAAACUAACUUAAAAAAAAAAAAAAAAAAAGAGGGAAGAGAAUGUACCUUAGGGAGAGGAGAGGAGUUUGGGAGGAAUGGACGAGGCAGCCUCGUCUCGGCGUCCCAAUAUAUAGAAAAUGUUUCGUCGUAAACGCGACGUAACAUUACGACGAAGUUACCAGGCCCGCGUUUUUUCAUUUACGACGAAGUUACCAGGCCCGCUUUUUCGAUUUACGACGAAAUUACGUCGAAACAUCGGUUUACGACGAAUUUACAAGGCCCACGUUUACGACGAAGUUACCAGGCCCGCGUUUUACGACGAAUUUACAAGGCCCACGAUUUACGACGAAUUUACCAGGCCCGCUUUCCUGUGUGAUCGGUGUACAGCUCGCCUGGUGCAUGAAUGUCUCUAGCCCGCUCAGAAAUGCGUUCGUCACCCUCCCGUCGGAAUCUUUGUGCAAAUACAUCCAACUCCGUAACUCGUAAAUACUACCGCCACCGGCCAUUUUUUUCUAAGAUUUUUUUUUGAAAUCUUUUUUUUUCUGAUUUUUUUCGAAUUUUUUUUCUCCCGUUUGUGUGUUGUGAGGAAGAGAGUUGUGGGAAAUGACAUAUAUAUAGAGAAAUUUUCGAGUUGGGUAGUUGAAAUAUAACAACGAUUUUACAAGGAAUAUUUUACAUGGUUUUUACAUGGUUUUAACAUAUUAUUUACAACGACUUUACGACGAAAUUAGGUAAGUUAAAGCACGUUGAAUACACGUUUUCACCUAAAUAUAACGGUAACAUGCUUCGUUGUAAUGUCGAUGUAAUGAUUACGGCGUAUUUCUCAUUCCACGUACAUUCGUCGUAAACUUACAUGGAGUUUACGACGAAAUCAGUUCGUCGUAAAUUUACAUGGCGUUUACGACGAAAGUUAGAUUCUUCGUAAUUUCGUUGUAAAGACCAUGUAAAUUUACGAUGAAAUAUUUUCGCUAUAAAUGUUCGUUGUUAUGGGCACGUUUUAUUGUAGUGGUAACAUAUAUCAAGACAGGGAGAAACUCGUUAGCUCUCCAUGUGCAUUCUCAUUUGAAGCAAUGGAAGCGUUUAGGAGUAAAUUGUUUAUCACUUUGAUAUUUAGGUUCUCUAACUCAGAACAUAGUAUUUUUGGUGCAUUUCAAAUGGCCGUGACUCGUGAGAUUUCGUGUUAGUGUAGUAGUAUUAGUAAUGAUUGGACUGUUUGACACAUGAACUGAAAUGCUGACUUCUUUAUAGAGAAGUGCCAAAAAUGCGUUUGUAUUAAACAUUUUGGAGCAUUUGGACCAUUUUGUUUGUUUGUACUAUUAGCGAAAAUUAAAAUUUAAAAGCAAGCUUUUAGAAUAUAUUUUAUUUGUAAAUUGAAAGAGGGAGCCUAGCAUUUGUCAGAAUAUAUAUAAUACUUCUAGGAUCAAUGUUUACAUGAAAAAGACAGACUUCUUUUGUUUGCAACAAUAACACAGGUUACAUAUAUUCAUAAUAUUGGUGAGGUAAUAUGUUAUGAACGAUACUUAGGUUCACUCCUGUGGUAAAUGAUUAAAUUCACCACACUCUUCGUAUCUAACCAAAAUGCCUUGUAAGAAUAGUUUAAAAAGGCAAUAAAAAUAAAAAAAUAAAUAGCUGGAAAAAAAAUAAUACCGACAUUAAUUAGCGUCAUCUGCAAAAUUCUAAAUUCUAAAAACCUAAACUCUAAAACCAUAAACCCUAAAUCCAAAACACUAAACCAUAAACCCCAGUCCUAAAAUCUAAACCCUAAAUUUUAAACCCUAAACCCAAACUCUACGCAAUAAACCCUAAACCCUAAAUCUAAACCCUAAAGCCUGAACCCAAAACUCUAAAUCCUAAACCCUAAACCCUAAAUCCUUAAAUCUAAACCCUAAAUCCUAAACCCUAAAUCCUAAACCCUAAACCCAAAACUUUAAAUCUUAAAACCAAACCCUAAAUCAUAAACCCUAAAUCAUAAACCUAAAACUUUAAAUCUUAAACCCAAACCAUAAAUCAUAAACCCUAAACCCAAACCUCUAAACCUCUAAUCCGUAAACCUUAAUCUUAUUAACUAGCAGAUGGGUUUAUGGUUUAAAGGUUUGGGUUUAGGGUUUAUGAUUUAGUGUUUAGGGUUUAGGGUUUAUGAUUUAGAGUUUAAGGUUUAGGAUUUGAAGUUUUGAGUUUAGAGUUUAGGAUUUGAGUUUAGGGUUUAGGAUUUAGGGUUUAGAUUUUAGGGUUUAGGGUUUAGAAUUGUGGGUUUAGGGUUUAGAUUUUAGGAUUUAAGGUUUAUUGUUUAGAGUUUGGGUUUAUGCUUUAAAAUUUAGGGUUUAGAUUUUAGGAUUGAGAUUUAUGGUUUAGUGUUUCACAUUUAGGAUUUAGGAUUUAUGGUUUUAGAGUUUAGGUUUUUAGACGGCGUUAAUUAAUGUCGGUGUUGUUUUUUCAGCUAUAUUUUAAAAAAAUUUAUUGCUUUUUUCGACUAUUCUUACAAGGCACUUUGAUUAGUUAUGAAGAGUAUGGUGAAUUUAACCAUUCACCACGGGGGUGCACCUAAGUAUUGUUCAUAUGUUAUCGUCCCUUCUCUUUCUUUUAGCGCCAGUAGGUAAGAUGAAAAUUAUUUUGACCUAUAUUUCGUAGAGAGAUGUUUUGAUGUGUGUUACCAACACGGAUCACUCACUGUUUUGUCUUGUCCAUCAUGCCAAGUGGUGUGUCUUUUGGGUUUGAGGUGUACCUUUUCUGUAUGAGUGCGUAGUUAUUUGAGAGUUCAGUGAAAUCAAUCCAAUUAAUAUUUUGCAUGAUCUUCGGAGGUCUUAAUGUACUGGGUUUUUCUUUAGAAAGUUAUGGAUGUUUUUUUCUUAAUUAGUUUUAGGCCUAAUCUAGGUGUGGAAGCACGAUAGCAUAUUGGUUAAGAUUUAAAGACUUUUACAUCCAGAUCUGGGGUUCGAAUUCUAGACUAUGCAAUUUCUAGUAAAUUACAGAAAAUCCAGGUUUCAAGUCUCGGAGAGAGCGAUUUAUUAAACAAUUAUGCAGACUACGGGAAAAAAACUUACAAGGAAUCUUCAACAUAGUGCAAGUAAAUCUGGUCAGACGUGGAUCUUCAUAGAAUGGCUCAAGUAAUGCAGUUAGGUGUAGGUCUUCAUAAGACAUGUAGUAUUGUCGGUUGUCGAAUCGUCUAUCAGUCUAUGUAAUCUUUCUCAUAUCAUAAUUGUAAUAUCAUAAUAAACUAGGUGAUUUGCCCACACAUGCGGGCAUAUUUCUUUUAUAGAUAUUUAUUAAUAAAUAUACUAUUAAUUAAUGAUCAAAAUUUUAAAUCAAACAUUAAAUUUAUACUAUUUUUAUAAAUCUUUCAAUUUCCUAAUUUUAACUUUUAUUGAUUUAAAAGCAUUAUUUUUAUGACAACAUUAAUAUUUUUUAUUUUAAAAUAUGCUGUUAUCUUUAGCCAGUUUUUAUUAUAGUAAUUUAUUAAAAAAAUAUAAUUAAAUAUAUAUAAUUUUUAAUAUAAAGUGGUUUUAUUAAACCAAAUUCUUGGAAUGACAAAAACAUGCAAAAUCUCAAAAUAAAUCAAAAGCACAAAAAUGUUAAAUUGAACGUAACUUUACAUAUUAUAUUAAUCAAAGUAAAUAAAAUUAUUGAUCUAUAUAUAAUUAUAUUGUGAAAUACCUCCUAUAGUAACUGAAUAAACACUUAAACAAACCGAUCAAAAACAAAAAAUUAAUAUGUAAUGUAUAAGAUAAGAUUCUUAUUUAUUUUUAUCUUCAUUUCAAAAUGAUAUAAUAGAAAAAUAUAUGUUAUAGUCAAUUUCUAUAUUUCCUUUAAAAUAAAGAUUGAUAUUUUCUUAUAAAAUAGUAUUUCUUUAUUAUACAAUCAGAACUUCUUUUAACUUUCAAACUUUAAUAAUUAUAACUACAAAAAAUCAUUUUGGAAAAUACAGUUAAAAAAAUAGAAUCACAUUUUCUUUACAUAAUAUUCUUUUACAGAAAUUUUAAUUUAAACAAAGUUAUAAUUAUGUGAAUUUUUCAAAAACAAUUAAGAGUAAAUAUAUUUAAUUUAAAUUUUUAUAAAUAUAAGGUGCUUUUUGUAAAAAAAAAUAUAUUUCGAAAAUAUUAUCUUCUAGAGCCAGAUAACUUGAAAAUAUUUUGAAAAAGAUAAUUCUAUUACCAAUAAAAAUAUUUAGAGAAAGAAAAAUAAACAAAUAUUAUUUUUUUAACUUAAAUAACAAAUAAGUGUUAUUCUUCCAACUGAAUAAUAAGAAUAAAAAUAAAAAUACCAUGACAAAAUAUCACGUAACAAACAAAUAUAGAUCAAUUUUAUUGUUUUUACUUAUAUACCUCUUCUUAGUAUUUUAAUAUUAAAAUAAAUUUAAUAUUUUUUUUUAAAAGGGUUCCAUGAUAUAUUACGUUUACUAAUAAUUAUAAAUAGAUAAUGUUAUUUUUUAUAAACAUAUUUUUAAUAUUUUAGUAUAGUGAUGAAUAUAAUUUUUAUAUUUCCAUAUAUACUACUAAUUAAACAAAUUAAUGGAUAAGAAAGAAAAUUUAAAUAAACACAAAAUAAAUAUAUCGAAAUAUCUCUCUUUUUUCAAAUACGUUUUCUUUUACUUUUUUUUAGAUAGUUUUUUGUAAUAUUAAUUUGUAAUCAAUUAAAUAAUAAAUUAUAUAAUUAUUCAUUAAAGAUAUAAACAACUUUAAUCAGUCUAAUUAAAUUAUUUAUUAAAAUUAAUGACUCAUCCUAAAAUUAUGAAGAACAAGACAACUAAGCUAAUUCACUAAUAUUAAAAUAAAUUUAAUAAUUUUUUUUUAAAAGAAUGCCAUGAUAUAUUACGUUUACUAACAAAUAUAAAUCGAUAUUGUUAUUUUUUAUAAACAUAUUUUUAAUAUUUUAGCAUAGUGAUGAAUAUAAUUAUUAUAUGUGCAUAUAUACUACGUACUAAUUAUACAAAUUAGUGGAUAAGAAAGAAAGAUUUAGAUAUUCACAAAAUAAAUAUAUGGAAUUAUCUCUCUUUUUUGAAAUAUGUUUUCUUUUACUUUUUUAGAUAAUUUUUGUAAUAUUAAUUUGUAAUCAAUUAAAUAAUAAAUUAUAUAAUUAUUCAUUAAAGAUAUAAACAACUUUAAUCAGUCUAAUUAAAUUAUUUAUUAAAAUUAAUGACUCAUCCUAAAAUUAUGAAGAACAAGACAACUAAGCUAAUUCACUAAUAUUAAAAUAAAUUUAAUAAUUUUUUUUUAAAAGAAUGCCAUGAUAUAUUACGUUUACUAACAAAUAUAAAUCGAUAUUGUUAUUUUUUAUAAACAUAUUUUUAAUAUUUUAGCAUAGUGAUGAAUAUAAUUAUUAUAUGUGCAUAUAUACUACGUACUAAUUAUACAAAUUAGUGGAUAAGAAAGAAAGAUUUAGAUAUUCACAAAAUAAAUAUAUGGAAUUAUCUCUCUUUUUUGAAAUAUGUUUUCUUUUACUUUUUUAGAUAAUUUUUGUAAUAUUAAUUUGUAAUCAAUUAAAUAAUAAAUUAUAUAAUUAUUCAUUAAAUAUAUCAACAACUUUAAUCAGAACAAGAAAACUAAGCUAAUUCACUUUUCAAAUAAUAGUAUAAAUCAGCGUUAAAAAAAAAAUCUAGGGUGAUCUGUUAAGCCUACGCCAUGGCUAAACCAACUGCGGGACGGUUUUUGGUUUGGAUUUUUUUGGUAUGUUUUUUUUGUUCCUCUGUUUAUAAUAAUAAUAUGCAAACAUAUUAAAAUAAAUUUUGAUUUCUUUUUAUUUGGUUUAUGUACAUUUUGUUUUUUGCUUAUUUGGAUAUACACCCUUAAAAAAAAGUAUUUUUUAUUUAUAAAAUGUUGUAAAUUUUAGUUAUAUGAUUAUGAAGGAAAUUUAUUAAACGAUAAAGUUGUAUUUUGUGUUUAGGCUAAAAAUGAAUAUUUUUUAAUUUAACUAUUAAGGUAAAAUAAGUACUGAAAAUUAAAAAUAAUUAUGAAUAGAUCCAUUAAAUCAAACUAAGAGUUUAAGAAAAUCAUAGUAUUAUAAAAAAAUACCAAAAUUUUAGGAGUAAAAACUAUAGGGAAAAAUAAUCUAAUGUGAUUAAAUGUAAGAAAAUAUAACUGAAAAGUAAAUAAAGAAUUAUUAUAAGCAACGUUUUAAAUAUGGAGAUCAUAUUGAUUAAUGUAUAUGAAUGAUCAAUUGUAUAGUAUAACUAGUGGUAUUCCGGCGCUACGCGCCGGGUUCAUAUGUUUUAUUCUCUGAUGAGUUCAUACAUUCAUUUGAUAUUGGUUAGUGCAUGCAGUGUAAGUGGUUUUUUUCUGAUCGAUUUAAUAGAAAUAGAAUAAAUAGCUGGUAGUUGCACCAACGCAAAUAUAGUUGAACUUAAAACAUAAAGUAAAAUUGAUGUUCCGAAAGGAAACAAAUGUAAAUGCAUGUGUUUGUUUUGUGAUUAUCUUGUUCGAAGGGAAAUAAUAAAUUCUUUCAUCCUCUUAAAAUAGUAACAAUCCUUGUAUGUUUUGUUAAAGUCAUGGAUGUGGCAAGGGCUUCAUUGUAUACAUGUGUACGUUAAAAGGUAGAACAUUUUAAAUGUUAUACUCCAAAUACGAAAAUUUAGUAGGCGUUAAGUGUUGAGGUGAUGGAAGUUGCGGUGGCCGGUGGAGAAGUAAUGAGACGUACGUCCGAAGAGCUGUCAGUGAUUGUUGAGGCUAGACUCGUCAGCGUGAAGAUGAGCUCUUCAAGUAUGCUAGGUGUCUUCCUCAUCAUCACAAUUUUUCAUUUUCAUACUUAGAUGUCUAUAAUCUACAGUGUAUGUUUAGACAUUUUAAAAAUAUUCAUAAUGUUCUAUGGUCAUAUAAAAGUUUAUGCCGUUAUAUUUCAUAUUUUCUUACAUAAUGUUCUACAUACAUCUAAAAUUGUCGUAUAAGACCGUGAUAUACCUUUUUUCUGCUAAGCAACCGUGAUACUUUAACCGGCAUGUUAUUUUUUCUAUGUUCUGAGACGAGCAUGGUCUUAAGAUCUUAGCCUUCAGAGUAAAUUUUCCAAAGGUUCAAGUAGUGAGAUUGUAAUUACGGUAAAAAUACACACUCAGAAAAGUCAAGGUUCUAAGAGAAGACAAUUCACGUAAUGACUUAAACUCAUCAAAAUAUAAUCAUGUUUUAGGGAGAAUUGCCGAGUGUGACUCAAAACUUGGAGUCAAACCCAAAACAAUACCCCAACUUGGGUCAAAGGCAAAAGUAACCUAAAAGGCUAUUGAAAUUACAACUAUCCCCUUGUGACCAAACAAAAAAACGGAAUUUUUUUUACGUUUCUACCCCUCGCAAGUCGUCUGUUUAGACGACUUGAAAAUAAGUCGUCCAGACGACUUAACUGAAAGUCGUCUGGACAGUUAGUCUUAAACAUAAUUUAAAAAUUUUGUAAAAAAUAUUGUCUUAGGAGGUAUAAUGGGAAUUAUGUAAUUAACAUAUGUCUUAGGAGGUAUAAAUUAAGAUAUAACAAAUUUCAAUUGUUUUCAGCAUAGAUGAGUGAAAGUAGUGAGUCAUGAUAUUCUUUAGUUUAUGUUUCAUCAACAUAUGUUGUAGUAUUGUAUGUGUUCUUAGGGUUAGAUUUUGGAAAGCAUUAAAACCGUUUUUGAAAAUUUUAAAAUUACUUAUGCGUGUUCAUUCCUGUGUAUAGUAAACACUAUUUAAGUAUAAUUUGAUUUUAUAACGUGGUUAGUUAGUUAAUCUAGUCAUUUUAGUUUAGGGGUUCAUUUUAGGGUCUAGGACGACUUAAUAUUUUGUCGUCUGAAAACAGACGACUAAAUAUUAAGUCGUCUGUUGUACAUUAUCAGCCAGAAUAAGUCGUCUAAACCGGACCAAACCUUAAAGUUUACCAAUGUACUUUUAAAGCUAACCGGAUUAUUUACCCAAUAUAUAAGGUGAUUUUUUUUUUGUUUCAUUUUUCGCGAAAUUCAGAAACCCUAACAGUUCUCUAGUGACAAAGGCGAUUUCGAAUUCCCACGAUUUCCGAACAAACCAUCGUUCUCAACGUCGGCUAUCUAUCUCACUUCAUUCUCACCGUUGUCGCCGCAGCUUCUUCUAAUUCUAGCGCCGCCGAUUCCUCUAAACCCUAGCGCCGCCGAUUCCUCUAAACCCUAGCGCCGCCGCUUCCACUAUUUCCGAACAAACCGUCGCCCUCACCACCGUGGUCACCAACGUUCUCACCGCCGCUUCCUCUAAACACUAGCGCCGCCGCUUCUUCUAAACCCUAGCGUCGCCGCUUCUUCUCUGUAAACCUUAGCGCCGUUUCUCUGUAAACCCUAACGCCGGUAAGUCAUCAAUCUCGAGGAAAAGAUGAACAUAAAACGUUGUCUCUAUCAAUUUACUCAUUCUCACCGUUUCACGUUUAUUUUUUCAGAUCUAUAACCGCAAUGACGAGUACUCCAACUCCUUCUGCGACUAAUCAGGUCCGCUUUGUACUGGAAGACUUGUAAGUAAUUUAAGUCGUCUGGAAAGUCUUCCAACUGGACGACUUAGUAGAUGACUUAAAUAUAAGUCGUCCAUUUGGAAGACUUUCCAGACGACUUAAUUAUAAGUCGUCUACUAAGUCGUCUGGACUUAUAUUGUUGUCUUUGAUUAUUUUGCAGACAAAAAGGAUGGAUAUUUCAGAACUCCCCCGUAGGUUAUACACAUCAGGGGAAGAGCCAGAAGCCCACAAUAGCAUUUCGUAUCAUACGGAUAACAGCAAGUUGCAUAUUGCUCUUAGGGAAGCUCUUACUGAUGACGAAUUUGAAGAGUUCAAGGAGUCGAGUUUGGGAGUUUUCAUCAAGUUCAAGGAGCAGGGAUUUGGUUGGGCUUCAAGGCUGGUUCACUACAUGCUCAGUUUCAAGCUGGACAUUAAGAAGAAGUAUGAGAUGUGGUCUCUCGUUGGUCCAGAACCUUUGAGGUUUUCACUGUUAGAGUUUGAAAACCUCACUGGUCUAAACUGCGAGUACAUCGAGGACCUUGAGACACCAAAAUGUGACGUUACCCAAGAGAUGGUUUCUUUCUGGGGGAUGCUGGGAGUUCAUCUGGAAGCUGGGCCAACUACUGAUCAGAUAAUAGCAGCACUGAAGAGAUGCGGGGAUUGGUCCAGGGAAGAUCGCAAGCGGCUCGCGUACCUCUCCAUCUUCACUGGAUUCAUUGAAGGGAGAAAGUUUUCAACCGCUACACGAUCUACUCUGGCAAGGCUAGUGAUGGAUUUAGAACGGUUUGAGAAUUAUCCAUGGGGGAGAGUCGCGUUUAAGGUGCUGAUGGACUCUUUGUGGAACAAAGAAAUUACUGGCUGUUACACCGUGGAUGGGUUUAUACAAGUUCUUCAGGUCUGGGCGUACACAGCUAUGCCGGAAUUGGGUGCUAGUAUUGGUGGUCCCAGAGCAGACAGUCCGUCUCCACCGAUACUGGCUUACGAGGGCAGCAGAGGCCGCAGAUCAAUGAAAGUUGCUAUCUUGAGUCAGGUAUUUACUAAUAAGUCGUCUGGAAGGUCGUCCAGUUGGACGACUUAUCGGACGACUUAAUUAAGUCGUCUGGAAAGUCUUCCAGCUGGACGACUUAUUAGACGACUUAUUAUAAGUCGUCUGGAAGGUCUUCCAGCUGGACGACUUAGUAGACGACUUAUAAUUAAGUCGUCUAUUUAGUAUUUUUUUCAAAUAUCUAACUCGAUUCUUCUAUUUACUGCAGACCCGCGUGAUCAACUUUGUUGAGAAGGACAUUAGUGAAAUGUGGCCAAAAUGGGACUCUGAUGUUGAGGACCUGCCCGCGGAGAACAUCAUUAAAGUCAUGUAUGAGCGGAGACCGUGGAAGUGGACCAUGGAUUGCUGGGAAGUCACUGGUACUAAGGUCUAUACAAAACCUAAGGUUGUGACUCCAUCGAAGAAAGCCAAAGAGAUGGUUGUGUUGGAGGAGGAGGAGGAGGAGGAGGAAGACAAUCCAAGACCUCGGAAGAAAGCUCGUAAAGAGGCUCCUAAAGUGGCUAGUGAAGAGGCUAGAGAAGAGGCUAGAGGGGUGACCAGAGAGGAUUUGGAAAUUAUGUUCAAGGGCGUAGCUGACUGCAUGAAAGAAGGGUUUAAGAAGUGCAUCAGGGAGUUUAGGAAGUUGUCCGAUAGAUUGGAAGCUGUGGAGAAGAAGGUUGGUGUCACCAAUCAGGCUACCCCUCCACCUCUAACCAAUCAGGCUACCCCUCAAGAUAAACAGCCUACCCCUCUUGCCAAAGAAACCGGGGGUAGUAACAAACAGGCUACCCCUCAUGCCAAUGAAACCGUGGUUAGUAACCAGCCUCCUCCUCAUCAAACCAAACAGCAGCCUCCUCCUCCUCAAAAGAAACAGCCUCCUCCUCCUCCUCAAAAGAAACAGCCUCCUCCUCAAAAGAAACAACCUCCUCCUCUUCCUCAAAAGAAACAGCCUCCUCCUCAAAAGAAACAGCCUCCUCAAAUCAAAGAGGUUAGUAUCAAAUCCAGGGUUAACUAGUUGUCCAGACGACUGUAAAAGUUGUCUGGACGACUAGUUGACCCUGGACGACUUAAACGUAAGUUGUCUGGACGACUAGUUGACCACGGAAGACUUAAUUUUAAGUCGUCCAGGGUCAACUAGUCGUCCAGGGUCAACUAGUCGUCCAGACGAUUUAUAUUUAAGUCGUCCAGGGUCAACUAGUCGUCCAGACAACUUUUAUUUAAGUCGUCCAGGGUUAACUUGUGUGCAACUUUUAUUGCAGAGAUGGUUGCCGGAGGAUACAGCAACCGAGGCGAACUCGGUAUAUAAGAUCUUGCCGGAGGAUAAAGCAGAUGGUGUCACCUCCAAAGAGAUUGUUGCUGUCACUUCCACCGAUCACCAACCGAGCCUCGCUUCCACCGAUCAACAACCGAGCCUCGCUUCCACCGAUCAACAACCGAGCCUCGCUUCCACCGAGCCAAGCGAUCCAGUUUCAGAACCGAGCCUGGUUGUAUUGGACAAGCGUGCAAAGAGUAAACGAGCGAAGAAACCUGCUCCCACUGUGAGAUCUCCUUAUACGGCAGAGAAAAAAAAAGAUAAAGUGGCAGCCUAUAAUCCAUUUCCGCCAGUAAACAAAGAUAAGUUGAAGGAACUCACUGAUUGGUUGAAAACUGAUCCGUAAGUGAUUGCUUUACCCAUAAUAGCUUGAUUUAGUCGUCCAAAACUGAUUGCUUUUUUGUUUGCAGUCAUUAUUCAACUAAGACCGAGGACAAACCACGUACAUCACCAACAAGGUGGUACCACUUCCUCCGGACAACCAGAGAAUGGCUGGAAGACUGCGUAAGUCUUCUGCACACGAUUUAAGUCGUCUACAAAGUCGUCCAAGUAGACUACUUUCCAGACGACUUAAAGAUAAAUCGUCUAGAAAGUCGUCUACUUGGACGACCACGUAGACGACUUAUAUUUAAGUCGUCUUGUAACUUCUAACUUGUUAUAUUUAAUAUGCAGCAUAUAGAUGCUUGGAUUAAUGUGCUAAGGCAGAGGUAUCAGGAGAACCCACAAGCUUUCAGGAGCGAGCGAAUGUGCUUCCUGGAUCACAACUUUUCCCAGUCUUGGAGAGAGCAGUAUCAGCUCUUCAAAACAUCGGAACCUGAUCACAAAGGUUUAGGAAGAGUUCUACCUGGUGGGGCGUCGAAUUUUUAUGACGGAUCAAUACCUUCAUUUUGCCAAUCAAACAAGAAGUGGGGGGAGGACAUUGAUGAUAUCUAUGCGCCAGUGAACUUGAACGACAACCAUUGGGUUGCUAUUUGGAUAUCGAUCCCUAAGAGGCACAUAGUCGUCUGGGAUAGCAUACCUUCAUCUAGUGUACCAGACGCAUGGGAUGCGAUAAUGGAGCCUUUUCUCCAGAUGGUCCCUUAUCUGCUUGUUGAGUGCGCAGCCACCGACGAAAUACGGGUCAAAUACGGGUUGGAGCCAUACACAUAUGAGAGACCGCUGAAAGGUGUACCCACGGCCAACAAUGGUGAUUGUGGCGUGUAUGCUGUAAAGUACAUUGAAUGUCAUGCUCUUGGGGUCUCCUUCGACCCUAAAGACUUUGCUAGGUGCAACGCGAAGAAAAUGAGGGAUAAUAUGGCGGUGGAUAUAUGGAAGGAGCUUGUUGAUCAGCAUUUGAAAGGAAAUGUGGAUGGUGAUAAGUUCGUGGGCAUGUAUGAUUAGAUUUGUGUUUGUAUUUGAACUUGUCUUUGUAUUUGAACAUGAUUUUUUAACGAGCGAAGUAUUUGUAUUUCAGCUUGUCUUUGUAUAGAUUUGUAAAUAUAUAAGUUGUCUGGAAGAAAUAAGUCGUCUGGAAGGUUUUCCAACUGGACGACUUACAAAUAAGUCGUCUAGAAGGUUUGGACGACUUAUUAUAAGUCGUCUGGAAGGUUUUCCAACUGGACGACUUACAAAUAAGUCGUCUAGAAGGUUUGGACGACUUAUUAUAAGUCGUCUGGAAGGUUUUCCAACUGGACGACUUACAAAUAAGUCGUCUAGAAGGUUUGGACGACUUAUUAUAAGUCGUCUGGAAGGUUUUCCACUGGACUUCUAAAAAUAAAAUACACUGGACGACUUAGUAGAAGGUCGUCUAAAAAUAAAAUACACUGGACGACUAAAAAUUUAGUCGUCUGGACGGGUAAUCAAGACUGGACGACUUAAAUUUAGGUCGUCUGGACAACUAGUCAACUGGUUGUGUACAUUGUGGUUUCGUAUGGCCAGUUUCCUUGCAGUUUGAGCAUCUCUGUGCCUUGUGUUUCUUCCUGGAUUUGUGUCCUCUCAUCCUAGAUAGCUCCAACCAAGAUUGCCAUCUUGAUUUCUUCGGUCUCCCCCGACCACGCUUUAGUUCUGGAGGAAAGCAUUUUCGUUCCUCAAUAUGUUGUGACACGAUAGGAUAUAUAUUCUCUGAGUAUCCUGCAUACAGAUAAUUCUUUGAGUACAGUGGACAUACAAGUGUGGAGAUAUGCAAACCAGCAUGUGUUCCAGCAGCUAUAGCAUGAGAGCAAGGUAUUUUCUCCACUCCAUAGACACCACAAUCACACUUUGCAUGUUCCAAAUCAACCACACAGUCCAUUUUGCCACCUUUGACAAAGAAAUGCCAUCCAUCAAUUGGUUCGACCGUCAUCGUAUCCGCUAUCUCUUCUCGAACAGCAAGCAAGUAUUCAACACCCCGGCUAUGUUCAGUUGUGAGACUCAAAGCAUCUUGUCUCCUUUUCCAAUACCAUUUUCCUAACUUCUGCCUUAUGAACGCCAGUAGGAACGUAAUCGGAAAUCCUCUUGCUCGCUUUAGUGCGGAAUUAAUAGAUUCAGCAAUGUUGCUUGUUUUUAUGUUGAACCUGUUCCCCUUACAAUAAACCCUUGACCAUAGCCUGACGUCGGCUUUCUCCAAAUACGUUGCAAGUUCCGGGUUUGCACUCCGUAUCUCAGCCAUGUACCGGUCAAAAUCGUAAACCGUGUGAGCAUAAGCAGCCCCUUUCACCAAGUACAAGAGAUGUUUCCCUUUAAACUUUUUGACAAUGUUAUCUUGAAGGUGAUAAUAACAUAUUCCUCGGGUUGCCCAAGGAAACACCUUAUCACACGCACUUUUAAUGGCCGCGUGCCGGUCAGAGACUAUCACCAGAGGCUGCUCAUCAGAUACACAACUAGCCAAUUUUGUGAAAAACCAUUCCCAAGAAGGUUCAUCUUCAGCAUCUACGAUCCCAAAAGCCAAUGGAAAUAUCUGAAAAUUCCCAUCUUGUGCGGCUGCAACUAACAUAACACCUCCAUAUUUCCCACUUAGGUGAGUCCCAUCCACCACAAUGACCCUUCUCUGAUACUUAAAAACCUUUGAUAGAAACUCCAAAAGAGAGAAAUAGAUACUUAAAUCUAUUGAUAGAAUCAAGUUCUAUAGCCGUGAUAGAAUCGGGAUUUGCUAAGGAGAUUUUCUCGAGAUAUGAUGGCAGACGCGGAUACCCAUCUUCUGCUGAUCCUCUCACCAAUGUUUGUGCAUAUAAAAGUGCUCUGUAUGAAGUGGUGUAAUCAAGCGCCAUGCCAAACAUGUUCCUCAUUGCAUCAGUGAUAUGCUGCGGAGUUAUCCCAUCAAUGAUUCCAACACGAUCAAUGAAAAGACUACCUAUAUACUUCGGAGUACAGUGUCUCUGCUGAGCGAUUCGGUCUCCCACUGAGCAUAAAUGUUUUUCCACAUACUUUGUUACCCAAAACGUGUUUGUCCCAUGUUUGACACUCGCUCUGACCUUCCAUCCACAAUAGCUAACCCGACAUGUUGCCACAACGAGAGUUUUCGUUGAUUUGUAUAAUCUGAAAGAAAACUUACCCCUCACUGCUGCCAACCGCAGCUCUGAAAGCAGUGCACCCUUGCUAACAAAACUCUGGUUGACAUAGAUACUGGUACCAUUCGAUUUUCCUCCUUCAAUAGCAUUUGUCUUAGCAUAUGUCUUUUGGAUUUCUUCAAAACAAAUAUUAUCAUCAUCUUCCUCGUCCUCAUCUGGAACCUUUCCAUAAAGACUGUAAUCCCCACCAUUCUGAUCCGUUUCACCAACAAUAGAAUUAUCAGCAUCCUCCUCCCCAUUUUCCUCCUCCACAUCUUGAUUUUCAUCUUCAACAAACUCAUUAUCACCAACAUCUUCAAAACAUUCAUCAGCUUCAUCAUCAUCACCAACAUCUUCUUCCCAUUCACCAGCUUCAUCAUCAUCACCAACAUCUUCUUCCCAUUCACCAGCUCAUCAUUAUCACCAACAUCUUUUUCCCAUUCACCAGCUUCAUCAAUAUCCCUUUUCUUUGAAACCGUUUCGACCUUGCUGCGGCUUGAUACACAAAGACAUACUCUAUGGGUUUUGAGUAUCUCCAGCAAGUUUCGAACUUGUCUAUCACUUGUAACAUGAAUGGGAAGACUGCCUGGAGCCAUCAUCAUUUAUGCUGGUAAUGAGUAGCUAAUCUCCACACUCACUGUUCUCAUGUCCAGGUUAUAAUCUUCUUGAGCCAUUGCAACAAGUUCAGCAUGUGUUGAAUCUUCAUUCAAUAAAAACAAUCUUGCUCCUUUGAGAUCAUCAACCACAAAAUCCCAACGGAAAUCUCUCAACAACCAUUCUCCAUACACUGCAUGUAACUGAAAAAUCAUCUGCAAAUAUUCAAAAUAAAACACAUUAGUAAACAUAGAGAAAAUGAAGAAGUUCAAUAAACAUUGCCGCAGACGACUUAGGAUUAAGUCUUCCAGAAGACUUAAAGGUAAGUCGUCUAAAGAGGUCACUUUUGCAAUUGAAAAUUAAAAGGGACGACUUAAUUCUAAGUCGUCCGGCUUUGUUUGUUAAAAAAAAAACUUCAGACGACUUAUAUAUAAGUCGUCUACGAGAAACGGGCUAGUUUUUCAUUUGACCGAAUCGUGUCAGAUCUUUGACUAUUUCUGGACGACUUAUAAUUCAGUCGUCUCUGGGAAAGUUAAAAUUUCAAUAUUUUAUGAAAACUUGACGACUUACGUGUAAGUCGUCCUAGGUUAGUUUUGUAAUUGAAAAAUAAAACUUGAAAUUUAACUUUCUCCAGACGACUUAGAUGAAAGUCGUCCAGCUAAACGACUUAAUUUAAGGUCGUCCGGGAUAAGCAAGGUUUGACCAGAAAAUUGGAAAAAAUUCUGGACGACUUUGCUUUCCCCGGACGACUUUAAAUUAAGUCUUCUGGAGGGACGACUUUAUAUUAAGUCGUCUGGUUAAAGUUAAAUUAUGAAGUUUUAUUUUUCAAUUACAAAACUAACCUAGGACGACUUACACGUAAGUCGUCAAGUUUUCAUAAAAUAUUGAAAUUUUAACUUUCCCAGAGACGACUGAAUUAUAAGUCAUCCAGAAAUAGUCAAAGAUCUGACACGAUUCGGUCAAAUGCAAAACUAGCCCGUUUCUCGUAGACGACUUAAUUUAAGUCGUCUGGAGUGUUUUUUUUUAACAAACAAAGCUGGACGACUUAAUUUAAGUCGUCCGUUUGACCAGAAGACUCAUCAGUAAGUCUUCUACAUACAGAUGACUUACUAGUAAGUCUUCUACGCGAACAGAUCUUGAAAAAAAAUUCAAAUUCGUACCUUAAACUAGGUGAGAUGACUUCGUUUGCACACAGGGUCUUCUCCAACCACCCAGAACCUCAAACGAAAGCAACCGUAAGUCAAAACGAAAGAAAUAUGGCUCUGUCAACCAUAGCCCAUAUUUUGAAUCAAAAGCUUGAGUUUUUUGGAUGAAUAUAGAGAGAAAGUGAAAGAAAUGUUGUUUUUAGUUCAUAACAAUUGAAACAGAGAGAGUGUAAAGAGAUUUACGUGCAUUAAAGGGCAUUAAAAGCUCCAAACAGUUCGUACAAGGUUGUUGCCACUAUUCAUUGCAGUGGCAAUAUUGUAAAUACUUGAAGAAGAUGAGGUUGAGACAGUAAAGAAGCCAUUUUCGAAAAAAAAAAAAAUGUUAAUGGCAUUUUCGUAGAUAAAAUGCAGGUGUGGGGUUAAAAUCUCAAAAAAAAAGGAGUCAAAAGAAAAUGUUAGUUUUCUGUUUGACUCCAAGUUUUGAGUCACUUUUGCUAAAAGCCCCAUGUUUUAUUUUGUUACUCUUUCUUUUUGUAACUUGCAAAUCGCAAUAUAAAUUUUUAAUUUAAAUAAAUUAUAUUUUGUGGUGUUUUAUAAACAUAAGAUAUUUGAGGUUAAUUGGUAAGGUUUUGUAAGUAGAAAGUGUUAGUAAUAAUAAUUAAUUAAAUAAGGAUAUAAUUUUUUUAGAAUAUUCAUUUUAGAGUGAAAAAUAUAAUAGUACAUUGAAAUAGAACUUUAUUCUAUUUUGGUGUUGUACCAUUUUAAAAUAAAAUAUAGAGUAAUACAUUCCAGAUGCUUUAAAGCUUGAUAAAAUUCCAUAACAUAGUAUAAGUCACAUGACUACAUAAUAUAUAUACAUGUGCUACAUCUAAGUAUAGUUGGUCUCGCAAGAAAAUACAAAAUGGGCUGGUUGGACUAACUGAUACAAAAACCAAUCAUGUUUUCUCAGCUUAAACGAAAUGCUUGGAAAAGAACAUAAAAGGCCUAAAGGAAAAUAAUCUCAUAAUCAUGGGCAAAUCUAUAAUACCAGAUCUAUUUUAUAAUAUUUGUAGAGUUUAUAUUAUAUUACCAUAACUCAACAGACUAAAAUCUCUAAUUCCACAAUAUAUCUGACUCAUAAUUUCCAUAUUUUUGUAGGAUUUUUUCCACAUAUUUAGUGAUUAAGAAUGUUCUACAAAUCUAAAUCAAAGAAGCAGUGGAUAUUUAGUUUCGUAACAAAUCGAAUCAUAUCCACUAAAUCUCGCAACUCUUUACUAACGUCAUAUUCAAGAUACGAAAGUAGCGCCACAUAUACAGCGAUAUUUGGGGAGGGGCCGGAGGGCAACAUUGAAACGUUGGACAAAGGGGAACAAAGAGUAAAGACCGUUUUUAUAGCUAAAUCCCCCAUAUAAUCUUUUUUUAUUCUCACAAGUUCACAAAUCAACCACUAACUCGAAAAUUAAGAGUUUUGACCCUCUAUUGGUUACUCAAAAAUUAAUAUGAGAAGUUGAUUAAUACGAUUAUAAUCUAACUAUAUUAAAAGGAGAAUAAGAAACCUUAUUAGCUAUGCCACGUCAGAUCAUAAAAUCAACCAAUCAGAUUUGUCUUUACUCCCAUGUCAUCUGCGGCCGAGUCAAUAAAGAAACCCUACGACUCACUCAUCGGCUUCGUCUUCUCUGUUUCCUCUUCAUCAAAACUCCUUACAGUCUUUUUUGUUGUCUUUCCAUUAGAUCAUGAUUCUCUCUACUGCAAUCAUUUUUUACCGCUUUCCUCUCCAUAGCUUCCAGCUCCGUUGAACACAGACGAUUUCGAGGGCAGGAUGUCGGGAUUUCCCCAUGCCGGUGUGUCCAAGAUCGGCGUUGGAUCCAUCACCUGUUACCGCCAGAUCCGCCGCCUACGGAGUUGUCCUGCGGCCUUAAACGGUCCUCCGGAUCUGCUCAAGUCUCCAAUCGUCGCUUAGGUCCGAGAAUCACAAGCUGUCGCACUCCCAAGACGGCGGGGAAGAAGCUGGACCGACGAGAAACAAACGAGAGAGAACCACCAUCCCUCACCGUAGAUCCGUCGACACCAUCUCACUCCCCGACAAUCAGACGAGCCCAACAAAGUAAACCCUAAUCGUGUUCUGGUGACUAACAUUCUUUCUCCGUCCAGCUACGACCUCUGAACUUUAUCACUGAAUCUGAAACGGUACGAUUUAUGUGUUUUUCGUGUGGUGUUCCUUAUUAAUUCAAUCUCCAUCAAGCAUUGCAUAUACACUUGGUGGAGUGCAGUCCCGCGUUGCAGAAACGUCAGCACCAGAACCUAGAGUGCACAGAUGAAAGUAGUUCGGAGAAGAAAGCUAUAAGUUCACUAGCUGGGACACUUGUGCACUGGCACGCUACUCUUGAAGAGGUGCCAUGAGGAGGUAUGCAUGUUUGUUACAUUUACUUAUUGAGACUCUCUUAUAAGGCUCUUGGCUUAAUAUAGCAAUAGUCAACGUCGUAAGCAAUGAAAAAUAUGAUGAUCUGCAUCGUUCUUCAUUGUAUCUAUUGUUCUCUUUUGCUUGCCUUGGCAGUACCAACAAUAAUCAUAGCUCAUGAGUUCUAUGAUGCUUUUACAGUUCAUCAGUUUCAGGUUUGUGUGGUUUGCAAUAUAGUCUUCUCCUUUUAGUUUAGUAUGUGUAUCUUAAAUGGACUUACUCUGCAAAAUUCUCCACAAGGCUGGUUUGAGAAAAUGGUUGAUGUGGGAGAAGAUUCACAGUAAGUAUUUGUAUAUAUAUAAUAUGCAAAGAAAACUUCAGAGCUGAUAUAUGCGUUAUUGGUUUUAGGUUCCGCUUUGUUCUCUCCCCACAGCCUACACCUGCAGCCUUAUAUCUGGUGAAACGUUGCACAUGGGCUACACCUGAGGAAAAGGAGAAGCUGGAUCAUGUCGAGAUCAGCUCGAAGUUAAUGGAUUUGACUCAAGAAAUAGCCAAGAGAAUAGGCUCUGAUGGAGGUGGAGCACUUAUAAUCGAUUAUGGGAAGGAUGGAAUCAUUUCAGACAGUCUACAGGUUUGUGUCCUAAAAAAAAUGCUCUAACCAAUGCUUAUAAAGUCUUUUGUGUCUGAAUCUAUGGAUAUGAUAUAAGGCUAUUAGAGAACACAAGUUUGUCAACAUACUGGAUAAUCCAGGCUCUGCGGAUCUAAGUGCUUAUGUUGAUUUUCCUUCGAUAAAACACUCCGCUGAGGAAGCUUCAGGUUGGUUCAUAUACUCACUACUCAUCAUUGUAAUAUUAGAGAGUUAUAAACUGACUUAAACCAAAUGAAAACGUGUGUGUGUUGUUCAGAAAAUGUGACAGUCCAUGGACCUAUGACUCAGUCUCAGUUCUUGGGUUCGCUUGGAAUAAACUUCAGAGUUGAUGCGUUGCUGCAGAACUGCGACGAUGAGCAAGCAGAGUCAUUGAGGUCUGGAUACUGGAGGCUUGUUGGAGAUGGUGAAGCACCUUUCUGGGAAGGACCUGAUGAACAGACACCAAUUGGAAUGGGGGAGAGGUAUCUUACAAUGGCUAUUAUCAACAGAAACCAAGGCACUCCGGCUCCGUUCCAGUAACAGGCUGAAGCUUUCAAACAAGGACACUACACUCCUUUGUUUUUUUCUUUGAACUUGGCUUAUCUUAUGAAUUUUAUUGGUUGACUUUGGGUUUAAAGCUUACGAAAUUAUUUCAAUCCCCAUUUUAUUUUCAGUGUCAUUCAUCUUCAUGUAUGGAUCUCAGUAGCUUGAUUUCUUCUACUAUUUUGUUUGAAAUCUGCACGAUUGUUGAUUCUAAUAGCAUCUGAAUCUCUGUGAUCAAUACAUUUGGCUGCAGAACCGUCACCUCUGCAUACCACCACAAUCGUGGAGAAGUGUACGCACAAGCUUGUGGAUGAUUACAAGCAUAUGCUUUGCCAAGCUACUGAGCCUAUGUCCACCUUCUUAGAGUACAUCAGGUGAGAGUCAUUCUUGAUCAACAGAUUAUGGUGCUUCAGUGUUGUUAUUGCCCUUUUCAGUUUCCAGUAGUAAGUGUAGUAGUUUCGUUCAUAUUUAGCUUUGCUUAAAAUCCUCUCGAUGUGCAUCAUAGUGUGUAAUGUUUGGUACUUUCGUGAAGCUCUUUUUUUUAUAGAGAUUGCAGUAAAAUGGUUUUGUUACAGAAUAUUGAGAGCAAAUAUUUUUAUUAUUUUGUUGUAGCUUAAAUGAUAGCUUUUGUUGAUUUGUUACCUUGCCUUUAGUUUUUUUUUUGUCUGAAUUUUUUUUUCACCCGAAAUUGUAACAACAAGAAAAAUAAGAACAUCAAAAUCAUUUGGUACAACAAAUUUAACAAAACAAACUUACUUUCCAAUACAUUUAACAUAUUAUACAAUAUAUGAAAACAAAGUAUUAAAAUUAUUUAUACGUCUAUAAUUAAUAUGAUUCUAUAUGGAUUAAAACUAUUAUAUAUACAUUUUUUACGUUUAGUGGUUGAAGAAGUGUUUAUAAUGCUUAUGUUUUAGAUAUAUAAUCUAAUUUUCAAACAUAGAGAACAUAGCCAAUUUUAUGUUUUUGAAAAACAUCGUCAAUCUCAUGUUCUUGAAUAAAGAAUUCAAUCAAAGAGACCAUAGCCAAUCUUCACCUACUUCUUCAAUUAUGUGAAAGUCUUAGGUCAGUAACCAAACUUAAUUGUUCGAACCUGUCACUUCGGUAAAACAAAACAUAUUAUUUUUCAAACAGAAACAGUUUAUUUUUUGUUCUACAACCUUUGAUAGCUUCCAUCAAGAUUAUUUGAGUAUUUCAAAUAGGAGCUGGUGUAUAUAUCAAUUGUAAUGAUAUUUAAUUAGCGACAAGUAACUGAAAAUAAGAAAAAAUAUAUUUUUUACAUUUAUACAUUAUAAAAAAAUUAUAUGAUCAUUUAAGUUUAGUUAAAAUAUAUGAAAAAACCCGGGCGUAGCCCGGAAAAAAUCUCUAGUGUUACUAAUGAUUAAACACUGUUUUAACGAUAAGUUAAGUUUUAAAUAACACUGAAGAUUGCUAUAGUAUCGAUCAGAUUAAAAUCUGAGAAAAACAUUUAUCAUGGUGUUAUAGAAUAAUAUAAAACAUAGGGGUGUAAUUGAAAAUCCAGGUAGGUUAAGGAAAACAUUUUAUAAAAAAAAACUUUUUUAAAAAAGACAAUAAUAAGAGCAUAAAGUCGAGACCUUUUGCAGGGUCAGCCUUUGCUCAAUUUUUCUUGGAGAACAAAAAAAAAACUUGAAGCUUUCACAUUUGACGGCUACAGAGGGAGAAAGAUAAAUUUGUUUCCUUUUCUCCUUUUGGUUCAUCUGGGGAGCACGAAGCAAGACGAACGAAGUCAAACUCCACACUAUUUUUGAAGGUGAGACUUUCGCUAGUCUCGUUGAUCUGGCUUCUCUUUUUCAUUUUCCGAUGGAAAUCUUGUUUCUUUCUUAUCAAUAAAAGGCUCAGAUUUGUGGGUUUCUCCUCUUCUCCCAUUUGCGCUGUCAGUUUUAUGAGAGUCACGACAACGACGGUCUUCGGGAUCCAAACAGCUAACAUUUGGUGAUUCAUUCAAAGAGACUUUGAGAAGAAAUCAUUUUAGGCCCAAUUAACUGUGAUAGCCCAACGUUCUUUGAGUCAAGAAAGUAACCCUCAUGCAAAUCGAUUUUUUUCAAUCGUUGAAGUUGUGUUUUAGGUGUGACACGUGGUUUAAAAUGCCCCAUGCAUACUGCUGAUGUAGCACAAGAAGGAGGGAGAAAAAUCUUAUUUAUUAAUAUAGAUUUACGUAUGUAUAAGUAACCUACUAUGUUUUAAUUAAUUGUUUUUAACCUUUUAUAAGGUUGAUCAGUUUAACAACUAAACCAUGUCAAUAUGGUGUGUUUUUUUUUAAUUCAACCCCUACUGAGAUGAGCUGUAAGGUUCUUGUUGAAGCAUGAACGUUGAGUAGACAGAUGAUUGUAUGCAAGAGUAGAAUAUCAAUGAUUGCAAGAAUUGCAAAAUCAGUGAAAUCAUAGGCUGUCAACUCUAAACCAGAUGCAUCCAUUUAUUUAAGUUAUAUAUAUAUAUAUAUAUGUCCGAGGUCUUCUUCUCGUAUUUAACAUGAAAACAACAACCAAGCACGGGGUGACUGGUGAAUCAAUGCACUAAACUUAGAUAAAAAAAUCUUUGGGACACAGCUGCACGAAGACACACUCUUAGCUAUUCCAGUCACUGGAUAGUUGGUAGUACGUUUGUUUAGGAUGAAGUAGCCUUCGCAAAUCCUAGCUGUCACAUGUAAUAGGUAGAGCUGGAACCCACCUGUCCUAAGGUCUUUGAAAAUCUCUCUGUAAACAAUAUUAGUUACACCAUUUAUAUUGCUUGUUGCAGAGCGUCAAGUAUAUUGAGACCAUCAGGUGUUGUAACUCGUGAAAGCUGUACGGGCGACGAACACAACAUCAUCGGUUUUGUCUGAAAUGGACAACUCCACACGGUACCUGCAAUACAACACCAUGAUACAUGCUAGAUGAAGAGUUAAGGGUAGAGGAUGUAGUUAGCUGCAAAAUAAGUUCACAGUCUGUUAAGCUAAACGUUGGUUACCUGAAGAUACCAACAACAUUUGAAUCAUCAAAUCCGAUGCCAGUUACAUCUCGCUGGAGCUUCUUGGAGCACUACCAUGAGGUUGCAUUUCUAACUUAGAAGAGUCAUUGAGCUGAAUCAAAGUAGAGUACCUUUAUCUUCUUGAAAAUUUUGGGAAUAUUUUCAUCAUCAAAAGGAAGGGUACCACAGAGUAGAGCAUACAAUAGUUACGACCCUCAUCCUCUUAUAGUCUGCCUUUCUCAACAAAAGCUCGAAUGAGUUGAUCAUUGAUUAAACUCGGAAUAUAUAAACAAAAAGAAAGAAACAUAUUGACUGUGGUCCCAAAACUUAGCUUGCCUGAUUGAGAUAUAAACAUCACAAGGGAGAACGUCUUCUUGCAUAUUCACAUUACUCACUCCCAAAUACCUCCUCACAGUCCAUAUGAAUUUCAGAUACAAUCUCGAGCAAAGGAAGUCCUGCUCUGUUCAUAUAUCUACAUGCACGAUAAGAGCAAACCAACAUUAAAAAACACCUAGUGGUGGAGGAUUCCAGACAAACAGUUGCUCCAUAACUCAAAGGAAAACAUCCAAGCCUGAUAGAAACUGAAGCAAUGAAACCAAUCCAAGGAUCUCAAUCGAAAUCAAUCCACACAAAACAAUAUAACCAAUCCAAGAAAGGUGACAAUGGGCUCAAUUCAGAAUCGAACAAAUCCCCCAACACAUGAUUGAUAAUCAAACAUAAUCAAAUCCAAUCUGGACAACACAAAAAAAAAAGGAAAGGCAAUUGAUGAUCUAAAUCAAUAUCAAAAAGACGGAGAUCUGCGGUAAAAUACCUAAGUCAGGCAAAUGGAGCUGACAAGUUGCCAUUCUGGUAGCUUUUGCGGUUAGAUAUUUAAGUAAAUGUUUGCAACCAUUAAAGUGAAGCAUUGCAAUUGUUUAGAUGAACAAAUGAAACUUUUUGUGAUUGUAACUAUUAGUGGUAAAUGAUAUUAGUGGUAGAUGAUUGCAACCUUUGGUGAUAAACCAUUAUAACCAUUUGUAAUUAAAGCGUUGGUGAUGAACCAUUGUGACUUUUGUCUAACCAAUGUAACUAUUGUUAUUAAUGGUUGUAACUCUUCACUAACCAUUGUAACUAUUGGUGUUAACCAUUGCAACACUUGGUACUCUAUAAAAGAAGUUGUGGGCAAUGGAAAAUAACAACAUGAAUCACAACUUGUAAAACAAGAUUGAAGAUCAAAAACUAAUAGUUAGUAAGAGAGAGAGAAAGAAAAAUUCAUUGUUCAAAGAUCAUCAAAGAUCUUUGAAGAAACACAUAUAAGCACUAAAUCUUUAUUUGUUAUUUUUGUAUCUUAGCCGAGAACAAGAAUGAGACUUUGAUUGUCUUAUCCUACAAAGGGAUUUCUUGGAACCCAAAGGCUUGGAAUAGGGUCGAAAUACUCUUUAAGGAAAACAUGGCGAUUCAAUCAUUAUCCAAGUAUAUAGUUCACACCCAUUCGGGUUACCAAACCACAAAUAAUUAACCAACAAUCUUAAAGAGUAUUUUUGUUGUGAACUAUAACUUAUAAUUUUGUGCGAGAGAUAAAAUCAAAGUUUGGAAAGUUGUAAAUGCUUGAGAGAAUAGACUUUCGAAGAUGUGCGAUCAUAUUGUAAUCCAAGGGAUGCGAGUGCAUUGUGAACCAAGUGAUGUGAGUGCAUCGUGAUCCAAGGGAUGCGAAUGCAUCGUGAAUCAGGGAUUGCAUCGUGAAUCUGGGAUGCGAUUGCAUCGUGAUCCAAGAGAUAUGAAUGUGUCGUGAUCCAAGAGGUACGAACAUAUCAUGAUCCAAGGGGUACAAACGUAUCAUGAUCCAAUGGAUGCGAACGUGUCAGGACCCAAAGGGUGCGAACGUGUCGGGACCCAAAGGGUGCGAACAUGUCGAGACCCAAAGGGUGCGAACGGUUUGGGACCGAAAGGGUGCGAACGGUUUGGGACCGAAAGGAUGUGAAUGGUUCGGGACCGAAAGGUUGCGAACGGUUCGGAACCGAAAGGGUGCGAACGGUUCGGAACCGAAAGGGUGCGAACGGUUCGGGACCAAAAGGGUGCGAACGAUUCGGGACCAAAUGGGUGCAAAUGGUUUGGGACCAAAAGGGUUUGAAUGUAUCGUCACCAAAAGGGUGCGAAUGCAUCAUCACCCAUAAGAUGCAAAUGUAACAUCAAUGAAAUAUAUGGGGAGGUAGAUGUGAUUGUUAAAAUUUUACAUAUAAGUAAAAAAAUAUUGUUAACACAAUCUCAUUAUGUUGAGAAAGUUGUUAAGUAGUUCAAUUGUGAGAUUGUUCUCCAAUGAAGUCUCCCAUGUAUGUGAGAGUGAAGCUUAUACCUUAUAUAGGACAAGAAGUAUCACAACUUGAAUAUUUGAAAGGAACCAUAAAUUAUUGUUUGUUAUAUGUCAGAUUUUCUUCGAUGGUAGAAGGGUAUUUAGAUGGAAGUUUGAUUAUCUAUAUAGUUGAUUAUUCUUCUAUAAGUGGUUGAGUAUUUUUGCUCCGGGAGGUGCCAUUUCAUGGGCUUCCAAGAAACAAACUGCAUGAAAAUUUUGACUAUAGAAUAAGAGUUUGUAGCAUUAGAAUAUGCCGGUAAAUAGACAUAUUGGCUAUGGAAUUUAGUUAAAGAGAUUCUGUUGUGACGAAAUAAUAUCUCCAGUUUCUAUCUAUUUUGAUAAUGAAUAAAUCUUGGUUAAGGUUUGUAACUAAGUAUAUAAUGGUAAGUCGCGACACCUGGCGUUAGAUAUAGCGCAGUAUGUGAGAUGAUCACUCACGAGGUGAUUACCAAAGAGUUUGUUCGGUAUGAAAGAAAGGUAGCAUAUCAUUUGACGAAAUGAUUAUCUAGAGACUUGGUAACUAAGUCUGUUAGGGAUGAGUUUAAAGUCCUUUUGAAAUUUUUAAUGGUGGGAUACUGAUUCCCCUCUAAUACGACGUUAGAGGUUGAAUUCAAUGUGGAAAGCCUACACUUAAAGAUUGAAGCACAUGUUUUUAUAUCAUCACAAGGUAUGUGUUUGGACCUGCAAGAAAGAGCUAGGUUGAAAUUUUAUUCUUGAUAAAUACUCUUAAAAAGUGCAUUUGUAGGUGCAUGCGUGAAAGUACUUACCUAUAUGAGUGUGAAGUGAUGCCGCUUCAAUAAGUUGGGACUUGGCUUUGUAUGCACUCAUGAAUGGAUACGGACACAUGGCUUAUAAUAGUGUCCAGUAUAAAUACUUAGAGUAGUGUGAAAACACGUGUGUGUAUUAUCUUCAUGUGCUCAAAAUGGGUUAAGGGAUUCAAUCUGUAUGACAUCCUGAUUCUCAGGCAUUUGGAAUGUGUAUUGCACUAAGAUGAAAAUUCAAUUCUUCGAACAUUUUCAUUUAUGCAUGAGUUUGAUAUAUGUAUUAAUUAUUUAUUGAAUCUAUGAUUACACUUAAAUGGGGGAGGAUUGUUAGAUAUUUAAGUAAAUCUUUGCAACCAUUAAAGUGAAGCAUUGCAAUUGUUUAGAUGAACAAAUGCAAAUGUUUGUGAUUGUAACUAUUAGUGGUAAAUGAUUGCAACCUUUGGUGAUAAACCAUUAUAACCAUUGGUUUAAAGCCUUUGGUGAUAAACCAUUAUGACUUUUGUCUAACCAAUGUAACUAUUGGUAUUAAUAGUUGUAACUCUUCACUAACCAUUGUAACUAUUGGUGCUAACCAUUGCAACCCUUAGUACUCUAUAAAAGGAGUCGUGGGCAAAGGAAAAUAACAACUUGAAUCACAACUUGUAAAACAAGAUUGAAGAUGAAAAAUUAAUAGUUAGUAAGAGAGAGAGAAAGAAAUAUUCAUUGUUCAAAGAUCAUCAAAGAUCUUUGAAGAAACACAUAUAACCACUAAAUUUUUAUUUGUUAUUUUUGUAUCUUAGCCUAGAACAAAAAUGAUAUUUUGAUUGUCUUAUCCUACAAAGGCAUUUCUUGGAACCCAAAUACUCUUUAAGGAAAGCAUGGCCUUUCAAUCAUUAUCCAAGUAUAUAGUUCACACCCAUUCGGGUUACCAAACCACAAAUAAUUAACCAACAUUGACUGAGAUCUAAACUAUUAUUUGCGAAGUAAAUUUUAUCAACGGAGCUCUCACGUUAAAAGUUAGAGCGGUUAAUAUCGUUUAUACCCUUAAUGAAUAGUUAUAUAUAUUAGUCAAAAAAUAAAAACGAAUUUCAAAUCUAUCUGAUUAAAAAAGUGAUUAAAAUUAAUAAAAAAUCGUUUAUACCCUUAAUAAAUAAAUUAUAUAAAUUAGUCUAAAAUAAAAACGAAUUUAAAAUAUAUAUUAUUAAAAAGUGAUUAAAAUUAAUAAUAAUAAGAUGUAUCUAAAAUAUAAAUAAUUAAAAAAGAAUUUCUAUUAAUACUAUUGUAUUUAUAUAUUAUAUUAGAAAAUUGACUAUAAAUAAAUAUAAUAAAAUUUUCAAAAAUAAGAACAUGUUUUAAAACAUAAGAUAAUUCUUACAUAUAUUCUGUUGUUAUCUGAAAAUAAUAUUUUAUUAUAAAAUUUAUAGUUAGAUAUAAAAAAAUUUAUAAUUAAAUGCUAAUCAAACAAAUAAAUAUAUUUUCUAAAAUAUGUGUGAAUGUUUUAAAACGUAAGUAAAUAUAAUAAAAUUCUCAAAAAUAAAAUAUAUUUUUAAAACAUAAGAUAAUUCUUAAAUAUGUUGUGUUUUUAUCUGAAAUUAUAUUUUUAUUAUCAAAUAUAAAGUUUAAUGUUUGAUUUAUCUUUUUAAAAACAUAAUUAAUAAUUUAUUAUGUUGGUUUUGAUUUAAUAGCUAUAAAAAAUAAAUAUCUAUAAGAACACUAUGCCCGCAUGUGCGGGCAGAACACCUAGUUACACUAAUAAGAAAAAAACUAGAGUAUUUGGAGAGGUAACUGAGAAGGUAUAUAUAAAACAUGAAUGAAUUAAACGUACAGUGAGGAGGAGAACGUGGGAUUAGUGGGUCGUGUUGAUUGAUUGCCAUAACGGCGGAGCGUUUCUUCACCGGGGAAGGAAAAUCGGGAACGAUAGGCUUCAUGUUAGAUUAGAUAACCUCUUGCGAUUGAAUAUCUAUGGAGAAGAUUUGGCCAGAAACCAACACAGCCCGAAAAAGGUUGGUUUAUAGAAUUGAGCUAAAGCGAUCCAGUUAUUUUUUUUUAAACGAUGCCACCUCCAAAUUUGUCCCACAAAACUCUACAAAGAUAUUCAGGAGAAAUGAACUGUUGAACCAAAGACAUCUUCUGAAAGAGUUUCUCAUCAGAUAUAACAUCCCCUCUGUGUUUGAAGCAAAGACACGGGGAAACAGCUUUGUCAUGACAUACUUCUCUAGACCCUGCGUAUUAAGAGAGGCAAAUGAUUAAGGCAAGAAGAUGCAAGCGAUCCAGACAGAAAGAGAAGGACAUUGAUGAUACUCACAUCUCCAGCGCUGUCUAGUUCAUCCUCAGAACAACCGGACCAAAUUGGAUGAGCCAUGAAAGCAGCUUCCAUCUUGGAAAAGAAGUCUUGAACUGCAGCAGAGUCCUUUUCUGGGUCUGACUCAUUGUUCAAGAAUGAAACAAUGAAACUGCGACACAUACACAUUGUCUUAUGAACCCAGAGAAAAGAAGUAACGUAAACCCACAAAAUCGAUAUUAAAACAGUUUUUUUUUAUCUAUAACUACUGCAGUACCAAUAUUAUCAAAACCAGUGCUUUCCAUUUUUAGGUCAAUAAGAUCAAACUUAUAAAAAAUUAACCAAAAAAAUAUGGUUCAAAAAAUUAACAAUAAUGAUUAAAAGAUAAUCAAACAAAUAUUUUAACAAAAAUUAUUUGAAAAAAUAAAAAAUAGUGAAUACAACAAACAAAACAAUGAAAUUAGUAAAAAUAAAUAAUCUAACUUGAAUGGUGAAAAUUUUAGUUGAAAAUAACAAUUUAAUAAAAAUUAGUAAUCUAAUCCUAAAAUUUAUAGACUUCAAGAAUAAGCAACAAAACUUAUAUGUAUUGUUUGGUUUGGUAUUGGAGUUGCCUUCAAGCCAAAUUUAGCUUGAAAAUAACGUGUUUAUUCAAAUUAUAUGUGUAUACAAUUGAUAGUUAAUGUUAUAUUUAUAUAUUACGUUUGUUAAAUAUAUGCAUAUAUAAAAUAAAAGAAUAUAUUUUGUUAAUUAUAUCCGGUUUAGCAUGAAAUAAAAUAAUAUGUUUCGUUGAGUAAACUACAAUAUCAAAUUCUAAGUCUACAAUAACAUCAACCUACACCCACUAAUGAUCAACUUACACACGUAUAACUACCCAGUUCUGAUGGAAGAAGCGAUGAUGUUCAAGGCAUCGAAGGUAACGGAACGUCAGUAGCAGCGGGGGGUGAAUUCGAAGACGGGGUAGAUGCAGAGAACCACAAGCAGAGCAUGUCGGAGGAGAGUCACUACAAGAAAACAGGGGGAUUCUGAUGGCCGAAAUCGUCGGAAAUUCGUCGGAAUAGACCGAUUCCGACGAACCUGUCCGUCGGUAUAGUUUUGUCGGAAAAAAAAAUUCGUCGGAAUUUCGUCAGAACUUCCGACGACUUUCUGACGAAUACCGAGAAACGUCAUUCUGACGAACUUCCGACGAUAUUACGAUGCGGACACACGAGACCAGAGUUCAUCGGAAAAACUANNNNNNNNNNNNNNNNNNNNNNNNNNNNNNNNNNNNNNNNNNNNNNNNNNNNNNNNNNNNNNNNNNNNNNNNNNNNNNNNNNNNNNNNNNNNNNNNNNNNNNNNNNNNNNNNNNNNNNNNNNNNNNNNNNNNNNNNNNNNNNNNNNNNNNNNNNNNNNNNNNNNNNNNNNNNNNNNNNNNNNNNNNNNNNNNNNNNNNNNNNNNNNNNNNNNNNNNNNNNNNNNNNNNNNNNNNNNNNNNNNNNNNNNNNNNNNNNNNNNNNNNNNNNNNNNNNNNNNNNNNNNNNNNNNNNNNNNNNNNNNNNNNNNNNNNNNNNNNNNNNNNNNNNNNNNNNNNNNNNNNNNNNNNNNNNNNNNNNNNNNNNNNNNNNNNNNNNNNNNNNNNNNNNNNNNNNNNNNNNNNNNNNNNNNNNNNNNNNNNNNNNNNNNNNNNNNNNNNNNNNNNNNNNNNNNNNNNNNNNNNNNNNNNNNNNNNNNNNNNNNNNNNNNNNNNNNNNNNNNNNNNNNNNNNNNNNNNNNNNNNNNNNNNNNNNNNNNNNNNNNNNNNNNNNNNNNNNNNNNNNNNNNNNNNNNNNNNNNNNNNNNNNNNNNNNNNNNNNNNNNNNNNNNNNNNNNNNNNNNNNNNNNNNNNNNNNNNNNNNNNNNNNNNNNNNNNNNNNNNNNNNNNNNNNNNNNNNNNNNNNNNNNNNNNNNNNNNNNNNNNNNNNNNNNNNNNNNNNNNNNNNNNNNNNNNNNNNNNNNNNNNNNNNNNNNNNNNNNNNNNNNNNNNNNNNNNNNNNNNNNNNNNNNNNNNNNNNNNNNNNNNNNNNNNNNNNNNNNNNNNNNNNNNNNNNNNNNNNNNNNNNNNNNNNNNNNNNNNNNNNNNNNNNNNNNNNNNNNNNNNNNNNNNNNNNNNNNNNNNNNNNNNNNNNNNNNNNNNNNNNNNNNNNNNNNNNNNNNNNNNNNNNNNNNNNNNNNNNNNNNNNNNNNNNNNNNNNNNNNNNNNNNNNNNNNNNNNNNNNNNNNNNNNNNNNNNNNNNNNNNNNNNNNNNNNNNNNNNNNNNNNNNNNNNNNNNNNNNNNNNNNNNNNNNNNNNNNNNNNNNNNNNNNNNNNNNNNNNNNNNNNNNNNNNNNNNNNNNNNNNNNNNNNNNNNNNNNNNNNNNNNNNNNNNNNNNNNNNNNNNNNNNNNNNNNNNNNNNNNNNNNNNNNNNNNNNNNNNNNNNNNNNNNNNNNNNNNNNNNNNNNNNNNNNNNNNNNNNNNNNNNNNNNNNNNNNNNNNNNNNNNNNNNNNNNNNNNNNNNNNNNNNNNNNNNNNNNNNNNNNNNNNNNNNNNNNNNNNNNNNNNNNNNNNNNNNNNNNNNNNNNNNNNNNNNNNNNNNNNNNNNNNNNNNNNNNNNNNNNNNNNNNNNNNNNNNNNNNNNNNNNNNNNNNNNNNNNNNNNNNNNNNNNNNNNNNNNNNNNNNNNNNNNNNNNNNNNNNNNNNNNNNNNNNNNNNNNNNNNNNNNNNNNNNNNNNNNNNNNNNNNNNNNNNNNNNNNNNNNNNNNNNNNNNNNNNNNNNNNNNNNNNNNNNNNNNNNNNNNNNNNNNNNNNNNNNNNNNNNNNNNNNNNNNNNNNNNNNNNNNNNNNNNNNNNNNNNNNNNNNNNNNNNNNNNNNNNNNNNNNNNNNNNNNNNNNNNNNNNNNNNNNNNNNNNNNNNNNNNNNNNNNNNNNNNNNNNNNNNNNNNNNNNNNNNNNNNNNNNNNNNNNNNNNNNNNNNNNNNNNNNNNNNNNNNNNNNNNNNNNNNNNNNNNNNNNNNNNNNNNNNNNNNNNNNNNNNNNNNNNNNNNNNNNNNNNNNNNNNNNNNNNNNNNNNNNNNNNNNNNNNNNNNNNNNNNNNNNNNNNNNNNNNNNNNNNNNNNNNNNNNNNNNNNNNNNNNNNNNNNNNNNNNNNNNNNNNNNNNNNNNNNNNNNNNNNNNNNNNNNNNNNNNNNNNNNNNNNNNNNNNNNNNNNNNNNNNNNNNNNNNNNNNNNNNNNNNNNNNNNNNNNNNNNNNNNNNNNNNNNNNNNNNNNNNNNNNNNNNNNNNNNNNNNNNNNNNNNNNNNNNNNNUUAAAAUAUACCAAAUCCCAAUUCGCGAAAAUUUUCAAGCGGUUUGGUUCUCCCGGGUAAAUUUUAAUUCCGACGGAAUUCCGACGACUUAGUGUUUAGGGUGUUGAUUUCAAGUUUCUAAAUGCAAAAUCCAAAUCUUUGAUAAUAUAUAUAUAGUAUUUUGCAUAAAGAUUUAACAAUAAAAAUGUUUUAUAACACGAUUUUACACAAUAACAUUUUUUGUAGUGUAAGCUUAUAUAAAUAUGAUUUUAUAAGUAUAUAAUGUUAAGAUGAGAUGUUAUGAAAACAAUGAUAUGCAUACAUAAAUAUUUUAAUGAGUUGUUAUAUUUGAACGGUUGCGAUCUAAUACUAUACUAAACACUUAUUAUGUGUUAUUUUCAUAGUUUUGGCAUCUAAAUUUAUAGAUUUUUAUGAUUGAAACUUUAUAGAAACACAUGUCGUCGGUAUUUUCCGACGAAAUACCGACGACCUUCCCAAUUUUCAAUGAAACCCAUUGUCGUCGCUAUGUCGUCGGUAUAUUGCGAGGGAUUUCCGACGGACCAUUAAAAAAAAAAAACUAAUCUGAAUCUUCUGAAUCUUCAUCAAACUCCCCAACCUCGGCUUCCGGCUCUGAAUGUACGACAGCAUCAUGUCCAAACACAGUCAAAUUCUCAAAGAGUUGAACAUUUUCCAAAUCUUCAACUGCCUGGGCGUUGCUGGUAGACUCUGGUUGCAAUGGUUCAUCAUCAUCAGAAGUUCCAUCCACUCAUCCUCUUGGGUUGAUUUGCGUUACAGUAACCCAUGGAUCGUCUCUGUACGUCACCCGAGGGUAACUGAUGUAGCACACCUAUACAUAUCAAUUGUACAAGUAUUAGUAAAAUAUAUAACAUUAAUUAAUUAUAUUGGUAAAAAAUUAUGAAUAGAUUGACAUACCUGAUCAGCUUGCAAACCAAGAAUGAAGGGAUCAUAAUAUUGAAGUUUCUGCCGCGAAUGAACUGAUGUAACACCAAACGCAUCAAUCUUCACUCCUCUAUCUGGGGUGGUGUCAUACCAAUCACAAUAGAAUACUACACAACGCAAUCCAACCAUUCCAGGAAAUUGGAUUUCCAAUAUUUCUUUUAUGUUGUCGUAGUAGACAUCGUCACGAGAAGAAGAUGAAACACCAGCAUCAUAUGUUGUCUUAGAAUGACCUUUCCUUGUGAAUGCAUAUCCUCGCGUACAAAAUUUAGGAUAUGAUUUGACCACAUAGUUUGGUCCCUGCACAAAUUCGCGUAUCCAAUCAUCGAACACAAGACCUCUGGCCAAACCAUCAUUCACCUAUAAAAAAAACAUAUAUGAUUGCAAAAUUAAUUAGUUUAUAUAUAUUAAAUUUAAACUAAUCAUUUGCAUAGGGUAAUAUGAUAUAUGACUCACAUAACUACGAAGCCACGCAGCAAAUCCGUUAUCUCUAAGUUGUCGAAGCUCAUCUUCUGUUGCAUGCCUGUGAGUCAUACGCAACUCCGCCAUAUAUACACUAUAUACAAAAAUAUUAUCAAUAUGAAAUAAAUUUAUUGAAUAUUAAUCUAACAAUAAAUGAAUAAAUAUUUUUACCUCUCAUAUUGUAGAACAUCUUCACAGUUGGUGAGCAAAUAUGUUUGCAAAUGAGCGUGCUCAGUGUCCGUAAGUCUCUGCUUCGUGAAUUUUCCACUAAGUCGUCCUAUUUCCUUGAACAUGCUUGGGACAGUAACAUGAUAUGUUUCUCUCUCCCCUCUAUCAUCAUGCCGAGCAGGUCUUCGGUGUUUUGUAUGCACUUCUGGUGGAAAAUAAUUUUCAGCAAAGAUUGCAGUUUCUUCAUUGAUCACCUGUGCCACUAUAGAUCCUUCCACCCUGCUUUGAUUUUUGACCAUCUUCUUCAGAUGAUGCAUAUAACGCUCAAAAAUAUACAUCCAUCUGUACUGCACAGGACCACCAAGUUCCAAUUCUCUUGCGAGAUGAAUAGCAAGAUGUUCCAUUACAUCAAAGAAUGAUGGAGGAAAUAUCUUCUCAAGGUUGCACAUGCUGACUGGUGCGUUUGUCUUCAAAUUAUUAAUACCCUAUUUAGUCACUACUCUGCUGCAUAAGUCGCGGAAGAAAACACUAAUCCCUACAUAGAUAAAAGACAUAAUUUUCGUAAGUAUUAAGUUUUUAUAAGCAUAAUUGUUAAAUAUAAAAAUAAAUUAAAUUGUAAAAAUAUAAUAUACCUGCAAUUGCUUCAUGAACAUUACGUGGCAAUAAUGCUGAAAAAGCAAACGAAAGGAGGCGCUGCAUAAUUACAUGACAAUCAUGACUCUUCAAGCCAGUAAACUUUCAUUCGCUUCUAUCAACGCAGUUCCCCAAAUUUGAUGCAUAUCCGUCAGGAAAUUUCACUUUAUCUGUAAUUCAAUCAAAGAACUCUUCUUUUCUAGCACCAUCUAGCCGAUAAAUGGGAAAAGGGGCCGUACCGUUCUCAUCAACGUGAAGUUCAGAACGAUCACAAAUAUCGACUAAAUCCAACAUUGACUUCAAAUUAUCCUUCGUUUUACCUUGGAUGUUAAGGACUGUGUUCAUCAGAUUAUCGAAGAAGUUCUUCUCAAUAUGCAUGAAAUCUAAAUUAUGCCGCAAUAGAUGACUCUCCCAAUAUGGCAGAUCCCAGAAAAUACUCUUUUUGUGCCAGUUAUGUAGCUCUCCAACCGCAUUGACUCGAAUGUUUUCAUGUCCACCUACAUCUGGCGUCCAUUCUGCAUCAAAAUACCUAAACUGCUUCAACAAAUCUUUCCCACUAACUUCCUCAGGUGGACCAUCAAACACCUGCUUGUUCUUCGUAAACGAAGUCUUACUCCUGCGGUAUGGAUGAUCAGGUGGUAGAAAUCGUCUGUGACAGUCAAACCAACACGUUUUCCUUCCGUUCUUUAGUUGGAAAGCAUCUAUGUCAUCUUGACAAUAUGGACAUGAUAGCUUCCCAUGUGUUGUCCAUCCAGAUAACAUACCAUAUGCUGGAAAGUCACUUAUUGUCCACAUAAGUACUGCCCGCAAAACAUCGUAUGUCUCAAAACCAUGCGCCCAUAGUUGUUGCAACUCAUAUAUUAGUGGUUGAAGAAACACAUCUAGUGAUCUUUUAGGAUGAUCUGGCCCGGGGACGAGAAUUGAGAGAAACAA
rnacentral:lncRNA from 1 species